rnacentral:lncRNA from 1 species
GUAGAGGUACAUGAGGAAGUUGUUCCGGUAGCAGGCGCCGGCGAAUCCGGUGAGGGAGACGACCAUGAUGGAGACGCUGAUUAUUAUGAGCGGCCACUGGAGGAACUUCGGGCAGUCGGUGUUGUUCGCGCGGCUGCUCAGCCAUAUUCCGCCGCCGAGGAUGGGGAUCGACAGGACGAAGGUGAGGAAGUUCAGGGCGCCUAUUAGGUGGUUGCUCGUUCUCAUGGUUGCGGCGGUGGCGGUGGCGGUGGUUGUAAAUUUUGUUGAAAUUUAAUUUUUUCUUACAAGAGAGAGAGAGAGAGUACUGCUGUAUUUAUUGGGGAGCAGAUAUAUAAUGGGAAAAAAGCGUUGGGGGAAAUCAAAAUUUGUGGAAACAGAGAUAAGCAUGCUUUGGUACACAGUUAAUGACUAAAUUACCCUCUGCAGAAUGAGUGAUUUACUGAUUUUGUUUAAAUUUUGGUUUAAUGGCACUUUGCCCCCCAACUAUCGUGUGUUUUGCACGUAAUCUGUGGACAAAAAACAUUUACAACAUUUUACCUAAACUGUGCACGGUGCCUCCGUUUUACCAAUUCAGUUCAUUUCUCGUGCGUCACAUGUCCAUUCACUUCAAGUCUUUUAGGGCAAAAAGAAGAAAAAAACGAGGGGAAAUAGAAGUACGAAUAAAUUUGCAGUGAAUGGACGUUUAUACCCUAAAAAACCCAUAUGCGGACGAGAAAUGAACCGAAUUGGUAAAAUUGAGGCACCGUGCAACAAUUUAACGAGUUCAGGUAAAAUUUUGUAUAUUUUUUUGUUAAAGGGGUAACGUGCAAAGCACGCGAUAUUUUAGGGGGAAAAGCGCCAUUAACCCUUAGAUUUUCGUUGAAAUAAAAUUUUACAAGGAAAUGACUAAAUUACCCUCUGAAAAUUGUUGUAUCCAGCAAAUUCAAUGCAAAUAAGAAGUGUGUCCCUGAAAAUCGAGCAUAUUUCCUGGAAGUAAAAUGUGGAACUAAAAAGGAUAUUUUCAAAAAUUAAAAUUAUUUCCUAUUAAAAACCACUAAAUUGUUUGUGACCCGACCAUACAAAAAUAGUUGCACAUGCAUAUGAGUUUCCCCCAUGCAAAGAAGGUCAAGUGGUCGGUGGUUAGAAACAGUGGGUCCCAUUAAGAAAUCAUUUAAAAUUAUUACUAUGUUGAAACUCUUGCGAUAAUGAUCAAAAUUAAUAAUCUACUCUUUUUUUUUAUAAUUAAAUUAAUAAUCUACUUGAUAAAUAAUAAUACUAUUCAAUAAUUUGAUAUGAAGUUAUCAGCACUUUCAAACCAUAGUUUUGCAAAGACUUUAAGGCGUGUUUGAUGCCUUACAACCUUAAAAAAUUAUAAUAAAAAAAAAUAUUUAGUAAAUAUUGCGUUAUUCAGUACAGUUAUGGUAUACUGGACAUCAAUACCGUACACCGUACUAAUACCGAAAUUAAAAAAAAAAAAUAUCAGUGUUGAUUUAAAUUGUAAUUUAAUUGUACAAUCUUAUUCGAAUCUUAAUUGAAUUAUCAGAUUGGACUUUAAAAAAAAUAUCUAGGCAUCCAUCAAUAGUUAGAAGCCCAAUUCAGAAAACAUAUAUUAUUUAUGGCCCAAAUUUAUCUAUAAAUUAUAGAAAUUCUAGGGCUUCAAAAUCCACAAUUCAGCCGCACAAACCCUAAUAUGAGAUUCACGGCAGAACAAGAAACUGAGAGACACACAAAGCGGCGAGCUUUGGAGCUAUACGUGUUUGUUGUAUCGUUGAAAACUCGAGCAGUUCUCGAUCUUCUUAUGUAAGUUCUUGUAUUAACUGAAGCUUGAAGAUUUUCUAAAUCUGUUUUUUUUUUUUCUUUUGCCAUGCUGAAGCUUUGUGAAUAAAUUUUGUUUUGUUGAUAUGGUGUUUGUGAUUUAGCCCCUUUGGAAUUUAUUUAUAUUAGAAAAGGCUGUGGAUGAAUUAUUUGCAGAAAUUGUUUAUUGUGCAUGCUAGGUGUUUGAUGAAUUGAUUUGUGGUAUUAUUAUUGUAAAAAGUCCAUCUUGGCAAAUCAGUUGAGCCCUUUUAAGGGCAAAUGAGCUGCUUUGAAUGCUAAUGGACUAAUAUUAAAUCUCUCUUUUUCUCUUAACUAUUUUCCGCUUCUUCAAAUCUGUUAAGUUUGCAUAUUAGUGGAAAUGAAACAUAUUAAAAAAAAUAUUGAAUAGUUGUUUGUUGAAAUUGUGAAUCUUUUGUAUGCAAGGUGUUUGAUGAAUUGAUUUUUUGGUGUCGAAUUUAUUUUUUUCUAGUCCAUCUAGGCAAGUCAGUUGAGCCCUUUUAAGGGCAAAUGAGCUGCUUUUGAAUGCUAAUGGACUUACAGCUAAAUCAUCUCUUCAUUUUUGUUCCUCACCACUCACCAGAACACAGUUACCGGUAACCGCCGCCGGCUCGCAUCAACACCACUGCCGCUUCCGGCCGUCCGACGUCCUCAGCGAAUCCCCUAUUCAACUGAAAUCACGCGUUUCACCGUUCGUCGUCAAAUUUUGACCGGAAAAGCGGCGAUCGAACGCUACAGCAGCGGCAAUUGAAAUUUGAGUCUUCAAUUUUAAUGUAAAUGGAUUUCAUCUCACAUUAAGGAUCUAAAAUUGAGUGAAUGUUCCUUACACUAGGUUUUGGGCAGUUGCGAGUUGAGUUUGUUCCCUUCGGGCAUCGAUUUCUAAAUUUAUUCCCAAGCAAUCAUUUUUCUCUGUGGUGGAUUUGAAUAAUUGGAGUUGUUGAUGUGAACUGAGUAGUAUAGCCCAGCUAGAUGGUAUUGCCAUCGGAAGUGGCCCGGAAUUGUGCAUUCAUAUGGAAUUAAGUGUUAGAUUAGAUUACAGCAUUCUACGAUAGAUUAAGAUCGGUGGGAUAACCUUCUCAAUCUGGGCAGGUUGUUUUAUUCUACGUAAAUGCGGGCAUCUCGUUUCCUAGUUUACCAUUGGUUUUUUUUUUGGACAUGUUUUUUUAUGUGUUAGGAGAUGUUUUCAGUGCAUUCAAACGUCUAAUUUGGCGUGCUAUUAAUUUUACAAUUACAAUAUAUGUAAAAUGUUGCAAUUUUAGGAUCCGAUUAUUGAACCCCCUCUCUGGUUUUACUCAAAGUCUCGACUUUGUGUACCUUGCGUGCGAAUCAAAUGAAUUCUUCUUCAUUUUCUUGACAUUUGUGCUUUAUGGCUAGAGCCUAUAGUUGUUGCCUUGUUGGUACAUUACGAUAUUUUGUUAUCUCCCUUAAUGGUGUCUUUGAUCUGGUAUAGUUUGACGAAUGAAAAGGUCGCUCGGGUCCCACUUUUCGAGUUACUCUCUCGUCAACUCUCUUUCCUCUAAAAAAUUUCUUCUCUUUUCUCUCUUGUGAUAUGAUUAUGUCAAAGCUUAAUAUCCAUGGUGGACAAGGAAAACAUGUGUUUGUCUUAAUACUCUGUCUACUUUUCGUCUUAUCGUUUUCUAUAGAACACAUAAUGGCAGCAAGAUGGAAAGGAAAAACAGCCAAAGCAAAAGCCCUAGCGGAGCCCAUACUACAAUAGUUUCUCGGCUCCAAUCCUCUUUGAUUGAAUCCAAUUCUCAAUGAAUCCUUUUAGGGAGCAGCGUUCUUCUUGCAGCACACGAAGAACAAACCGAGCUUUUCAACCACGCGUGUUUCGGCCGUCUCGUUAUCACCACACAGAAGAACAAACAGUGGUUUCAACUAUGCCACGAGGAAGCUUUUUACCUUUUCACCGUAAUGAAAUGCAUCAAGAUUGUAGGUCAAAAUAGCUGCGUAAAAAACAAGGAAGAGCUGUGGGAUUACAUGUCGUCCAAGAGAGUGAAUUUCCCGGUUCUGUAUAAAGCGUAUUCGCAUCUUCGUACGAAGAACUGGGUGGUUAGGGCGGGGUCUCAGUACGGAGUUGACUUUCAUUGCACUCUUCAUCUCAGUGGCAGUGUUGCAAAAACGUUGUUGGUUCUCCACAUUAGCAGAAACUGUAACGAUUGUGACGGUGCUAGUUCUUCUCCUUGGAAUAUUAAUUAUUACAGCGUCGAGGAAAGAAUCGUUGCCAGGUGAAAUCCCGAGCAAAGCCGGGAGAAUUGUACGGUUGCAGAGAAGGAAUCGUGUAAGUCGUCAUAAGCUUAACUUAACUCCUGUUUAUUGUACCAGUUACUAUGUUGUAAGAUUUCGCCAUCUUGUAUAAAUAAGAGAUUGCUGCAGAAAUUGGUCUGCUGAUUUUGGGCAGGAAUCUGCUGCAUGCACUGUAUCUAAGUAAAAGAUUUGCGAGUACAUCCAUAUCAUUUACUAAAUAUUUUAGAUUUUUUUAUUUUACUUUUUAUUUUUUGUUUUUCAUGUGCAAAUGUGAUCAGGAAAAAAAUAUUAUAGAGAAAACAAUAAGGCAAAUUAUGGAUACCUCCCUGAUGUAAGAUCAAAUUACAAAAAACCAUCUUAUUUCAGUACUUACAACUAUCCCCUCAACUAUGUAUAAUCUUACGAAAAACCCCCUCAUUCAGUAGGUAAUCUUGACACCGUAAGGAUGGACGUGUAUUAAAGGGGUGGUUGUAAUUACUCAAAUAUAAGGGGGGUUUUGUAAUUUGAUCUUACUUUAGUGGGGUGAUCAUAAUUUGCCCAAAAUAAUAUAAGUAAAAACCCAAAGAUUAAAUACUCUCUAAAAAUAAAUUGAAUUUGAAGUGAUUAAACAGCAAAAUAUUAAUUAACACUAUUAAUUAAACACCUUUCAUGGAUCCAUGUCUACUCAAUGAUGCAUUGUGCACAUCCAGUUGCUUAUAAACCUAUUUUAAACAUGUAACAGAAUAAACAACACUCUUACGUAGUUUACAUGUGCACCAUAGUUCUUAAACAGUUCCAUUACAAGACACGUCAUCACAUUAAUACAAAAUAUAUAGACAGUGUGUUUUUUUUCUUUCUUUUUUGUUUUUCCGAAAACACCAAAAAAACUGCGAAAUAACUCUACAUACGCGCGUUGCUCGUAAAAAUCUUUAAAAUCCAAACGCACCUCUAGAAAUGUAUCCUACUAGGCUGCGACUUCUCCAUUCUUGUCUCUCCAUAAGGCUCGUCAUUAUCGAUCCUUUUGUUGUGCCUAAAAACAGCACAAGCAUCCACAUAGAGUCUGACGAGGAUUAUCAAGAUAACUAUGUUAAUAACCGACACUUUUCUCCAGCUCUUCUUCAAGCUAGCCACUACCCCAGCUUUGCAAGAAUCGAACCCGUAGCAUAGUUGCUCCUGGUCGUUGCUCCAUUUUGUGCAAUCUGUGUCGGGCCCCACGAGGCCUCCACCUGGCGUCCACACCGUCUCAUUUAUGUACACGUAGCCGCAUGAUGUAGGCGGUUUGCAACAUCCAGACUAGCACAUGUAAAACCAAUGUUAAGCAUGCCAAGCUAAGAGUUAUAUUUGACUUGCCAAAAAAUCUAGAUUUGGUAAAAAAGUCUUCAUGUUAUAAUAUUAGCAAAAGAACCCCAUGGUGCAUUAUCUAGAUUUGCUAAAUGGUGUGUUUAAGGGGGUAGUCUGCUAGUUAAAAAAUAACAUCAUAAAUGAUUUUUGCUAAUAUAUACAUAACACGGAAUCAUAGGGAUGCUAAAUGCAAUAAAUUACCCCGUGUUAUCCUAUUAAGGCCUCGUGUGGUUGUCACAAUGGAAUAAGCCAAGAUAUACACAAUCUUAUUAAAUUCCGGAUUGUAUAACUAGACCAGCGGGUCCCAUUAAGUCAAAAUAAACAGAUAAAGAGCAUGGACGAAACCAAAUAAAAGCCCGUUAAUUAAUCAUGGCACAAACGAGAACUAGUUUCGAGAAAUAGAUACCGAGUGCAUAGAAGCACGAGAUAAGCAAAAAUAGUAUUAUAUGUUAUAUGCUUUCAAAAAAUAGUAUUAUAUGUUAUACCGAGUGCCGCCAACGUCACUUCCCACCUCUUUUUCAUCCAAUCGUUGAUUUGUCCCUUUCCAAUCACAUCCGAAUUGGAUAACUCAGGAAUUGUAGAGUCAUAAAAUUUUUCAAAGACGAGUUCCAACCGUGAUUGUUGGAAGGGCAGGACUUCCGCUAGAGCUCCACCGAACAAGAAGAUUCAGUCCAUCAAUUCUUCAAUAUGUUAUUGUUUUAAUUGUUUUUCUUCUAAUAAAGCUCGGUGAUGGUCGACGCUGUUUGUGUCUAACUUUGUUCAAUUUUUUCCCUUUCUAUAAAAUUUUGGGUCGAUGUUGAUUUCAAGUUCCUCUUCGGGCAAGGUUAGCCCUGACAUUAUGUGAAAUAAAUUUGCAUUUUUUGUGAUCUUUACAUGAAGAUCGAUGAUUUUCUGUGAUGUUUGCUGAUGGGUAGAGUCAUGUUGGUCGUGUGCAGACUUGGGUCGAUGGGAGCUGUUGUUACUGGUAAAGGCCAUGUUCCUAAUGGUUGUGCCUAUUGUUUUUUCGCAGUUUCAUUCGUACCUUUGUUUUGUCUUCUUUUGUCGGCAUGUAAUUUAUUUUCUAAAAUACCAUUUCAAUUUUUUUUUUUUAAAUUAUAUGAAUGGAUUCAGAUUUCAAUGAUCUCAUUUUCUUUUCUAGGUUGCAUGUUGGAUCCACAGAAAACCAAAUUGUUACGAAAUCAACUUCUUGGCUACAUGAUGACAUUGCUCAGGUUAUAAAUCAUGAUUAGCACAUUUAUACAAUAUUUAUCAUAAUUAAUUUGUUGUUCAGUUGUGCAUGUAUUUGAUUCAUAUGCUCACUUGAGAUUGGCAAUAGGGAGGGAUGUUCUCGCAAUUUAUUUGGCUAUUUUGAUUUUUUUUCUUUCACUAAAAGGUUUGAUUUCUCUGCUUCACUGUUUAUUGAAUCUUCAUAAUUACUUCGAGUUGCUAAUUCCUUCUACCUCAUAACGUUUUCGAGAUUAUGCAAGCAAUGCAUUCAUUUUACUGUUCUAAUUCUUUGCAGUCUACUCUAUUGGCUCCUUUCUUGCAGCAACCCCACUUUCAGUAAUUAGUAAUUCUAAUAGAAGAUACGGAAGUCAACACCAGCUCGACCUUCAGUAAUUACUUGUGGAGUUGGUUGGCUGUUAACGAUGAAAACCUAUUAUGAUUCUCUUUUUCCAAUUUUUAAUCAGAUUUCUUAUGAUUCUUAAUGUGAAUUUAGGUGGCCAGAGCUUUGCUUGAUUCUCUUUUUGGCAAUCUCACAGGUUCUAGUACAGUAUAGUAAGAAUCGAUACAAUAUUGCAAUAUUGUAAGAAUUGAUACAUAAACUCAAAAUUCAAAUAAAUCAUCUUGUUUAUAAAAUAUAUCUUUGAAAAAGUGUUUUUGGGUGUAAUAAAACAGAGAAAACGCACGUCUUUUGGCCAUGAAAAAAGCAGGAAGAGGGGGAGUUAUACGGAUAUCAUCAUGUUUCACGAUUUUCUUCUCCUUUUUUAGUAUAUGCAAAAUUAAUUGAAUACUACCACUCUGCAUUUUGGUCAGAAAAAAGGAUAUAAUCCUUUGACCUAUUUGCAGCUUCUUAUUGCAUGUUGUUUGGUUAUGUCGUAAUUAUAUUUAUUACUCAUUCUUAUCUCACUAUACAUCCUUACAUUUUGAAUGUUAGUCUACAUAUUUUUCAGGAAAGACGACACUUAUUCAUUGUUAUGCUUCUUCUCUAUGUUUUACACUGUUGUAUAGGCUGCACGCACUGCGUGGUUUUUUUUACUAGCUACCUAACAUGAUUAUAUUUUUUUCCAAAAACAAAUUUAGCCGCUUGUUCAUGGAUAUAACUAAGCCCUUUAGUUUGUAUUACACAACUUUAUUAUAACAUAUGCAAUUUUCUCUGUCUAGAUUUUCAUCCUGCAGGCAUUGGCGGUGAUGGUCUUUUCCGCUAUGGGACAAAUUUCCAUGAAAUUGAGGUUUGGGAACCAACACAUAAUUGUUGUAUCUUGAUUUUUCAAAAGGCUUGUCUACUGUGAGCUGAUGCUUUUUUGUUUCCAGAAAAUUGGUUAUGGUAACUUCAACCAGGUUUUCAAAGUCUUGAAGAGACUUGAUGGUUGCAUGUAUGCCGUAAAACAUAGCAUGAGACAGGAUGCAAAAAGGUAAUUUAAUUUAAUUUACUUGUAAUAAUCAGCUGCUUGUAUUUACGCCACUCGCUUUUUGCAGCAAACUUAUGUUUAACACUGUCACAGGUGCAAGGCUUUGAUGGAAGUUCAAGCUUUGGCAGCUUUAGGUUUGUUACAUUAUUAUAUUCUUUUUAUUUUUAUCCAAAGAUUGAGAUUUUUAAACUUUUCGAUUCCAAUUUUUCUCAGGGUACGUACCACGAGAAUAUAGUUGGCUAUUAUUCUUCGUGGUUUGAAAACAAGCAACUUUACAUCCAAUUGGAGCUAUGCGAGCACAACCUAUCUCUCGAUAGAAUACCUAAACUAUUCACAGAAAGAGAAGCUUUAGAGGCAAUGUAUCAGGUGAAUGAUUUUGAAUCUAUAACGUGACGUAAUUGUAGCUGAUUAUUAACUUUCUGUGGUUUGUUUAUUUUAUCUUGAUGAGUUAAAUAUUUAAUUAGAAUUGUUAAAGGCUGUUAGAUGGGAUUGACUAUGACCUUUCCCAGAGGAGAUUUUUCAUUGAAAAAAUUGCAUUCGUGCAGAUUGCUAAAGCAUUGCAGUUUAUACACGGGAGAGGAGUAGUCACUUGGACGUAAAGCCAGAAAACAUUUAUGUAAAAAAUGGAGUUUAUAAACUUGGUGAUUUUGGUUGUGCGACUGUCGUUGAUAAAAGCUGGCUAAUUGAAAAACGUGAUGCUCGGUACAUGCCCCAAGAAAUCCUGAACGAGAAUUAUGAAAAUCUAGACAAAGUUGAUAUAUUCUCGUCAGGAGCUUCCAUCUAUGAACUUGCAAGAGGGUCACCGUUACCUGAAUCAGGUUCUCAUUUCCUUACUUUUAGGGAAUGAAAGCUGCCCCUUCUUCCGUGUCGUUCAAUCCCGUUUCAGAAUUUAAUCAAGCUAAAUUACCUUCUGCUUUUAUGAUAUGAAAAGUAGGUCUUAAUCGAGGAUAUCCAAUCUGUCUUUACUAUUAAUGUUUGAUAAUUUUGGUGAAAACUAUCGUGAUAAUUAUGUUAAUAUAACAUUCGUUUCUUUGAGUUAUAUAGACUUGGUGUAACAACCUACAGAGCAAAAUUAAAAAUUCGAGUUUUCAGAAAACUAUAUGCAGGGAAAGCUUGAGUUGAGCAUUUUAAAUGUUAAUUAUUAAUUUAUAGUGAGCAUGUUCGAUAAAAGCGCUUUGCAUUGCUACAGAUUAACUUGCGUACUGGUAUUCGAUUUUCUUUUGAUUUGUUAAUCAUUCAGAUGAUGAUGGAUGCAGAUCCUGUUCGUAGACCAACAACCAAAGAAGUAGUUAAGAAUCCAUUUUUUUACAGGAUUGGAAAGAACAAAUAAAUCAAAAGAAAACAAGUAUUUAAUUAGGUUUCUAGCAAAACUUUGCCGCCGAGGUUCAAAUGUUUAAAUUUUUUUAGUCUAACAUUUUUUUUUGAUUCGGUAUUUUAUUUGAAAUAUGUUUUUAGAUGAUCAAUCUAUACUGCUACAACAAACUGCAGGAUGUGUUUGAAGUUGUUUCCCUUUCCUUUGAAGAUUCUAAGUAGCUUGUCAAUAAUUUCGCCACUACCCGGUGAGUUUCAUGAUAAUUACCACUGUUGUUCUGUUUUUGCUUUUCCAUUGUUACUACUGUUUUCUGUCGGUCUUUGAAUAUUAAUAUUCAAAUUAUGUGGUGAACAACAGGUUGUAGAGUUUAGACAAGUUAUAACUUUCCAAGUUCUCGUGUUAUUUAUCCUUUCGUGCAAACGUCUCAUCUUAGUGUCUACCUUUCUAAGGGGAAACAACUCCUUCGUUUGUUUGCUCGCUAUUUUUUUUUUCUUCAUUGAUAAUGGUAGACUGUUAUUUUUGGUCGAUUAUUUAUGUUUUAUAUUUAUUUUUUUGGAUGUAUGCACAUGGAUUCUGCUACCGAUUUUUAAUUUCCCUUGUCGAUUUUCAGUUGGUGUUUCAAUUUCAAUUGAAACACUUAGCUUUCAGAUCUGCUCGUGUGUGAUGGCUGCAGUGUGUGUCCUCGAAACUGCCUCGACCCAAGAACUGUUUAAAGGUAAUUUUUGUGCUUCUCGUAUUUUAUUCGAUGUUAGGAACAGUAAAAGUAAAUUAUGCCAUUUUACGUGUCUAUGGCUCUGAUGGGAAAAAUGGACUUCAAGGGCAGGCCCCCUUUGCGAUGCCGAAACUUCGCGGGCAUGCAUAUGGCUUUUAGUUUCAAUUUGUGAGAGUCACAUUGCGUGUUUAUUUGCUAUUUAUGCAUUGCCAAUUAACUAUGGGAGUUCGAUUGAUGUUACAAUUAAUUGUCCACAAUUUAGAAAUGACUCAAAGUUAGGUGCUAUCUAAUGGUAUAUAUAAUGGAGCAUGCUUUGUUUCUCUUGAACUUUUCAUAUAGUGAUGACCCUUUUUUCUACUUCUUGCAUGCUUGUUUUAUUUCUGUGGGAGUUAGUUUGCUUCGGUUAUAGUUGGACUUUAAAUUAUUUAUGCUUAUAUCUUUAUAUUCGUGAUUUUUACAAGUAUUUAUUUAAUUUUGACUCGAUAGUUUAUUCUAAAGGUGUGAUGAUAGGAGUCACAACAUGGGCUUCAAAUAUAGGGUUUGAUCUAAUCAGAUGUUAUUUUCAUACUUCGACUGAAUUGAGGUUCAGUUCUUAAUUGAAGCCUUGCUAAAUAACACGAUAAAAAUUGCCUUUUGCCUGGUAUUUUGGCUUUGUAUGUUGAAAACAUGCUGCAGAACCACCUCGUUGAUUUCAAAUUGCAGCAAAGUCUAUUGACCUUCUUGUUGGACAGAGCAGAAGUGUUAGUUUUUGCCUAUGCAUACGGUAACAAAAAUGGUACGUAAUUUCAUUUGUAAAUCAAUCCAUAUUACAGUACAAAAAACUGGUUAAAAUUGUUGAGCUUUUCUGACCCUUUUAUGGUUUCUUUGCAUAAUGCAUAUGUUAGUAUCUUAUAAUACUUGUGGAAUUUGCCUAAACACCGCCUACCAUGCAAUUAUUGAGAUUUUCCUAAACACUUAUUUCCUCCAUCAUAUAUCUCGAUCUUAUUUAUCAUGUUUUGAUUCUAUUGAUUAAUACUAUUGGUUCAUUUUUUUUAUCUUCUUCUUACAGUUUGUCCGUGUUAUUAUACGCCUCUGUCCUUUAUUUUCUUUGCCCUUCUUUUCACGAUGUGUAUGAUCGACCUGUUUGCUUCUUCUUUUCUCUUUUCUUUUGUUCUCGAUUUUUUUCUUCUCUUGCUUCUUUGUCCUCAAUCGUCGCCUGCAAUUGCUGAAUCGCCGUUGAAUAUUUUUCGAUUUUGCUUCCAGUUUUGGUUAUUCUCUAUGGGUGCAAGUUCCUGGGUCUGAAUUGGAUUUCUUACAAUCUUGUCAUUGGGUUUUUUUUUUUAAAUCAUUGAUUCUGUCAUGGUUAAUACAAGUAAUCUAUUUGUAUAGAACAUGCAGCCAUUUUUUCAUCUAUCUAACGAAUAUUGGAUUGCUAUUCUUGCACAAAAAGGCGAAAUCCCUCGCCCCCAGGGCCCCCAUCCCUUGGUCCGACAAGGAUUGAUGGAGGAAUGUAAAUCAUGGUAACUCAACGGCUCGUUAAGGUAGCGGACCUGGACCUGGUGCCCACAAGGAACCAACCCUCAUUGGAGUUGAAAUUCCCACACUGCGGAUGCCAGGAUUCGAUCCUAGGACCUGGCACCAACUUACCACCUAUGGAACCAGUUGAGCUACACCCAUGCGGGCAAUAUUGGAUUGCUAUUCUAUUUAUAUAUGCAGAUUUUUUCAAGAUAAAAGAAAAUUAGAUUGGCUGAAGAGAAUGAAGGUAGCUUGCGGUCACGGGAUUCAGUUUUUACACGACAAGGCGAAUUCACCAAUGAUGAACCUCGUCCUGAACUCAUCAAAAACUUUCCUUCACUUUUGUUAUAUAUACGUUCUGAAUGCUAACAUUUGACAGUUAAGAUAGCAAUUUAUUGUCAGAUCUUUCCGACUUCUUUAAUUCGAAAACCUGCACAUUAUUCCUUCUGCCGAACAAUCUUUGCCAAACAAUCUUUUAAUGUUUGACAUAAAAUAAUCUUUUAAUAUCGGACAUGAAUAGCCGGGAAUAGGCAUCACGCAGGGCACCGCGCCUUGCGCGGUGCUCGUUACUAGUUUAUAUAUAUAUAUAUAUAUAUAUAUAUAUAUAUAUAUAUAUAUAUAUAUAUAUAUAUAUAUAUAUAUAUAUAUAUAUAUAUAUAUAUAUAUAUAUAUAUAUAUAUAUAUAUAUAUAUAUAUAUAUAUAUAUAUAUAUAUAUAUAGAAUCCUAAAAUUUAAUAUAAGAAGAAAAUAUCUAAUGAAAUGACCCCCCAUAUAUGUUGUCAGGCCAUGUGAACAAGUUAUGGAGCACGUUCUUAGCAAUUACUCAAUCAAUCCUGGGAAAAUAAAUAAUGCCAAUUAUUAUCUCAGGAUAAAAUUAAAAUACUAGGUAAAAGAAAAAAAAAACUUCAAGUGUAGACAAUGACAAUAGCCCUUUGGCUUUUGGUAAAAGACACAAUAGAAAGUGAUACGUACAAGAAUCUAUGCAUAAAUAAUUAUUUUAUUUUAUUUGAUGAUAGCCUAGCUUUCGUAUUAUUGAUGUCGUUUUCGUUUUCUUGUAAUUCGCAUGGUUUUUUCUUCGACUAGCUAGGCCAUUUUACAUUAUGAUUAAAUGAAUGUUUGAUGAAUAAUAAAAUAAAAUUGGACAAAUUACGGCCACCCCCAGAAGUAAGGUCAAAUUACGAAAAAAUCCUAAUGUUUGGGUAAUUACAACCACCCUUUAACUAUGAUUGUUCUAACACGUCCACCCUUACGGUGUCAAAUUCAAUAGAAUCUAAAAGAUUCCAUGAAAUGUUCUCUAGUUUGUACUCAUUUUGUGCAAAAAUUCAGUUUUGGAUGCACCACAAUCUGAUAUUUACAAGUCAAGAGACACAUCUUAUGAUCAUCUUGUUUUAAAACGUGGAUCUAGAAUAGGAUAAAACGGGUACAGACGGAAGAAUAUUCCACUAGAACAUUACAAUAAAUUUGACACCGUAAGGGUGGACGUGUAAGAAAAUGGAAAAGUACAGUUUGCACCCCUGAACUAUGGGGUGUGUCACAAACACCUCCCUAUACUACAAAACGUAACAAAAAGACCCCUCCGUUUUUAAACCGUUUGUAAUGUGCUGAUGUGGCAGUUGACCCUCUCUUAUUUCAUUAUUUUGACAUUUUUACCCUUCACUUUGCUAUAUCUAUAUGAAUAAAAAGAUAUUUACAUUUUCAGUAUGAAGAUAUAUUUUUUCACCCCAAACUUAAAAUUGUAAAUAAGCAAAAUACUUAAAUUUAAAUUGAUUAUGUAUUCCAAUUUUAAUAAUUAUUUUAUUUCAUCCCAAAAUAUUUUAUAUCAUUAACUUAUUAAUAUAGUAACAUAUUCAAUUUAAUUAAUACAUAAACAAAAAAAUCAGAAGAAUAAAUAUUUUUUUUAGUGAGAGCAUAUGAAUUUUCUAAGAGCAUCUCCAAGAGUGUAAUGUAAACCUAUAUUAUACACAAUAUGAACAACCAAGAUCAAAAUAGUGAGCUCCAAGAGUAAAAUGCAUAAUUAACAAAUUGGCUAAUUUGUAACUUUGGCUUCUCAAAUUUGAGAAACCAAAACUACAAUUUAGCUAAUGCAAAAAAUAUUAAAAUAAUAUUAUAUUGUUCUUUAUAAUAUAUUUAUCAUUAAAAAGUAUUUUAUAUUGUCUUAUAUUUUUGCAAAUAACUGUACUAAAUAAGAAAUUUAUUAUUUUACUUAGUAUUAAUAAUAAAUAAAAUUAAAAAAUAUUUAUCAUUUUAAUUAACAUAAAAAUAUUUCAUAAUGAAUUAUAAAUUUUUUAAUGUUUAUUUAUAUAUAUCAAUUAAGUUAUUGAAAUUUCUUUUAUCAAAUUUAAAAUUAUUUUUGUAUACUUAUUAAUUAGUAUUAUUAUUUAUUAGUAUAUUAACUAAAAUAAAAGUCAAAUAAUUUUGUAAAACAAAAAUUAUUAAAUAUUCAACAAUUAAAUAUAUUGUUUAGAAUAAUACACAUUUUUAUUAAUAUAUAAUAAUAAUAAUUGAAUAUCAUGUAGAAAUUAUUUAAUAAAAAUAAUUAAAUAUUAUAAUUGUGUAAAAUAUAAACAAUGUUGUUGGAGCGCAAUGUUAAAAGUGGAGUGUUAAAACACUGUUCAUUUGUUAUAUUAUAGAUAUAGACAACCGUUUUUAGAUAAACUGUUGGAGAUGGCCUAACAAUAAGUUAUUACUCAAUUGAAAAUUUCCUCAAAUUCAAAAAACUUAAGCUCAAACUAAAGACCAUAAAUGAUUAAAGUAAAUUAAAUAUAAAAUUUAACAAAUUUAAUUACAGAAUAAAUCAACCCUUGCAUUCAAAUAUAGUUCACAUUUCGGCCACUCCAAUCAAGAAGCAAGAUUUAACCCAGAUGCAAUCAACCUAACAUUGCUUUAAAAUUUAACAAACCCACUACUUCCUCUGGCCAAGGAUGAAAAAAUAGUACGUCGUUGCAAGAAAAAAGGUCCGGCGAGCAGGGCCAUGGCUACAGGAAGUCGAAAACGACGGAGGAGUGAACUGGGUGAAACCGUAACGGAAAAAGAAGCUUGAGAGGGAUGAAACAACAUAGGGAGAGGAAGGGGAGAAAAAACCUCUGCCGGAAAAUAUUUUCGCCGGAACGAAUGGCAUGGAAAAUCGAGAACUUAAUCCCUAUUAGAGGGAUGAGAGAAGUAUGGGAAAUGAGGAAGAAAAAAAGCAGGAGAUUUGUUGGUGGGGGUGAUGCGUAGAAAAUUGUGCAUAUUAAUAGGAAAUUGGGUCCAACAUUUCAAAUAUAUUUGAAGGGUAAAGAAGUAAAUGCAUAAGAAAACUGACGGUAUAAGUUGUUUACACGUUGACCACAAAUUAUAGGGGUUAUUUUGUUACGUUUUGUAGUCUAGGGGGGUGUUUGUGACAGACCCCAUAGUUAAGGGGUGCAAACCGUACUUUUCCCGUAAGAAAAUACAUAGUUAAGAGGUGGUUGUAAUUAGCCAAACAAUAUGAACUAUUUCGUAAUUUAAUAUGUACCUCAGGAUGUGACCGUAAUUUACCCAAAAAUAAAAUAAAUUCAACCUUUUUGCAUUGCAAGAAGAAAAGCAACAAGAAGGCACAACAAGAAGGAUGUUUGAUCAAAAAGUUUAAAGGGAAAAAAUGGACUUUAAAUUUAACCAAAAAGCUCAUAUAAAUAUUUGGUUUAUUGGUAGUAAUAAAGUAGAACAAUGUAAUCUCUUUCUAGUUCAAAUCAAAGUGUUAUUACAAAACGACAACAGAAAUUUGUGGUUAAGAUAUCUUAUCCCCUAAUAAUAAUAAAGACUGAAUUUUUAUUUUAUUUUUAAAUAUAAAUAAAAAAAUGGGCAUGUUUACAUAAUCACCAAAUUAAGAACACUAAUUAAUUCAAAGCUCCAAACAUAUAUAGAUUAAUUAAUGAUUUAUAAUAGGUAUCAGAUUUUCAUAGAUUCAAUAAAUAAAAAUCAACAAUUAAAUUCAAAUUGUUUUUUAUUCUGCUACCGAUUAUAAAUCAGAACUCGAUUUUGCCCCAGUAACUAUCACUCGCGACCCGAUUCGAGAGCCAACUCGAAUAGUCCUAGAGCAAGUAGUCGAGGUAGGCCCGGUUCAUCAUGGGCUGGCCGGAACCCUUGCCGGUGACGGCGUAGGCGAAGAUGACGAAGCCGAGUAGGGUGGCAAUGAUGAUAAACAUGGCCCACCAGUAGAGGUACAUGAGGAAGUUUUUCCAGUAGCAGGCGCCGGCGAAUCCGGCGAGGGAGACGACCAUGAUGGGGACGCCAAUUAUUAUGAGCGGCCACUGGAAGAACUUCAGGCAGUCGGUCUUGUUCGCGCGGCUGCUCAGCCAUAUUCCGCCGCCGACGAUGGGGAUCGACAGGACGAAGGUGAGGAAGUUCAGGGCGCCUAUUAGGUGGUUGCUCGUUCUCAUGGCGGCGGCGGUGGCGGUGGUUGUAAAUUUUUUUGAAAUUUAAUUUUGUCUUACAAGAGAGAGAGAGAGAGUACUGCUGUAUUUAUUGGGGAGCAGAUAUAUAAUGGGAAAAAAGCUUUGGGGAAAAUCAAAAUUUGUGGGAAACAAAGAUAAGCAUGCUUUGGUACACAGUUAAUGACUAAAUUACCUUCUGCAGAAUGAGUGAUUUACUGAUUUUGUUUAAAUUUUGGUUUAAUGGCACUUUGCCCCCCCAACUAUCGUGUGUUUUACACGUAAUCUCUGGACAAAAAACAUUUACAACAUUUUACCUAAACUGUGCACGGUGCCUCAGUUUUACCAAUUCAGUUCAUUUCUCGUGCGUCACAUGUCCAUUCACUUCAAGUGUUUUAGGGCAAAAAGAAGAAGAAAACGAGGGGAAAUAGAAGUACGAAUAAAUUUGCACUGAAUGGACGUUUAUAACGCGACAGCGGGUUAAUAAUCAUGAAUCAUAUAUUUCAUAAUUGAGGGGUUUUGGGUGAGGAAUUCUUGCAUAGGGGGAAGAUAAAAUCCUAGGUCCGUUUUUAUUGAUAUUUUCUCGUGUUAAUUUGCUUUCAUAAUUAGUUUAAUUAUUUAGUUGAUUAAAUUUGACAAUUUUCGUAGGCUGGAUAAAAAUCAUAAUUGUUAGAAUUUGGUACUUAGGAUUAGAUAAUUUGAGUAUUCCCUAUGGGAUCGACAUCCGACUCUCAUUAUUGAUUAUUGAACCCCCUCUCUGGUUUUACUCAAAGUCUCGACUUUGUGUACCUUGCGUGCGAAUCAAAUGAAGUCUUCUUCAUUUUCUUGACAUUUGUGCUUGAUGGCUAGAGCCUAUAGUUGUUGCCUUGUUGGUAAAUUACGAUAUUUUUUAUCUCCCUUAAUGGUGUCUUUGAUCUGGCAUAGUUUGACGAAUGAAAAGGUCGCUCGGGUCCCACUUUUCGAGUUACUCUCUCGUCAACUCUCUUUCCUCUAAAAAAUUUCUUCUCUUUUAUCUCUUGUGAUAUGAUUAUGUCAAAGCUUAAUAUCCAUGGUGGACAAGGAAAACAGGUGUUUGUCUUAAUACUCUGUCUACUUUUCGUCUUAUCAAUUUCUACGGAACAGAUAAUGGCAGCAAGAUGGAAAGGAAAAACAGCCGAAGUAAAAGCCCUAGCGGAGCCCAUGUCCACAAUAGUUUCUCGGCUCCAAUCCUCUUUGAUUGAAUCCAAUUCUCAAGGAAUCCUUUCAGGGAGCAGCGUUCUUCUUGCAGCACACGAAGAACAAACCGAGCUUUUCAACCAGGCGUGUUUCGGCCGUCUCGUUAUCACCACAGAGAAGAACAAACAGUGGUUUCAACUAUGCCUCGAGGAAGGUUUUUACCUCUGCACCGUAAUGAAAUGCAUCAAGAUUGUAGGUCAAAAUAGCUGCGUAAAAAACGAGGAAGAGCUGUAGGAUUACAUGUCGUCCAAGAGAGUGAAUUUUCCGAUUCUGUAUAAAGUGUGUUCGCAUCUUCGUACGAAGAACUGGGUGGUUAGGGCGGGGUCUCAGUACGGUGUUGACUUUCAUUGCACUCUUCGUCUCUGUGGCAGUGUUGCAAAAACGUUGUUGGUUCUCCACAUUAGCAGAAACUGUAACGAUUGUGACGGUGCUAGUUCUUCUCCUUGGAAUAUUUAUUAUGACAGCGUCGAGGAAAGAAUCGUUGCCAGGUGGAAUCCCGAGCAAAGCCGGGAGAAUUGUACGGUUGCAGAGAAGGAAUCGUGUAAGUCGUCAUAAGCUUAACUUAGCUCCUGUUUAUUGUACUAGUUACUAUGUUGUAAGAUUUCGCCAUCUUGUAUAAAUAAGUCUCAACACCAUAAGUACAAAAUUUUACACCACAAAACGCGAAGAAUGAAGAUCAACGAAGACUCAAGCAUAGUUUUUCUUAUUUAUUUUAUUUAUUCUAUUUUGUUUAUCAUAAGAAUUACGCGUAGCUAAGUUUUUAAUCUAGGAUUUUGUCUGAACCCUAUGUGGGGAUGGUGAACCCGUUUUCUUGAGAUUAUGCAAUUAUGAUUUUAUGAUUAUUUCUUCUACUUGUUAUGAUUGUUAGUGCAUGAACUUGAUCAAUUUAUGUGCUUUAUCUGUGAUUAUUGGGAUUGACUAGACAGAGCUAUUUUGAUAAUUAUACGGUAAGUAUAAGAACCUUCGAGUAGUUUUCACCGGAUGAGUGUGUCAAUUGCAUGUGGUGUCGUAGACAUACAGAUAUCACCUUAGGUAGCCAUUUACGAGACUUGUUAGUUAAUGCUUUACUCAUUAUUUGUUUGCAUAGACAUAUAGUGAACCGUUUAUGAAUAAUAGACUCAUAAUACACGCGACAGCGGGUUAUGAGUAAAUUAGUGUCUCGGGUUACUAAUCAUGAAUCAUAUAUCUCAUAAUUGAGGGGUUUUGGGUGAGCAAUUCUCGCAUAGGGGGAAGAUAAAAUCCUAGGUCUGUUUUUAUUGAUAUUUUAUCGUGUUAAUUUGCUUUCAUAAUUAGUUUAAUUAUUUAGUUGAUUAAAUUUGACAAUUUAGCGUAGGCUGGAUAAAAAUCAUAAUUGUUAGAAUUUGGUACUUAGGAUUAGAUAAUUUGAGUAUUCCCUGUGGGAUCGACAUCCGACUCUCACGAGUCCACUUUUACUACUUGUUUGCGAUACGUGCACUUGCGUGUUAGGUAUUUAGCACCCAACAAGUUUUUGGCGCCGUUGCCGGGGAAUACAGCUAAAUUAUCUAUUUAUUCUAAUUUCAAAUUUGAGCAUUUUUUUUUACUUCAGCCAUUUAAUUUUAAUUUUAAUUUGUAUUUUUAAUUUUUAUUUUUUUGUUUUUGUUACAUGUCUGGUUACAAUCUUCGGGCACCUCAAACGGGAUAUGAAUGGCUUCCAAGUGACGAAUACCUCCAAAACACCUGUGAUAUGCCUCCGUUUUGUUCAGCAUGUGGUGGAAAUCAUUAUUCUGAUCAAUGUUGGGGAUCACCAAAAGCGACAAAUUUCAUCGAAAUUACCAACGGAGGUUAUUGGAAUACUUGCACCAGCACAUACGAGCAAAGCUUUCAAGACCAAGAUUUGAACGAGUUUCAACAUAGAGAGCCACAAUUUUCUGAUUUUCAAAAUUAUUAUCCCUCGCAGCAACAAACCACUGAUGAACAACUUGAUUUGGUAUCCCUCAUUGCCGAAUUCAUGAAGUCCACUCAAGCAUCAUUUCGAAACAUGGAGAUACAACUGGAAGAGAUGACGCUCAAAUUAAAAUCUGAGUCUCUUGAAAAUAUUCCAGACGAAAUCGGCAAUGGUUAUAUCAAAGAAAAUUCGGGUGAAGCCUGCGGUGAGAAAAUCUUCCAUGUCCAGGAAAUAGUGUCGAUAUGAGAGAAAUAGAAAUGACGAAGACACUUGAGGAUGAUGAAUCUGAGAAUGCAAUCGAGCUAAACUCCAAAGAUGUCUCGGAACAAGAGAAGAAGGAGAUGGAUGUGGUUAGUGCAAAUAUUCAAAUUGAGGAUCUUAUUGUUGUUCAUGACGUGGCUUUGAAGGCAUUAAUAGAGGUUGACAAGAAGGCGAAUGUGUUUGAAGUGGAGGUUAUACACAGACUUGAGGUUUUUGUGUACCGAUUUGAGGGAGCGGGUGAUGAAAAUCCCAUCUUGGCUUCGUACCGAUUUAUUACAACAAAAAAAAGACUACAAGUUAAGGUGGACCGUGACAUAUUGCAGUGCUAUCCAUGCAUUGAUUGCAAUUGAAGUGAUAAUGAUCAUGGAUGGAUGCGCAAUCUACAAGGCUUUGGAUUGGACAUAACGAUUUCCAGAAGCAAAGUCCGGCUGAAGACUUAAAAUUUAGCGCUUAUCGGGAGGCAACCCGAGCAUUUAUCGUUUUUGUUUUCUCAUAUUUUUCGUAUUUUUAGUUGUUUUUUAUUUUCUUAGAAUAUAUAUAAGCGUGCAAUCUAAUAAUUUAAUCAUGUUUGAAUUUUUAGGUCGAAAAAGGACAAAGAGUCCAGACUGCCGUCCGAAAAUCAAGCAAAAACCCGAGACGGCCGUCCGGAGAAGUUACGACGAAUUGUGAACCUACUGUUAGUGGGACGUCCGUCCCGAAAACAAUGCAAAACGUGGGACGGCCGUCCGGAAUACCCCUGAAAAAAAAGGUGUUUGCUUGAAAGUAGAAGAGAAGGAGGGGUGCAACACGUGGAGGACGUUUCAACUAAUCAAGGUGUAUUCUAUCCUUAAACUUCGUUUUAAUUACAUUGAGAACAAUGUAAAUUUUAAGUUUGGGGGUGGAAAAACAGUUUUUAUGUGCUUUAUAGGUUUUAGAUUGCAUGCUUUAGGAUUUUAUUUCUUUAUAGUCGUUUUCUUUUAUUUAUUAUUUUCUUUAAAAAAAAUUGCUUGAGUCGAACGCAUCGAUGAGUUAUGAUGAUGAGAGAUGAUCAUUGUGUGAUGAUGAAAUUGCUUGUUUUGUUGUGAUAAGGAUUAGAUGUUUGUUUAGCUUUCGAUUCAACGGAACAUAGAAACGACUUAUUGCUAGGAAUCACACUUUGUGCAUUGCUUUAGUUGAAUAUUUUGUAUUUUAAAUUUGGAGCUAAUUUGUGUUAGAUCAUGCUAUGUUCAGUUUUAGACCUCACCUUAGGAAAUUUAUGAUACGAAGUAUUGAGUAGUGAGUGAUUUGGGAUUAGAUUUGGGCCUUCUUUGAUCCGUUUGAGCCUUUCAAGCCGACCUUUUUAUCGAAAUUUUCCUUAGAACCUUGAUUUGAGCCUCGGAGAAAAGGUGUUCUUUCUUUUAGCCAAUGUGUAUAAGGUAGAAUAGAUGGAGAUUCUUGAAAAAUUACCCCUUGGAGUUCGGUUGAAAAUUUUUAUAAGGUCUCUCUUCUUCUUAAAAAAAAAAGACGAAGAAGUAUAUAGGCUUCUAUAUAUAUUUAUAAAAGAAAAAAAAAACAAAAAGAGAGAAGAAGAAGAAGAGACUAGAAGUGAGAAGAAAGGACUAGUUGUUGAAAUUAUUUUUGAAAGCUCGAUCUAUUGCCUCAAAAGCAAAAGUGGAGACUUUUGAACUUUUGAGAAACGAGUUAAUUAAAGUCCUUAGAGGUGAAUUCAUUGUUUCAAACGCCUAUCUUUCAGAUUUUGGCGUAAUCACCUCAAUUCAACAAUAAUAGCCACAUAUACCCAUAUUUCCUACCUCGAACCAAAGAGCCUAACAAUUGAAAGCCAAAAAGCCCAAUGAUCCCAAUAGCUUAAUGUUCGAUAUUAGUAGAGUAGAAUAAUUUGGUGAGUAUUUGGAGUCAAACAUAUGCAUGUAAGCAUAAAUUUUUUCUAUCUUUAAUUUACAAAUAUUGGAUGCUUGAAGCAAUUGCAUGAUUUGUGGUUUUUGGUUGUGGUAGGUGACUAAGUGCUUUUGAAUUUUGAACUUCCGAAUGCCUAAGAAUUUUCAUUAUAAUUACAAGUUCUGAAAACGUGGAUUUGGUCAUUAAUCUAUGUGAUGAGAUGCGGUAGUUGAGUUUUUUGCUUACGAUUAGAUUUUGCUUGAGGACAAGCAAAAGUUCAAGUUUGGGGGUGUGUUGAGUGUAGAUAUUACACUCAAUAUGUUUACUUUACGUGAAUCUUUUGUUUAGAUUUAAUUAUAUUUGUGCUUUAAUUGAUUGAUUUUGUGUUUUAUAGGUGAAAAAACGAGAAUUAAGUGUCCAUGAAGGAAAAAAAAGAUCAAAAAGAAAGGAAAAAGUUGCAAAUAAGGAAACAAAUCAAAUUAGAAGGAAUCUCGCCACAACAUUGAUAGUGUCCACCAUUUCGAGCAUAUCUCUCUCAUACAAACUCCGAAUUAGGUGAUUUUGACGGCAUUAGAAAGCUAAUUUCAAGGGAUACAAUUCUUAUUUACACAACAUUCCAAAAUUCGGACUCCAACAUGGCACAAAUUGACGAACAAAUCCUGAUGGGGGAAAGUGGCGAAAAUUGAUUCAUAUUAGGUUUCUACUACUUCUUAUCAAGAAAAGCAUAUAAAAGCAACAAGUCUCAACACCAUAAGUACGAAAUUUUACACCACAAAACGCGAAGAACGAAGAUCAACGAAGACUCAAGCAUAGUUUUUUCUUAUUUAUUUUAUUUAUUCUACUUUGUUUAACAUAAGAAUUACGCGUAGCUAAGUUUUUAAUCUAGGAUUUUGUCGGAACCCUAUGUGGGGAUGGUGAACCCGUUUUCUUGAGAUUAUUCAAUUAUGAUUUUAUGAUUAUUUCUUCUACUUGUUAUGAUUGUUAGUGCAUGAACUUGAUCAAUUUAUGUGCUUUGAUGAUGCUAAAAUAUAGCUCACCUAGGGUGGUGUAGAAAAUGAGCUGGGAGAGCAAAGCGGAUCAGUAGCAUGACGACUUGAUGAUCCUGAGGUCCCUGCGAAAUGAACACACGUGAACUACGCCGGAGGUUGAUCCGGCGGAAACCCCUCCGACGCUCAAGUCAGAUAUACGGAUUGCGGAGAUGGUAGAGAGAAUCAAACUCUAGCUUGUUCGUGAAUAAUGAAAAUCAUACCUUUACAAAUGAGUAAAACAUCUAUUUAUAUAUCGGUGAUUGGGUUGGGCUUACUUUGUUGGGCCCAAGCCUUACUUUGAAGGUGUUUGGGCUUCCGUGUAGUGGGCCUAAUUAGUAAAUAAAUAUGAGGGCCCAUUGGGCCGGCUCAUUUAUGUAUAUCAUUAAGCCCCCCAACUCUUGAUUCGAGACGGGGACUUGUGUAGAGGGGUCCGGGUCGUGUCUAGAGUUUAAUUGCGUCGUGGAUUGAAUAGUUUCCGUUGGCGGUGAAUUAAUUCCUUGAUUUAAAUAAGGGAUAAUUGUAUUUACUUGGCAGCGAGGUAUAUAUUUAAGGGUUUUAAAUAUUAUACCAGGGCCAGAUAAAUAGUCUCUUUUUGCGGUGGAAAGAAUUAAAAUUCAUCUCCUUCGUAAUAAAUAUGGGUAUGUACUUUUAACUUUAGGUCUUCUUUGUGUUCUCUUCUUUUAUUCUAUAGCGGUAGAGUAGAAAUUUUUUGUUAUCUUGAUUGCUUCUUUGGGGAAAAAUAUUUCUCAUGUCGAACCCGGGUAAUUCGAAACCCUUGCGAAUUAAACUUUGAGAUCCGGUUGAAGGGGGCAAGAAAAAUUUUGGUUCCGUGGGAAUGGAACGCGAGAAGGUAGUAGUAUCGGGUGGGGAAAUCGGAUCUGCGGUAGGUAGUGCACGAUGUUUGAAGAAAAGAGGGGUCUCGGCUGGGGGGAUAGGCUCGAGCCGAGUGGUUAAUCUGAGUGAGGGCGCGCACCUCGAGAAGGCGGCUGAGCCCCUUGAAGCCGCUGAGCUGGAGGCUCACACGGUAUCCGAGGAGAGGAGGUUCGGUGUAGCAGGCGCGUCGGGCGCGGAGAUCGGUAGACGCGCGCGCGUGUCGGGUACGGAGAUCGAAGGACGCGCGCGCGUGGACGUUGACUGCCGGGUGGUUUGCGCGCCUCCCGAGCGACGCGCGCGUGCAUCAGAGGGGCUGUGCCGAGGUGACGCGCGCGCGCUGCCCUAUCCCGGGGCGCGUGACGGCGCGUGUUGGACUGGAUUGGGGGCACGUGGCCCUGCUGCGGCUUGUGACGCGCGCGCGCGUGAGGCAGCCCCUCUUCGGCGGACGCGCGCGCGUGAGGGCGCGUUUGAAGGCCGUUUUCGGGCUGGGUCGGGUGAAAUUGAUGGGCGAAUCGCCGAGGCACUUGGUUGUUUAAAUGGGGUGAGUUUUGGACAACGAGAAAUCAUUGAAUCUUGGAUUGACGAUGUACAAGCGAGUUAUAAUGUUGAUAUUUGCCCUACUGUUGAUGAAGUGGAUUCCAGUAGACGUCGUUAUGGGCGUCAAGUCGUGGAUUUUGGGAGUGAUAGCGAUGAUUCGAAUCAAGCACCUUUGGCGAGUGAUCAUGCGGUGCCAAGUAGUGAAGUUGAGCCGAUGGUCGAAGAGGAGGAGGAAGAUGAUAUUCCACUGGGUGAUGUUGAGAUUGAUUCUAGGAGGCAAAAGAAACAUAAGUUGAUUAAUUUGGACUUAGUUUAUUUUGAUAGUAAACUGACGGAAGAGCAUUUGCAGUCUAUUCGUCGUUUAGUUGGAGCGCAUAGAAAUAUCGAGUUGUUGUUGCCUCAUAAGGGCGACCGGUUGUAUUCGCCACCCAAUGGGUUUCAUACGGUAUUCUUGGCGUAUGUGACGUGCACAUCUCAGAUUACUCCGCAUCCGACCUUGUUGAAGAUUUGCGAGGAAUUCAAGAUAGGGUAUAGUCAGCUAACUCCCUCUGCUGUUCUGAUGUUCGAGGCGUUUCACCAUAGAGUGUCUCGAGUAGGUUUGCCUAUUACUGUGAGUUUGUUCAAGGCGUUAUUUAUGUUACAUCGGCCCAAUAAGUGGCCUUUCUUUUGUUUUCAUCCUCGCGUUCCCUACCAAUUCGUGAAAAGUGUGAAGUUAUCCUUGGGGGGAAUGGAAGACCAAUUUUUUUUUAUGUGAAUGCUCCCACUUUCGACGUCCCCGUAGUUUGGAACCCUACGUGCGAGAGUUUCACGAGAACUGCGAAUAUGGUGAAGAGGAUAGAAGAGUCUAAGUUGUGUGAUGUGGAAUUUGACCCGAGGGUUUUGAUACCAAAGGCAAAGGGUUAGCACCGUAUAUCCUUUGAGUGAUUGAUUUUUUCGCUUCUAUUUUUUUUUUUUUUUUUUUUUGUAGUUCUUUGGUUGUAUAUACCCCAUGUCUCUUAAGUGUUUGUUAUCUUUUGUAGAUGGGGGUAUCACCUUUGCGGCACUUCGAGCUAAGGCGAAUGGGACGUCGAAAAAGGCAUCGAAGAAGGUUCCCGCCACGUUGGGAGGUUCUUCAGGUGGUUUGUCUCGUGAGACGGUCCAUGUAGAAACUCCUCGAGUUAUCGAAGAUGACCGUAGCAGUGCUGGUGAAGUGGAGGGGCGUCCACCGACGAGGUAUCGUGGCAAGGGAAAGAGGGUGGAUACCGAGUAAGUGGCUGUGCCUAAGUGUCCACGGGUAGACCCAGAGGAGACCUAUGCUUUCCAUGGUGGGGGAGGGAAACAGUUGUUUACCAAUGGCGUGAAUCGCGAUGAUAAGGAGUCGUAUUGGGAUGUGUCGGACCAUGAUUUGCCGAUGUUGAGUACCGAGGGAUUCGUUCGGGAGUAUGAUCGUGCUCGGAUGUCUGGUAAGGGCCCUUCUCACAUGUUGGAGUUAGCCGGUGGGGACAUAUGUCGGGUGAGUCCUUGUUUAUUUAAAACAAGAUUAAAUGUUACCUCAUCUCUUUCUUGUGUAAUUUUUUUUUUUAGUUGGUAGCGACUUGGAGAUAUCUGAUGGAGCAAGGUAGGAACGUGGAAGCUAGGAAGGAAGAGGAGCGGGCUCGAAGUCAGGCGCGUGAAGACGAACUUCUAAGCCAAUUGGAGAAAGCGUGGUCCGAUCUUACUCAACGGUCGGAAGAACUUGCCCAGAGGACAGAGGAGCUUGCUCAGAGGACAGGGGAGCUUGAGGUUAUCCAAGGUGAUGCGAAGGCAUAUAAGGAUGAUGUUCAUAAGUUGAACGAGUGUUAUGACCAGCUCAAAGAGAAAUAUGAAGUUGAGAAGGCGACGGGGAAGAGGUUCCUCGCGACGUUAGGUGGUGCGGCUUAUAGGGAGUCCAUCGUGGAGGAAACCAAGCUUAGCUUCCGAGGUAGUGAUGAGUGUGCUGCUAUGAUUGGGGAGCAUGCGUUGGCUGUGGUCUAUAAGCCAUUAGUUCGUGCUUGUCGCAAAUAUCUUCGCGAUGCGGGUAGUGUUAGUGAGAAGGUUAUUCGGGGGAUGGAGGCUGGUAUAUCCGAUGAAGAGGAGGAUGAGGUCGAUGUCAACGGCACGGGAACAGAGCUCGUUGAUGACAUUGUUGCUGAUGACCCCACUGUGGGAGCGUCUUCCGCCCGUGGUGGGGGAGUUUAGAUAUUUUUGAUAGGAUGGUUAAACUCUUUUUUAUUUAUUAUUGCUAUGGAUUUCUUAAUUUAUUUUUAUCGCUGAUGUAGAUGGGUAUGUCCACUACUGUUUCGUUUGAAUUUAUUCCUUGUUUGACAUUUGAAGUUUUGAUACUUAGUUAUUUAUUUUGACAUUGUCAAGAGUUAAUGCGCUGCUUAUAUGUAUUUACAUUUAGCAUUGUACGCGAUGUACUUGAGGUGGGGAUCAGUCUCCCAAGGUUUUUGUUAAGGGUCGUGCCCUUUGUUCGGACCGCUUGGGUCUUAAAUAUAUUUGUCCGUGGCCACGUUUUAAAAUUAACACCUCGUGAAACAAAUAAAGGGACUCAGAUGAUCCAGCUGGCCAGGCUAUAUGGAUUAUCUAAAUCUCUCUAAGUGUUUAUAGGGUGGUAUUGAAUUAGACUCAUGAUAAGAGGUAGUUUGUAUCGAUGUAAAGACACAGAGAGUAAAACGAAAAUUGUGAUUUAUUCGAUGAUAGCAAAGGAUAAUUGUUACAAGCCUAUGUGAGGCAAAUUUAAAUAAAUAGCUAAGUCGAUAGACCUACGUGAGGCGAAGGUAACUAACUACUGCUAAAGCAAAUAAAUUGUCUUGAUAAAAACUCUCCUAAGUGAUUGUGUGGCACUUAUUCUUCUUCCACGUCUUCCUUGUACUAGUUCGUUUCACUGUGCUGAUGGUAGAUUGACUUCUUUUGGCGUCUCUAUGCCUUUCAAGUAUAAUUGAAAAAAAAGAAAAUUUGUUUAAACACUUGUAUUGAAGAUUUAGUAGUUGAAGCUGUGGUGAUGUGUGCUGCACUUUCACGUACCCUACUACGGGGGUUGUUUUUUCUCUCUCGCACUCCGAGAUAUGAAAUCGACUCGUGAGUUGCUGUGUGCUCAUGCCUGCUAGUGGAAUUAUUUUUUCACGUUAGUAUGAAUACUCAAGAACACGCGUUUGGUGUAUUCUAGUGGAAGUAUUGUUACCCUUGGCGAUGUGGUAUGGAUGGUCCUCGCUCUUUGGGCCAUUGAUUGAGUAAUAUGCAUCCCCUCGUAAUUGGUUAUCAAUCUAUAAUAAGAUGGUGAGAUGUGAUUAUGAAUUACUAAUGUAAAUAAAUUCGCUAGCCCCCCAGUCUAGGUAGGGUGUUAACGCACCUAGUUAUGUAGUAGAAAAUUUCCAACCAUGUAGAAAGAGCUUUACAAGACGAGUGACGUGGAAGGUCGCGGAGCCUAAAGUGUAGAACCGUUUGAGGUUCCCUAUAUUCCAUGUUCUGGGUAUAGGGUGUCCGUCAGUGUUCUUGAGGCGAUAUGCUCCAGUGUUGACCACUUUUGUGAUUUUAUAUGGUCCUUCUCACUUUGGAUCGAGCUUACCAAUGGGGUGAGAGGCUUCAGCUUUCCGGAGGACUAAAUCUCCAACUUGAAAGGAGCGAGGACGGACCUUUGAGUUAUAUGCCUUGGCCAUGCAUGAUUUGUACAUCUGUUGCCGGAUGUAUGCGAUCUUUCGUAAUUCAUCUACAAGGUCUAGGCUUCCUCGCAUAGCUUCUUCAUUAGCUGCUGGAUCAUAAUUGGUGAUUCUCCAAGAUGGUUCACCUAUUUCAACGGGUGCUAUAGCCUCUGUGCCGAAAGCUAUAUUGAAAGGCGACUCUCCGGUUGUUGCGCGUGGGGUUGUGCGAUAAGCCCAUAGUGCGUUAGGCAAUUCUUCCAUCCAUUUCCCUUUGGCACUUCCCAGCCUUGUCUUAAGGUGUUGGAGGAUGGUGGGAUUUGUAACCUCUGUCUGGCCGUUAGCUUGUGGAUUUGCUACCGAUGUGAAGAAUUGGUUGAUUUCCAAGCCGAGGCACCAAUUUUUUACUUUGUCACUUCAAAAUUUGGUUCCAUUAUAUGAGAUAAUGGAACGUGGGAUUCCAAAGCGACACACGAUGUUUUUCCAUAGAAAUUGGAUGACUUCUUCUUCUCGGAUGCGUGCUAAGGGUUCAGCCUCCACCCAUUUGGUGAAGUAGUCCACUGCUACAAUGAGGUAUUUGCGUCCUCCUGUGGCGGGCGAGAAUGGUCCAACUAAAUCCAUUCCCCAUUGGGCGAAAGGGAUGGGGCUGUCAAUUGGUUGCAUUAAUGCUGCUGGCAGGUGAGGAAUAUUGGCAUGCUCUUGGCAAGGCUUACACCUCCGGACUAAUCUCUUCGCGUCUUCAUGCAUCGUUGGCCAAUAGUAGCCUUGCCUCAGUAGUUUGAGAGCUAAGGUUCUCCCGCUCAAGUGAUUGCCGCAGAUGCCUUCGUGUACUUCUCUAAGUACGUAAUCCGUUGUGGUCGGGUCGAGGCACUUGAGAUAGGGGAAUGAGAACCCUCGUUUGUACAAUUCUUCUCCCACUAUGACGAAGCGGGCGGCUCUUGUUUUUAACUUCCGUGCUUUAGUGGGAUCUGUUGGAAGUUCUCCCUUCUUGAGAUAUUUCAGGAUUGGGGUGAACCAGCAUGGUUCAUCCUCCUUGGUGUACUGUACUUCAGUGGCUGAAGUUAUCUCCGGCUGAGGUGAGAUGAGGAGCGUCACCUUCCGACUUCCGAUGCUGGCCAUGGAACUUCCAAGCCUAGCUAAUUUAUCAGCGUGGAUGUUAUUGGAGCGGGGCACUUGUUUAAUUUCGUAGCUCUCGAACUUGGAUAAUAGAGCGUGUGUGCGAGCUAAGUAUUUGGUCAUGGUAUCUUCUUUGGCCUCGUAAACUCCGAGUACUUGGUUAACGACGAGCUGAGAGUCGCUUUGGAUUAGGAGCUUGCGCGCUCCGGCUGCUUGGGCAAGGCGGAUUCCCGCUAUCAAUGCUUCGUAUUCAGCGACGUUGUUUUAGGCUGUGAAUUCGAACUCGUGUCCGUCAGGGUUUGUUAGGACGAUACCCGCCCCCCCUCUUGUGGCAGUGGAAGAUCCAUCGACGCUGACAGACCAGGUAGGUAGAGAGGUGCUUUCUUCUACUGAGGUCAUUUCGACUAGAAAGUCAGCCAAUACUUGCGCUUUGAUAGCGGGACGGGGUUUGAAUUCUAUCCCAUAUUCGCUUAGCUCAAUUGCCCAUUUUGCUAAUCGCCCGGAUGUCUCGGGACAUCUUAGUAUCUGCUUCAGAGGAUAAUUGGCGAGAAAAACCACUUGAUGCGACUGGAAGUAGGGUCGAAGCUUUCGAGCUGCGUUGAUGAGGGCGAGAGCGAGCUUCUCCAUAUUGGUAUAGCGUUGUUCGGCUCCUUGGAGGGCGCGACUUAUGUAGUAUAUGGGUUGAUGACCUUUUCCUCCAUCUCGGAUGAGGACUGCGCUGAUGGCAUCAGCCGAGGUAGCUAAGUACAGCAUGAGGGUGUCUCCCGGCUGAGGUUUUGUAAGCAAGGGUGGUGAUGCGAGAUAUAACUUUAGCUCAGUGAAGGAUUUUUGACAUGCCUCAUCCCACUCGAACUUUUUUCCUCCCCUUAAAAUCUUGAAGAAAGGGAGAGCCUUGUUCGCUGAUCUUGAAAUGAAUCUGUUCAGGGAUGCUAAACAGCCGUUGAGCUGUUGAACUUUCUUGAUCGAUGUUGGUCGAGCCAUGGAGGUGAUUGCUUCGAUUUUCGCGGGAUUAGCUUCGAUUCCUCGCUGCGAAAUCAUAUAACCCAAAAAUUUGCCUCCCCGAACUCCGAAUGAACAUUUGAGGGGGUUGAGCUUCAUCUUAUAUUUUCACUGGGUGGCGAAACACUGAUCCAGAUCAGUUAGGUGGUCCGAGACCUUGACACUUUUGACGAGCACGUCGUCGAUAUACACCUCCAUAUUCUUACCGAUCUGAUCUGCGAACAUGGCAUUCACUAGACGUUGGUAAGUGGCUCAUGCAUUUUUUAAUCCAAAAGGCAUGACUCGAUAGCAGUAGAUGCCUUGGUCUGUGACAAAGCUAGCCGUCUCUUGAUCUUCUGGUGCGAGCAAGAUUUGGUUAUACCCUUGAUAAGCGUCAAGGAAGCUGAGGAGCUCACAUCCCGAAGUUGAAUCGAUGAGUUGGUCGAUUCUAGGUAAAUGAAAUGGGUCCUUAGGACAAGCUUUGUUGAGGUCAGUGAAAUCCAUGCAUAACCUCCACUUUCCCCCGGGUUUGGGAACGAGUACUACGUUCGACAACCAUUCAGGAUACUGAACUGGUCAUAUAUGACCCGCCUCUAGAAGUUUCGCCACUUCUGCCUUGAUGUGCUUGUUGCAUUCGGGUCCAAAUGUUCGUUUCCGUUGUUUGGUCGGCUUCAACCUUUUGUCGACGUUAAGCCGAUGUAGAGCUACAUGAGGGGGGAUGCCCGACAAAUCUUGAGCUUUCCAAGCGAACACGUCUCCAUUGUGCCGCAAGAAUUUGACUAAUUGGUUCUCCAUCUCAGGAUCUAAAUCGGAUCCGAUGCGUAGGAGUUUGGAAUCAUCUCCAGGUGUGAGCUAUAUGAGCUUAAGCUCUUCGACGGCUGCUAGCUUGAUGCUGUCAUCUGGUACACUUGUGAGGAUUUCUUUAUUUUCCUCAAUGAUCGCGUUGACCCACUUCCGUUUGUCGGAUUUUUGGGUGUCGUCUCCCCUUCCGGAUGGUUUAGGCUUCUUGGAAGGUUCUCGUAGGGCCCUUGCAUAGCAUUCUCGGGCGAGACAUCUAUCUCCAAGUACUUCUCCCAUUCCAUAGGGAAUAGGGAACUUCCACUUCUGAUGGUAGGAGGAAGGCACUGAUUUGAAUGUAUGGAUUGAUGGCCUCCCUAGAAUGAUGUUGUAGGGGGAUGGCUUGUCGAGGACGAGGAAUUUGAUUAGUUUUGUGAUUCGACAAGGGUCUUCCCCUAAAGAAACGGGCAGCUCCACUUCUCCCAUGGACAAAAUGCCCUCUCCUGUGAAUCCUUUCAGGGGUGUGGAGAUGGGACUAAACCGGGCAUUAUCUAUGCCCAGCUGCUUAAAAGCGUGGAGGUACAUGAUGUCAGCUGAGCUCCACCGUCCACUAAUAUCUUCUUGACCAAGAAGUUGGCCACCAUUGUUGUUACUACCAACGCAUCGACAUGAUCUUCAUCUGGACCUUCAAGGUCGGAGUAGUUGAAGACUAUGCUAUGAUCAGGUCUUCGUACUUGAUAGAUGCGUGCGGAUGGAGAAGCACGUUCUUGAUUCAUGCGUGCUGAUCGAGCGAGGGUGCGUCUUGCAUUUUGUGAAUCGCCACCCGCCGGUUCUCCGGAGAUAAAGGAGAUGAUUCCCCGGGUAGGUUGGUUAUCGUUGUUAUCUGGGUCUCGUUGAUGACCCCCCUCCUCUCGUCGUUGUUGUUGAUCUCGAUUGUUAUCUCGGCGUGGAAGAUCGUCACGGCGCUUAUUUCGAGACUUAUCAAUGUAUUCGCCUAAGUGGCCUUGCUUGAUCAACCUAUGAAUCGCCACUUUGAGUUGUGCACAUUCCUUGGUAGUAUGUCCUCUAUCCUUAUGGAAUCGACAAUAGCGAUCCGACUUUUCUCGCUUUGCAUUUGGCUGCAUAGGAAGUGGAGUCUCUGCUAAACCUUUCUGUUCUAUUACGUGAAGGAUUUCAGUGAGGCGAAUGUUUAGCGGAGUGAAUCUGUUGUAGGAGGAAGAUGGUUGACCUUGAGGUGGAAGUGGUGGACGUCGAUCAUCCCGUCUCCUAUUGUCUUGUCGGUUCUCUUUUGUUUUUAGGAGGAGCGUUGGUAGAGGCUUCCUCUAUCCGGACGUAUUUUUCGGCUUGAUUCAGCAACUCCUCUAGGUUACCUGGGGGUGUUCCGGCGAAAGACUCUUUGAACUACCCGGUUUCAAGUUCUGCUGCAUAAUCCCGGAGAGCAUGUGUUGCCCUACACUGGGAACUUCAUGGACGGCUUCGACAAAACGCUUGUGUAGUUGCGGAGCGUUUCGUUAUCUCUCUGCACUACAGAGAAAAGGUGAGCAGGGGUCUUGGCAUACUGCUUGUUGAUGGCGAAUUGGUUGGUGAACCGAGUUGACAGCCGAGCGAAGGUGUCAAUCGAUCCUAUGGGCAGAGAGUUGAACCAAUUCAUUGCUCUCUUGGAGAGAGUGGUGCGGAACAUUUUGCACAUCGCAGCAUCCGUCGGGCCAUAUAAAUCCGCCAUGGCGCUGAAUUUCUCUAUAUGCUCUUGUGGGUCGGUGGUCCCUUCAAAUUGAGGUAAUCCCGAGAUCUUUACUCCUUGAGGUAAUACCUCGUUGAGGAUGUCUAUGGUGAAGGGACUGCGUCUUUUUGAGAUGGGCAUUCUUUCACCCAUUGGAUUAUUUGGGUGGGGGAAAAGAUUUUGGCGAGACAUUCUGCUGUUUACCUCGCCUUAUCCCUCAUUAAAGAGAGGGACUCUCUGUGGUGACGCAUUCCCCCGUGGGGGUGAGCGUUGACGCUGCUGUCUGGGCUGUGCCACUCGGUGAUUAGUAGAUAGCUGCACUCGGGACCGUGGGUCCGAGGUAGAGGAGGAGAGAUUUAUUUGAUUCUGGAUUGGCGGUGGGGCCACGGGUGGGGCUAUAGGUGGAGCUGGCGCUGGUAUCCCAUGGGGAGCGUUUUCUCCCAUCAUGGCGAUAUAUUGAGUUACGGCCUCUAUGGCAGCGCGAGUUGAGGCAUCUGCUAUCAUGCGUUGGAGUGCGUCCUCGGUUAUUAGAACCGUUCGAGGAGCAAGGAGUGGUGGAUCGGCGGGUAGUGGGUCCCGAGGAGGGAUCACCUGAACCUCGCGAGGUGGAUCCCCAGUACGUGGCACGUGGAGGAGGUGGCUCCGCGGCACGUGGAGGAAGUGGCUCCGCGGCACGUGGAGGAAGUGGCUCCGCGGCACGUGGAGGAGGUGGCAUGCCAGAUCCUCCACGGACUGGAAGGUUAUUAGCUGUAUCAUUUUCUCUCCGAGCAGACGCCUCAGGAGGAUCUUGUUGGCUACGCGAUCAGGUUUGCAUCGUUCCCACAGACGGCGCCAAAAUGAUGAUGCUAAAAUAUAGCUCACCUAGGGUGGUGUAGAAAAUGAGUUGGGAGAGCAAAGCGGAUCAGUAGCUUGACAACUUGAUGAUCCUGAGGUCCCUGCGAAAUGAACACACGUGAACUACGCCGGGGGUUGAUCCGGCGGAAACCCUUCCGACGCUCAAGUCAGAUAUACGGAUUGCGGAGAUGGUAGAGAGAAUCAAAUGCUAGCUUGGUCGUGAAUAAUGAAAAUCAUACCUUUACAAAUGAGUAAAACAUCUAUUUAUAUAUCGGUGAUUGGGUUGGGCUUACUUUGUUGGGCCCAAGCCUUACUUUGAAGGUGUUUGGGCUUUCGUGUAGUGGGCCUAAUUAGUAAAUAAAUAUGAGGGCCCAUAGGGCCGGCUCAUUUAUGUAUAUCAUUCUUUAUCUGUGAUUAUUAGGAUUGACUCGACAGAGCUAUUUUGAUAAUUAGACAGUAAGUAUAAGAACCUUCGAGUAGUUUUCACCAGAUGAGUGUGUCAAUUGCAUGUGGUGUCGUAGACAUACAUAUAUCACCUUAGGUAGCUGUUGGCCGAAAACCUACACGCAAGUGCACGUAUCGUACAAGUAAUAUAGUGGACAAUUAAGUCCGGAUAUCGAACCCACAGGGAAUAUUUAAUUACUCAAUCCUAGACGCUAAAUCCUAGCAAUUAUUACCAAACCCACCCUACACAGUCGAAUUUAGAGAGAAUUAACUAAAUUAAACUAAAUUAAAAAGCAAGCAAAAACAAGAAAGCAGUUUAAAACAAAGAUUUAAUCAGAGAAAACGAGCCUACGAUUUUAUUCUUCCCCCUAUGUGAUUAUUAUUCCCCCAAUUCCUUCAAUUAUGCAAGCAAUUAACCCAGAUUAUUAACCUGAGAUGCUAAAAUAAUCAUAACCCGCUACCGCGUGUGUUACGAUUCUAAUACUCUAGAUUCAAUUACUAUAUUCCUAUGCAAUUAAUUCUAGAAAACAGCAUUAAGCAAAAAUCUCAAUAAUGGCUACCGAAGAGAUUAACUAUAUUCCUAUGUUAAUACCACAAAGGCUCUUCUACCAUAGUUCUAAUUAUUAACCCGAUCUUCCGAUUCAUGCGAUUAACAAUAACAUAAAAGCACAUAAGGUGAUCAAGUUCAUGCACUUAAUAAAACAAGUAGAAGAAAUAAUCCGGAAUUAAAACUUGCAUAAAAUCAUAGAAAAGGGUUCAUAAAUCCCAUAUAGGGUUCCAAAUAAAAUCCUAGAAAUAAGUAGUUUAGCUACUCAUGAUUAAAGGAAAACGCAAUUAAAAUAAAUCAUAGACGAUAAAUCUAUGCUUGGAGUCUUCGAAUUCUUCGUCUUCGUUAUUGCUUUGUUGCUCUCCAAAUUGCGUCCAAAGAUGGCCCCCUAAUUGUGUGCUUGACUUGGUCUUAUAUAGGUUGGAAAACUUGGGGAAGAAGGUAGUUUGAGAACUUUUGCUUGUCCUCAAACUUGAACUUUUGCUUGUCCUCAAGCAAAAUCUACCAUUAAGCAAAUAACUCAACAAUAACAUCUCAUCACAUAGAUCAAUGAUCAACUUCACGUUUUCAGAACUUGUAAUUAUAAUGACAAUUCUUAGGCAUUCGCAAGCUCAAAAUUCAACAACACUUAGUCACUCAGCAUUACCAAAAACCACAAUUCAUACAAUUGCUUCAAGCAUCCAAUAUUUGCAAAUUAAAGAUAGAAAUAAUUUAUACUUACAUACAUAUGCUUGACUCCAAAUACUCACCAAAUUAUUCUACUCUACUAAUAUCGAACAUUAAGCUAUUGGGAUCAUUGGGGCUUUGUGGCUUUCAAUUGUUAGGCUCUUUGGUUCGAGGUAGGAAAUAUGGGUAUAUGUGGCUAUUCUUCUUGAAUUUAGGUGAUUACGCCAAAAUUUGAAAGAUAGGCGUUUGAAACAAUGAAUUCACCUCUACGGACUUUAAUAAACUCGGUUCUCAAAAGAUCAAAAGUCUCCACUUUUGCUUUUGAGACAAUGAAUCGAGUUUUCAAAAAUAAUUCAACAACUUGUCCUUAUUUCUCCCUUCUAGUCUCUUCUUCUUCUCUUUUUCUCUCUUUUUCUCUCUUUUUUUUUCUUUUAUAUAUAUAUAUAUAUAUAUAUAUAUAUAUAUAUAUAUAUAUAUAUAUAUAUAUAUAUAUAUAUGGAAGCAUAGAUGUUUGUCUUCUUUUUUUUUCUUUUUCUUUUUCUGUUCUUUUUUUUAUUUCGAGGAAGAAGAAGAAGGACCUUAUAAAAAUUUUCGACCGAACUCCAAGGGGUAAUUUUUCAAGAAUCUCCACCUAUUCUACCUUACACAUUGGCUAAAAGAAAAGAACACCUUUUCUCCGAUGCUCAAAUCAAGGUUCUAAGGAUAAUUUCGAUAAAAAGGUUGGCUUGAAAGGCUCAAACGAUUCAAAGAAAGCCCAAAUCAUAUCCCAAAUCACUCACUACUCAAUUCUUCGUAUCAUAAAUUUCUUAAGUUGAGUUCUAAAACCAAACAUAGCAUGAUCUAGCACAAAUUAAUUCCAAAUUUAAAAUACAAAACAUUCAACCAAAGCAAUGCACAAAGUGUGAUUCCUAGCAAUAAUUCGCUUCUAAGUUCCGUUGAAUCGAAAGCUAAACAAACAUCUAAUCCUUAUCACACAAAACAAGCAAUUUCAUCAUCAAACAUUGAUCAUCUCUCAUCAUCAUAACUCAUCGAUGCAUUCGACUCAAGCAAUUAUUUUUUUUUUAAUUUUUUUUUUCCGGAAAAAUGAUAAAAGCAAUAAAAAUAAAUAAAUCCUAAUGCAUGCAAACUAAAACAAAUAAGCACAAACACAUGUUUUUCACACCCAAACUUAAAAUUUUCGUUGCCCUCAACGAAAUUAGCACAAAGUAUAAGGAUAGAAAACACCUGAUUUAGUCGGAAACGAUGUCUUCGGGGUGUGAGAAUUUGUGGGAAAGAAAUUUGAUUUUCCUCUUGCGAAGAUGCCCUCUCUGUCUCUCGGAUGACCGUCCCGAUCGCAAUUCCGACCUUAAAAAUAAGAAAUCAAAUAAAUUAAUUAGAAUGCAUGCCUAUGAAAAUAAAAAUAAAACAUAAAAUUAAAGAAAAAUAUAAAAAACAGUAAAGCUCGUGUUGCCUCCCGAGAAGCGCUAAGUUUAAAGUCUUCAGCCGGAUGUUGCUUCUUGAAAUUUUUAUGUCCAAUCCAAAGCCUUGUAGAUUGCGCAUCCAUCCAUUGGCUUUAUAACUUCAAUUGGAACCAAUACAUGAAUAGCAUUGCAAUAUGUCAGGGUCCACUUUAGCUUGUAGUCUUUCUUGGAUGUAAUCAAUCGGUACGAAGCCAAGAUGGGAUCUUCAUCACCCGCUCCCUCAAAUCGGUACACAAAAGCCUCACGUCCGCGUAUAAGCUCCACUUCAAACACAUUCGCCUUCUUAUCAACCUCUAUUGAUGCCUUCAAAGCCACGUCAUGAACAACAAUAAUAUUCUCAAUUUGACUAUUUGCACUAACCACAUCCAUCUCCUUCUUCUCUUGUUCCGAGACAUCUUUGGAGUUUAGCUCAAUUGCAUUGUCAGAUUCAUCAUCCUUAAGCAUCUUCAUAAUUUCUUUUUCCCUCUCAUCGACACUAUUUUCUUGGUCUAAAGGACUUUUCUCACUACAAAUUUCAAACAGAUUUUCUUUGUUGCAACCUGAUAAGGAACUCAAAAUUGGAUUCGAAUUGGAAAAUAACUAUUUAAUUGGUAGAAGAGUUAUUUAUGGGCAUCGGUGGAGAUACCGAAAGAAAUUACGGAAAAAUAAGGGUUUUCAACGAACUCAAAUUGUAUUUGAGUACGAAACGAACUCUAUCUCAAGUAAAACGGCGUAAUGAACAAAACUCAUGAGCAUAGCUCAUGAAUCACGUCAAAUUUCAGCAAUCCAAGGUCGUUUGGACUCCUAAAAGUUCGUUUUUGCUAUUUUAGGUAAGUUUUAGAAAAUUAAUAUCAAAUCAUAGAAAAAUCGUAUUAGGAUUCCGUAAAUUGGGUUGUUCCCAAAAUUACGAGAUCUACUAGAAUUAGGAUUUAACUCGUUUUUGCCUUUUUUUGGUAAUUUUUAGUAUUUUCUUAGUUUAAUUAGGGUUUUCAGUUUUUUAGUAUAAAUAGCUGCCUUAGGACUUUAUUUUAAGAAGAAUUUCGAAUUUUAAUAAAAUCUUUAGAGUUUUCUCUAUUUUUCUGGUGGAUUCCAGAGUUUUCGGUGGAUUCCGAAUGUUAUUUUGUUCUAUAGGAUUAAUUCGUAGAAAUUAAUUCUUUACCGUGUUUCCGUCCUGCGUCAGUUGGCAUCAGUAGCGAGGUUUUUACUGGUUAGAUGGCGAAAGGUGCGAGAUAUGGAGACAACAACUACGUUGGCGAUGACCGCGGGGUUGAGAAACUGCAAAAUCUGCGGUUGGUGCGCGAGGGAUUUGCCCUUGACAACAACAACAGAAGGACUGAAUCUAACACGAUGAUUGCCGACGGUGUAGCCCGAGGUGCAUAUGUUAGACAGAAUUAUCAUGGACCUGUUCAACUUCAAUCAAGGUAUGAUGACUACUCAAAGGUGAGCCGCAACUCUUAUUUUGAAGAAAAUCCGCCUAUAAAGAGGCAAAAGGAUCGUGAUAAAUAUCGGGUAAGAGCUGAAAUUCCUUCUUUUAGUGGAAAUUUUCUUGAAGUUGAGGAUUUUAUCGAUUGGGUGUCAGAAGUCGAAAAUUAUUUUGAAUUGAUGGAUAUUUUGCCGAAUAAGAUGGUAAAAUUAGUUAGGUGUGAGUUAAAGGGUUGUGCAGCCGCAUGGUGGGAUGAAAUACAGAGGAAGAGAGCUAGACAGGAAAAGUUUCCAAUCCAAUCAUGGAGGAGGAUGAGGAGAAUGUUGAUGGAUCGUUUUUUACCCCUAGGUUAUGAACAACGUGUAUUUCAACUAUAUCGUAAUUGUUCGCAAGGGAGUAGAUCUGUUAACAAGUAUACUGCUGAGUUUAUGAGACUAGCAAACUUAAAUAACCUGCAAGAAUCCGAAAGUAUGGAAAUUUCAAGGUACUUGCAAGGAUUGAAUAUUUCAAUCCGUCUUAGGAUGGGGUGGCGCGCAUUCGACUCCCUUGAAGAGGCCCAAGAGUUAGCAUGUGAGGAGGAAUAUUAUCAGAAGCAAAAUAGAUACUCUAGAAAAACCGAAGAUGUUCCACCCGUUGUCAAAGUUAAGGAAGCACAAGGUACUUCGUUUGUUAUUCAACCUCCAAAUUUGGUGGAGGGUCACGACGUAGGUGUUGACGAAUUUGAAGAGGAAAUUGUCACAAAAGUUAAAAUUAGCGUAGCUAUGAUUAACGAUGACAUUAACGAAAUCAAGGUGAAAGUCGAUGAAGUUGAAGGAAGAGUCAAGGAGGUUGAAGAGAGCAUCAACAUAGUCGAAGAGAGCGUCAACGAGGUAGAAGAGAACGUUAGCAAGGUUGAAGAGAGAGAGUCGAUGAGUUUCAAGAGAGUGUUAAAAACAAAUUUGAGGAAGAAUUUGAAGUUGUAAAAUUUGUUCAAGAAGAGGAAGGUGCACGUGAAGAGAAGGAACAAGUGGAUUGCGUCGAGGUAUGUGAUCUAAUUGUAGAUAGUGUUUGCUGUGAAGUUCCUGUAAUGGAGAAAUUGGUGGAGCCAUUGAGAUUUUCGAUUAAGAAGCCAAUUUUUCCAACGCCUCGUUGGGAUGAAGAUUUUGUAAGCGAGAUUUUUGUCCCGGGAAUAUUGGUGGAGCACUUGAAGUUGUUUGCAAAGAAAUAUGCAUCGCUAUAUUUUGAUCAUAGCUCGAGGUCGAGCUCUUUUGAAGAAGAGGAGAUUGAUAAGGAACGCAAAAUUGGAUUCGAAUUGGAAAAUAACUAUUUAAUUCGUAGAAGAGUUAUUUAUGGGCAUCGGUGGAGAUACCGAAAGAAAUUACGGAAAAAUAAGGGUUUUCAACGAACUCAAAUUGUAUUUGAGUACGAAACGAACUCUAUCUCAAGUAAAACGGCGUAAUGAACAAAACUCAUGAGCAUAGCUCAUGAAUCACGUCAAAUUUCAGCAAUCCAAGGUCGUUUGGACUCCUAAAAGUUCGUUUUUGCUAUUUUAGGUAAGUUUUAGAAAAUUAAUAUCAAAUCAUAGAAAAAUCGUAUUAGGAUUCCGUAAAUUGGGUUGUUCCCAAAAUUACGAGAUCUACUAGAAUUAGGAUUUAACUCGUUUUUGCCUUUUUUUGGUAAUUUUUAGUAUUUUCUUAGUUUAAUUAGGGUUUUCAGUUUUUUAGUAUAAAUAGCUGCCUUAGGACUUUAUUUUAAGAAGAAUUUCGAAUUUUAAUAAAAUCUUUAGAGUUUUCUCUAUUUUUCUGGUGGAUUCCGAAUGUUAUUUUGUUCUAUAGGAUUAAUUCGUAGAAAUUAAUUCUUUACCGUGUUUCCGUCCUGCGUCACAACCAUUCUCGAUAUCGUCUGAAAUAUUUUCAAGAGACCUUUGGCGCUUGAAUUCUUCAAACUGUAACUCCAGUCUUCGGAUAGAUGCUUGAGUGGAUUUCAUAAAUUCUUCAAGGACGGAGUUCAAAUAACACUCCUGAACAGUGGGUUCUCGUGGCGUGUUGGUGUAUGUGUUCCAAUAACCGCCGUUGGUGUUAUCUAUGAAAUUAUUCGCUUUCGGUGCAUACCAACAUUGGUUAGUGUAAUGAUCUCCACCACAUAUUGAACAAAGUGACGACAUAUCAUAGGUAUUUUGGAGGUAUUCGCCAGACGGAAGCCAUUCAUAUCCCGUUUGAGGUGCGCGAAAAUUGAAACCUGACAUGUAACCAAAGAAAAAAAAAUAUAUUAAAAAAAAUUAAUUUGGGUGAAUCGUGAAAAUUGUUCAAAUUUAGAGCUAGAAUAAAAUAAAUAAUUAAAAUAUUUCCCGGUAACGGCGCCAAAAACUUGUUGGCCGAAAACCUACACGCAAGUGCACGUAUCGUACAAGUAAUAUAGUGGACAAUUAAGUCCGGAUAUCGAACCCACAGGGAAUAUUUAAUUACUCAAUCCUAGACGCUAAAUCCUAGCAAUUAUUAUCAAGCCCACCCUACACAGUCGAAUUUAGAGAGCAUUAACUAAAUUAAACUAAAUUAAAAAGCAAGCAAAAACAAGAAAGCAGUUUAAAACAAAGAUUUAAUCAGAGAAAACGAGCCUAGGAUUUUAUUCUUCCCCCUAUGUGAUUAUUAUUCCCCCAAUUCCUCCAAUUAUGCAAGCAAUUAACCCGGAUUAUUAACCUGAGAUGCUAAAAUAAUCAUAACCCGCUUCCGCGUGUAUUACGAUUCUAAUACUCUAGAUUCAAUUACUAUAUUCCUAUGCAAUUAAUUCUAGAACACAACAUUAAGCACAAAUCUCAAUAAUGGCUACCUAAGAGAUUAACUAUAUUCCUAUGUUAAUACCACAAAGGCUCUUCUACCAUAGUUCUAAUUAUUAACCCGAUCUUCCGAUUCAUGCGAUUAACAAUAACAUAAAAGCACAUAAGGUGAUCAAGUUCAUGCACUUAAUAAAACAAGUAGAAGAAAUAAUCCGGAAUUAAAACUUGCAUAAAAUCAUAGAAAAGGGUUCAUAAAUCCCACAUAGGGUUCCAAAUAAAAUCCUAGAAAUAAGUAGUUUAGCUACUCAUGAUUAAAGGAAAAACGCAAUUAAAAUAAAUCAUAGACGAUAAAUCUAUGCUUGGAGUCUUCGAAUUCUUCGUCUUCGUUAUUGCUUUGUUGCUCUCCAAAUUGCGUCCAAAGAUGGCCCCCUAAUUGUGUGCUUGACUUGGUCUUAUAUAGGUUGGAAAACAUGGGGAAGAAUGUAGUUUCCUUGUGCAAUUAGGAUUCCUUUACUGCGUUUUUUCGUCAUCUCGGACGGCCGUCCCGAAUUUUGUACUAAAACUCGGACGGCCGUCAAACAACCAGAGACUGCUUCUUGUUCUCAGACGGGGGUCCCGGAAUUUGAACUAAAACUCGGACGGGGGUCCGAGCUUUAAAUCUUCAGAAUUUUGAUUUUUUCACUUUUGGCCCAUAUUUUCUGCAAAAUUACAGUUUUGACCCCAUACUUUUCCAAUUCUUCAAUUUGUACCUAAAAUACAAUAAAUCAACUUUUUAUGCACCAAUUAUCGUUAAAAUACACCAAAAGCUCAAAUAAAAAGGUACGAUAAAGUGUAAAAAUAUACACUUAACAAUAGCCAUUUACGAGACUAGUUAGUUAAUGCUUUACUCAUAAUUUGUUUGUAUAGACAUAUAGUGAACCGUUUAUGAAUAAUAGAAUCAUAAUACACGCGACAGCGGGUUAUGAGUAAAUUAGUGUCUCGGGUUAAUAAUCAUGAAUCAUAUAUUUCAUAAUUGAGGGGUUUUGGGUGAGCAAUUCUUGCGUAGGGGGAAGAUAAAAUCCUAGGUCCGUUUUUAUUGAUAUUUUCUCGUGUUAAUUUGCUUUAAUAAUUAGUUUAAUUAUUUGGUUGAUUACAUUUGACAAUUUUACGGUGGCGGGAUAAAAAUCAUACAUGUUAGAAUUUGGUACUUAGGAUUAGAUAAUUUGAGUAUUCCCUGUGGGAUCGACAUCCGACUCUCACGAGUCCACUUUUACUACUUGUUUGCGAUACGUGCACUUGCGUGUUAGGUAUUUAGCACCCAACAAGUUUUUGUCGCCGUUGCCGGGGAAUACGGCUAAAUUAUCUAUUUAUUCUAAUAUCAAAUUUGAGCAAUUUUUUUUACUUCAGCCAUUUAAUUUUAAUUUUUUAUUUUUAUUUUUAAUUUUUAUUUUUUUGUUUUUGUUACAUGUCUGGUUACAAUCUUCGGGCACCUCAAACGGGAUAUGAAUGGCUUCUAAGUGACGAAUACCUCCAAAACACCUGUGAUAUGCCUCCGUUUUGUUCAGCAUGUGGUGGAAAUCAUUAUUCCGAUCAAUGUUGGGGAUCACCAAAAGUGACAAAUUUCGUCGAAAUUACCAACGGAGGUUAUUGGAACACUUACACCAACACAUACGAGCAAAGCUUUCAAGACAAAGAUUUGAACAAGUUUCAACAUAGAGAGCCACAAUUUUAUGAUUUUCAAAAUUAUUAUCCCUCGCAGCAACAAACCACUAAUGAACCACUUGAUUUGGUAUCCCUCGUUGCCGAAUUCAUGAAGUCCACUCAAGCAUCAUUUCGAAACAUGGAGAUACAACUGGAAGAGAUGACGCUCAAAUUAAAAUCUGAGUCUCUUGAAAAUAUUCCAGACGAAAUUGGCAAUGGUUAUAUCAAAGAAAAUUCGGGUGAAGCCUGCGGUGAGAAAAAUCUUCCAUGUCCAGGAAAUAGUGUCGAUAUGAGAGAAAUAGAAAUUACGAAGACACUUGAGGAUGAUGAAUCUGAGAAUGCAAUCGAGCUAAACUCCAAAGAUGUCUCGGAACAAGAGAAGAAGGAGAUGGAUGUGGUUAGUGCAAAUAUUCAAAUUGAGGAUCUUAUUGUUGUUCAUGAUGUGGCUUUGAAGGCAUUAAUAGAGGUUGACAAGAAGCGAAUGUGUUUGAAGUGGAGGUUAUACACAGACUUGAGGUUUUUGUGUACCGAUUUGAGGGAGCGGGUGAUGAAGAUGCCAUCUUGGCUUCGUACCGAUUUAUUACAACAAAAAAAGACUACAAGUUAAGGUGGACCGUGACAUAUUGCAGUGCAAUCCAUGCCUUGGUUGCAAUUGAAGUGAUAAUGAUCAUGGAUGGAUUCGCAAUCUACAAGGCUUUGGAUUGGAUAACGAUUUCAAGAAGCAAAGUCCGGCUGAAGAAUUAGAAUUUAGCGCUUCUCGAGAGGCAACCCGAGCGUUUAUUGUUUUCUUUUUUUUCUCAUAUUUUUCGUAUUUUUAGUUGUUUUUGAUUUUCUUAGAAUAUUUAUAAGCGGGCAAUCUAAUAAUUUAAUCAUGUUUGAAUUUUUAGGUCGAAAAACGGACACAAAGAGUCCAGACGGCCGUCCGAAAAUCAAGCCAAAACCCCAGACGGCCGUCCGGAGAAGUUACGACGAAUUGUGAACCUACUGUUUGUGGGACGGCCGUCCCAAAAACAGUGCAAAACGUGGGACGGCCGUCCGGAACACCCCUGAAAAAAAAAGGUGUUUGCUUGAAAGAAGAAGAGAUGGAGGGGUGCAACACGUGGAGGACGUUUCAACUAAUCAAGGUGUAUUCUAUCCUUAAAUUUCGUUUUAAUUACAUUGAGAACAAUGUAAUUUUUAAGUUUGGGGGUGGAAAAACAGUUUUUAUGUGCUUUAUAGCUUUUAGAUUGCAUGCUUUAGGAUUUUAUUUCUUUAUAGUCGUUUUCGUUUAUUUAUUAUUUUCUUUAAAAAAAAAUUGCUUGAGUCGAACGCAUCGAUGAGUUAUGAUGAUGAGAGAUGAUCAAUGUGUGAUGAUGAAAUUGCUUGUUUUGUUGUGAUAAGGAUUAGAUGUUUGUUUAGCUUUCGAUUCAACGGAACAAAGAAACGAAUUAUUGCUAGGAAUCACACUUUGUGCAUUGCUUUAGUUGAAUAUUUUGUAUUUUAAAUUUGGAGUUAAUUUGUGUUAGAUCAUGCUAUGUUCGGUGUUAGACCUCACCUUAGGAAAUUUAUGAUACGAAGUAUUGAGUAGUGAGUGAUUUGGGAUAUGAUUUGGGACUUCUUUGAUCCGUUUGAGCCUUUCAAGCCGACGUUUUUAUCGAAAUUUUCCUUAGAACCUUGAUUUGAGCCUCUGAGAAAAGGUGUUCUUUCUCUUAGCCAAUGUGUAUAAGGUAGAAUAGAUGGAGAUUCUUGAAAAAUUACCCCUUGGAGUUCGGUUGAAAUUAUUUAUAAGCUCUCUCUUCUUCAUAAAAAAAAAGAAAAAAAAAGAAAAAAAAAGACGAAGAAGUAUAUAGGCUUCUAUAUAUAUAUUUAUAAAAGAAAAAAAAAAAAAAAAAAAAAGAGAGAGAGAGAAGAAGAAGAAGAGCUAGAAGUGAGAAGAAAGGACUAGUUAUUGAAAUUAUUUUUGAAAGCUCGAUCUAUUGCCUCAAAAGCAAAAGUGGAGACUUUUGAACUUUUGAGAAACGAGUUAAUUAAAGUCCUUAGAGGUGAAUUCAUUGUUUCAAACGCCUAUCUUUCAAAUUUUGGCGUAAUCACCUCAAUUGAUGAAUAAUAGCCACAUAUACCCAUAUUUCCUACCUCGAACCAAAGAGCCUAACAAUUGAAAGCCAAAAAGCCCCAAUGAUCCCAAUAGCUUAAUGUUCGAUAUGAGUAGAGUAGAAUAAUUUGGUGAGUAUUUGGAGUCAAACAUACGCAUGUAAGUAUAAAUUUUUUCUAUCUUUAAUUUACAAAUAUUGGAUGCUUGAAGCAAUUGCAUGAUUUGUGUUUUUUGGCUAUGGUAGGUGACUAAUUGCUUUUGAAUUUUGAGCUUCCGAAUGCCUAAGAAUUUUCAUUAUAAUUACAAGUUCUGAAAACGUGGAUUUGGUCAUUAAUCUAUGUGAUGAGAUGCGGUAGUUGAGUUUUUUGCUUACGAUUAGAUUUUGCUUGAGGACAAGCAAAAGUUCAAGUUUGGGGGUGUGUUGAGUGUAGAUAUUACACUCAAUAUGUUUACUUUACGUGGAUCUUUUGUUUAGAUUUAAUUAUAUUUGUGCUUUAAUUGAUUGAUUUUGUGUUUUAUAGGUGAAAAACGAGAAUUAAGUGUCCAUGAAGGAAAAAAAUAUCAAAAAGAAAGGAAAAAGUUGCAAAUAAGGAAACAAAUCAAAUUGGAAGGAAUCUCGCCACAACUUUGACAGUGUCCACCAUUUCGAACUCCGAUUUAGGUGAUUUUGACGGCAAUAGAAAGCUAAUUUCAAGGGAUACAAUUCUUAUUUACACAACAUUCCAAAAUUCGGACUCCAACAUGGCACAAAUUGACGAACAAAUCCUGAUGGGGGAAAGUGGCGGAAAUCGAUUCCUAUUAGGUUUUUACUACUUCCUUAUCAAGAAAAGCCAAUAAAAGCAACAAGUCUCAACACCAUAAGUACGAAAUUUUAAAACACAAAACGCGAAGAACGAAGAUCAACGAAGACUCAAGCAUAGUUUUUCUUAUUUAUUUUAUUUAUUCUAUUUGUUUAUCAUAAGAAUUACACGUAGCUAAGUUUUUAAUCUAGGAUUUUGUCGGAACCCUAUGUGGGGAUGGUGAACCCGUUUUCUUGAGAUUAUGCAAUUAUGAUUUUAUGAUUAUUUCUUCUACUUGUUAUGAGUGUUAUUGCAUGAACUUGAUCAAUUUAUGUGCUUUAUCUGUGAUUAUUGGGAUUGACUCGAUAGAGCUAUUUUGAUAAUUAGACGGUAAGUAUAAGACCCUUCGAGUAGUUUUCACCGGAUGAGUGUGUCAAUUGCAUUUGGUGUCGUAGACAUACAUAUAUCACCUUAGGUAGCCAUUUACGAGACUUGUUAGUUAAUGGUUUACUCAUAAUUUGUUUGCAUAGACAUAUAGUGAACCGUUUAUGAAUAAUAGACUCAUAAUACACGCGACAGCGGGUUAUGAGUAAAUUAGUGUCUCGGGUUAAUAAUCAUGAAUCAUAUAUUUCAUAAUUGAGGGGUUUUGGGUGAGCAAUUCUUGCAUAGGGGGAAGAUAAAAUCCUAAGUCCGUUUUUAUUGAUAUUUUCUCGUGUUAAUUUGCUUUCAUAAUUAGUUUAAUUAUUUAGUUGAUUAAAUUUGACAAUUUUGCGUAGGUUGGAUAAAAAUCAUAAUUGUUAGAAUUUGGUACUUAGGAUUAGAUAAUUUGAGUAUUCCCUGUGGGAUCGACAUCCGACUCUCACGAGUCCAUUUUUACUACUUGUUUGUGCUACGUGCACUUGCGUGUUAGGUAUUUCGCACCCAACAAGUUUUUGGCGCCGUUGCCGGGGAAUACGGCUAAAUCAUCUAUUUAUUCUAAUAUCAAAUUUGAGUAAUUUUUUUUACUUCAGCCAUUUAAUUUUAAUUUUUUAUUUUUAUUUUUAAUUUUUAUUUUUUUGUUUUUGUUACAUGUCUGGUUACAAUCUUCGGGCACCUCAAACGGGAUAUGAAUGGCUUCCAAGUGACGAAUACCUCCAAAACACCUGUGAUAUGCCUCCGUUUUGUUCAGCAUGUGGUGGAAAUCAUUAUUCCGAUCAAUGUUGGGGAUCACCAAAAGCGACAAAUUUCGUCGAAAUUACCAACGGAGGUUAUUGGAACACUUACACCAACACAUACGAGCAAAGCUUUCAAGACCAAGAUUUGAACGAGUUUCAACAUAGAGAGCCACAAUUUUCUGAUUUUCAAAAUUAUUAUCCCUCGCAGCAACAAACCACUGAUGAACAACUUGAUUUGGUAUCCCUCAUUGCCGAAUUCAUGAAGUCCACUCAAGCAUCAUUUCGAAACAUGGAGAUACAACUGGAAGAGAUGACGCUCAAAUUAAAAUCUGAGUCUCUUGAAAAUAUUCCAGACGAAAUCGGCAAUGGUUAUAUCAAAGAAAAUUCGGGUGAAGCCUGCGGUGAGAAAAAUCUUCCAUGUCUAGGAAAUAGUGUCGAUGUGAGAGAAAUAGAAAUUACGAAGACACUUGAGGAUGAUGAAUCUGAGAAUGCAAUCGAGCUAAACUCCAAAGAUGUCUCGGAACAAGAGAAGAAGGAGAUGGAUGUGGUUAGUGCAAAUAUUCAAAUUGAGGAUCUUAUUGUUGUUCAUGACGUGGCUUUGAAGGCAUUAAUAGAGGUUGACAAGAAGGCGGAUGUGUUUGAAGUGGAGGUUAUACACAGACUUGAGGUUUUUGUGUACCGAUUUGAGGGAGCGGGUGAUGAACAUUCCAUCUUGGCUUCGUACCGAUUGAUUACAACAAAAAAAAGACUACAAGUUAAGGUGGACCGUGACAUAUUGCAGUGCUACCCAUGCCUUGGUUGCAAUUGAAGUGAUAAUGAUCAUUGAUAGAUGCGCAAUCUACAAGGCUUUGGAUUGGACAUAACGAUUUCAAGAAGCAAAGUUCGGCUGAAGACUUAAAAUUUAGCGCUUCUCGGGACGCAACCCGAGCAUUUAUCGUUUUUUUUUUUUCUCAUAUUUUUCGUAUUUUUAGUUGUUUUUGAUUUUCUUAGAAUAUAUAUAAGCGUGCAAUCUAAUAAUUUAAUCAUGUUUGAAUUUUUAGGUCGAAAAACGGACACAAAGAGUCCAGACGGCCGUCCGAAAAUCAAGCCAAAACCCCAGACGGCCGUCCGGAGAAGUUACGACGAAUUGUGAACCUACUGUUUGUGGGACGGCCGUCCCAAAAACAGUGCAAAACGUGGGACGGCCGUCCGGAACACCCCUGAAAAAAAAAGGUGUUUGCUUGAAAGAAGAAGAGAUGGAGGGGUGCAACACGUGGAGGACGUUUCAACUAAUCAAGGUGUAUUCUAUCCUUAAAUUUCGUUUUAAUUACAUUGAGAACAAUGUAAUUUUUAAGUUUGGGGGUGGAAAAACAGUUUUUAUGUGCUUUAUAGCUUUUAGAUUGCAUGCUUUAGGAUUUUAUUUCUUUAUAGUCGUUUUCGUUUAUUUAUUAUUUUCUUUAAAAAAAAAUUGCUUGAGUCGAACGCAUCGAUGAGUUAUGAUGAUGAGAGAUGAUCAAUGUGUGAUGAUGAAAUUGCUUGUUUUGUUGUGAUAAGGAUUAGAUGUUUGUUUAGCUUUCGAUUCAACGGAACAAAGAAACGAAUUAUUGCUAGGAAUCACACUUUGUGCAUUGCUUUAGUUGAAUAUUUUGUAUUUUAAAUUUGGAGUUAAUUUGUGUUAGAUCAUGCUAUGUUCGGUGUUAGACCUCACCUUAGGAAAUUUAUGAUACGAAGUAUUGAGUAGUGAGUGAUUUGGGAUAUGAUUUGGGACUUCUUUGAUCCGUUUGAGCCUUUCAAGCCGACGUUUUUAUCGAAAUUUUCCUUAGAACCUUGAUUUGAGCCUCUGAGAAAAGGUGUUCUUUCUCUUAGCCAAUGUGUAUAAGGUAGAAUAGAUGGAGAUUCUUGAAAAAUUACCCCUUGGAGUUCGGUUGAAAUUAUUUAUAAGCUCUCUCUUCUUCAUAAAAAAAAAGAAAAAAAAAGAAAAAAAAAAGACGAAGAAGUAUAUAGGCUUCUAUAUAUAUAUUUAUAAAAGAAAAAAAAAAAAAAAAAAGAGAGAGAGAGAAGAAGAAGAAGAGCUAGAAGUGAGAAGAAAGGACUAGUUAUUGAAAUUAUUUUUGAAAGCUCGAUCUAUUGCCUCAAAAGCAAAAGUGGAGACUUUUGAACUUUUGAGAAACGAGUUAAUUAAAGUCCUUAGAGGUGAAUUCAUUGUUUCAAACGCCUAUAUUUCAGAUUUUGGCGUAAUCACCUCAAUUCAAGAAUAAUAGCCACAUAUACCCAUAUUUCCUACCUCGAACCAAAGAGCCUAACAAUUGAAAACCAAAUAGCCCAAAUGAUCCCAAUAGCUUAAUGUUCGAUAUUAGUAGAGUAGAAUAAUUUUGUGAGUAUUUGGAGUCAAACAUAUGCAUGUGAGCAUACAUUUUUUCUAUCUUUAAUUUACAAAUAUUGGAUGCUUGAAGCAAUUGCAUGAGUUGUGGUUUUUGCCUAUGGUAAGUGAUUAAGUGCUUUUGAAUUUUGAGCUUCCGAAUGCCUAAGAAUUUUCAUUAUAAUUACAAGUUCUGAAAACGUGGAUUUGGUCAUUAAUCUAUGUGAUGAGAUGCGGUAGUUGACUUUUUUUUCUUACGAUUAGAUUUUGCUUGAGGACAAGCAAAAGUUCAAGUUUGGGGGUGUGUUGAGUGUAGAUAUUACACUCAAUAUGUUUACUUUACGUGGAUCUUUUGUUUAGAUUUAAUUAUAUUUGUGCUUUAAUUGAUUGAUUUUGUGUUUUAUAGGUGAAAAACGAGAAUUAAGUGUCGAUGAAGGAAAAAAGAUCAAAAAGAAAGGAAAAAGUUGCAAAUAAGGAAACAAAUCAAAUUGGAAGAAGGAAUCUCGCCACAGCUUUGACAGUGUCCACCAUUUCGAGCAUAUCUCUCUCAUGCGAACUCCGAAUUAGGUGAUUUUGACUGCAUUAGAAAGCUAAUUUCAAGGGAUACAAUUCUUAUUUACAUAACAUUCCAAAAUUCGGACUCCAACAUGACACAAAUUGACGAACAAAUCCUGAUGGGGGAAAAGUGGCGGAAAUUGAUUCCUAUUAGGUUUCUACUACUUCCUUAUCAAGAUAAGCCUAUAAAAGCAACAAGUCUCAACAUCAUAAGUACGACAUUUUACACCACAAAACGCGAAGAACGAAGAUCAAUGAAGACUCAAGCAUUGUUUUUCUUAUUUAUUUUAUUUAUUCUAUUUUGUUUAUCAUAAUAAUUACGCGUAGCUAAGUUUUUAAUCUAGGAUUUUGUUGGAACUCUAUGUGGGGAUGGUGAACCCGUUUUCUUGAGAUUAUUCAAUUAUGAUUUUAUGAUUAUUUCUUAUACUUGUUAUGAUUGUUAGUGCAUGAACUUGAUCAAUUUAUGUGCUUUAUCUGUGAUUAUUGGGAUUGACUCGACAGAGCUAUUUUGAUAAUUAGACGGUAAGUAUAAGAACCUUCGAGUAGUUUUCAUCGGAUGAGUGUGUCAAUUGUAUGUGGUGUCGUAGACAUACAGAUAUCACCUUAGGUAGCCAUUUAUGUGACUUGUUAGUUAAUGCUUUAUUCAUUGGUUUGCAUAGACAUAUCGUGAAUCGUUUAUGAAUAAUAAACUCAUAAUACACGCGACAACGGGUUAUGAGUAAAUUAGUGUCUCGGGUUAAUAAUCAUGAAUCAUAUAUUUCAUAAUUGAGGGGUUUUGGGUGAGCAAUUCUUGCAUAGGGGGAAGAUGAAAUCCUAGAUCCGUUUUAUAUUGAUAUUUUCUCGUGAUUAUUUUCUUUCUUAAUUAGCUUAAUUGUUUAAUUGAUUUAAUUUGACAACUUUGCGUAGGUUGGAUAAAAAUCAUAAUUGUUAGAAUUUGGUACUUAGGAUUAGAUAAUUUGAGUAUUCCCUGUGGGAUCGACAUCCGACUCUUACGAGUCCACUUUUACUACUUGUUUGCGAUACGUGCACUUGCUUGUUAGGUAUUUAGCACCCAACAAGUUUUUGUCGUCGUUGCCGGGGAAUACGGCUAAAUUAUCUAUUUAUCCUAAUAUUAAAUUUGAGCAAUUUUUCUUACUUCAGCCAUUUUAUUUAUUUUGUUUAAUUAUUUUAUUUUUUUUAGGUACUUUUUAUGCGACAAGGGAAGAAGAGAAUAAUCAUAGGGGAGAUGACCAAGAGCAACUUCAACUAAUUAGUCCACCACCUCGUCAACGAGCAUUGCAUGAGUACACCGUUCCAACACUCAAUGGGUUUCAAUCAAGCAUCCAGCAACCCCCCAUUGAAGCCAACAAUUUCGAAAUUAGAGCGGGACUCCUUACAAUGCUCCAAAAUAAUGGGUUGUUCAGCGGAUUAGCUCAUGAAGAUCCACAUCUCCACUUGGUCACUUUCUCGAAACGUGUGAUUCGCACAGUACCACCCGAAGCACUGCAACUCCGCAUAUUCAAGCACUCUUUACAAGGAGCAGCCCGAGAAUGGUUACAAACUCGUGUGCCGCACUCCAUCUCGUCUUGGUCCCAGCUAGCACAACUCUUCAUGAACACAUAUAACUCCCCAACAAAAACUGAAAGAAUCCGGAGAGAAAUACAGAAUUUCAUACAAGAAGCCGGUGAAGCGCUAUUCGAGACAUGGGAGCGGUUCAAACAAUUAAUUCGGAGAUGCCCGAAUCACGGACUUCAAGAGUGGCGCCAACUGCAAAUAUUUUACGAUGGAUUGCAAGACAACUCGAAGACCUUGCUAGACUCUGCAGCUGGAGGAAUGUUCAUGAGUUUGACCUACGACGAAGCAUACGAACUUUUGGAGAGAAUCGCUAGAAAUAAAUACAUGCGGGGAUCGGAUCGGUCAAAUAGACGAGAUGUCAAGACGGGAGGAAUUUUGGAGUUAGACGGGGUCACUGCAAUCACGGCACAAUUAGAGAAGCUAUCAAAGCAAGUUGAAGCUUUGCAGACUCAGCAAGUCUAUGCAAUCCAAGGUCCCGACCGGUGCUUAGAAUAAACGGAUUCUCUAAACUACGUGAAUGACACCAACCGACAACAGAGGAACCUGCACUCCAACAUUUAUAAUCCGGGAUGGAGAGACCACCCAAACUUUGGACGGGGAGGAAAUCAGCAAAGUCAAGGCCAAGCACCGCCACAAGGUCAACCUCAACCAAGACCUCAGCCAGCUCCCGGAUUCCAAAAUUCACCUCAAGCUCCGGCCCAAAAAGGAGAUCUCGCGAACAUCUUAGCUCAAUUCAUGACAUCAACUCAAGCUUCCAUUCGAAAUUUGAAAACACAGAUGGGUCAGCUUGCAACCCAGGUAAACGCGAGGCCAUCGGGAGCACUGCCGUCGAAUACGGAAGAUCCUCGGAAGAACAACAUAGAGCAGUGCAAUGCAGUAAGUUUGCGAAAUGGGAGGCAAUUAGAGAAAGGUCCUAAAGAGUACGUUGCACCACCGCCUAUUGAAGAGGAGCCCAAGAAAAAAACUGAGGUCGGGCCAAGCAACACAAAGAUCACAGUAAGUGAACCUACUCCCAAUGUACCCUUCCCUCAACGUUUUCAAAAUUCUAAGCUUGAUAUGCAAUUUUAGUUGUUUUUGGAUUAUCUUAAAAAGUUGCAUGUUAAUAUUCUUUUUAUUGAAGCACUUAAGCAUAUGCCGAAUUGGGUUAAGUUUAUAAAGGAACUUGUAUAGAAGAAGAUGAGGCUUCCGGAGUGUGCAACAAUAAUAGACUUAAAUGAGCAAAGUAGUGCUAUCCUUGCAAAUAAAAUUCCACCGAAGCUUAAAGAUCCGGGGAGUUGUACAAUUCUAUGCACAAUAGGUACUAGGUAUUUUGGGCGGGCGUUGUGUGAUCAAGGGGUGAGCGUAAAUUUAAUGCCUUUAUCAAUUUAUGAGAAAUUGAAUUUAGGAGAAAUUAAGCCCACUUCCGUGACCUUGCAGCUAGACGAUAGAUCUUUUACUCACCCUUUAGGUAUAGUGGAGGAUGUAUUGGUCAAGGUAGAUAAGUUUAUACUCCCGGCCGAUUUUCUAGUACUAGACAUAGAGGAAGAUGAAAAUAUUCCCCUUAUCUUAGGACGCCCCUUCUUAGCAACUAGUAGGUCAAUUAUUUAUGUAGGAAAGAGAGAGCUAACAAUGAGUGUGGGGGAAGAAACAAUGGUCUUCAAGGUGUACCGGGUGGAUGAAAAGCCUAUUAUGGCUAAUGGAUGUUAUCUUCUUGAUGAGGUAAGUGAUUCUCAACUUUUUCCUGUUAAAUUACAUGAUUUAAAAAAUUUUGUGGAUACUAAUGUGCAUGUAGGAGAACAAAAGAAAAAGGUUGAGUUGGUUACAACACCUACUCAAAACACCGUGAUAAAAGACGAUGUUGGCACGCCUCAUGACAUCAAGAAGAAUAAAUUCAAGGGCAUUCCUAAGCGAACCAGUAGAAAGAAGAAUCGGAUCAACCCAUUUAUUCAAGACUUUCUCCAAAAGGAAGUAAGGACAUGGGUUCAAAAGCUAAGGAAUUGAAGAGCAUGAACAAAGUCUGGCUGAAGACUGUAAACUUAGCGCUUCUCGGGAGGCAACCCGAGAUUUUCGUUUUUUUUUUUAUUUCUUUUUCUUGUUUUAUUUUAUUUAUUUAUUUUAUAAGCAUGCAAACUAAAAAUUUAAACAUGUUUUAAUUUUUAGGACAAAAAAUUGCAGCUCGGGAGCUCAUACGGCCGUCCCAAAACAAGGCAAAAGAUCACACGGCCGUGCGAGAAACAAACAGCUACUGCCCAAUUUUGGCAAUUCGCACGGCCGUGCGGAAAAUAGUUCAAAAUCUCAUACGGCCGUGCGAAGCUCAACAGAAGCAUAAUAAGAGCGAGGGUGGAGAGCAAACCGGAGAUGGCCACGACAACUUAUUCAGGUGUACUCUAUCCUUAAACUUCGUGCUAAUUACAUUAAGGGCAAUGUAAAUUUUAAGUUUGGGGGUGGAAAUUUACUUGUUUUAUGUGCUUUAAUUUUUAGUUUGCAUGCCUUAGGAUUUUUGUUUAUUUUACUUAUUUUAGUUUAUUUAUUACUUUCGGAAAAAACAAAAAAAUUGUGAUAAAUGCAUCGAUGAAUCAUGAUGAUGAAAGAUGGUUGAUGUUUAAUGAUAAAAUUGCUUGCUUUAUUUUGAUAGUGAUUGAACUUUGGUGAGCUUUUGAUUCAAAGUGUCGUAGGAAGGAGUCAUUGUUAGGAAUCUCGAAUUAUGCCUUGCUUUGGUUGAAACUUUUGUGUUUUAAAACGAGGAAUUAAUUUAUGUUAUAUCAUACGCUAUUCGGUUUUAGAACUUACAUUAGGAAUUUAUAAAGUGAAAUAUUAAAAUUUUGAGCAAUUUGGGAAGUGAUUUGGGCCAUCUUUGAACCGUUUGAGCCUUUCAAGCCUACCUUUAAAUUUUUAUCAUUCGAACCUUGAUUGAGCCUUGGAGAAACGGUGUUCUUUAUUUUAGCCAAUGUGUAUAAGGUAGAAUAAAUGGAGAUUCUUGAAAAAUUACCCUUUGGAGUUCGGUUGGAAAAUUUUAUAAGGUCCUUCUUCUUCCUCUAUAAAAUAAGAAAAAAAAACAAGGAAAAAAAAAAGAAAAAAAAAAGAAGAAAUAGAGAGAAGAAGAAGAGACUAGAAGGGAGAUGAAAGGACUAGUUGUUAAAUUUUUGUUUGAAAGCUCGAUCCAUUGUCUUAAGAGCAAGAGUGGAGACUUUGGAACUCUUAAAAAUCGAGUUUAUUAAAAGUCAUUAGAGGUGAAUUGAUUGUUUCAAACGCUUAUCUUUCAAAAUUUGGCGUAAUCACCUCAAUUCAAGAAACAUAGCCACAUAUACCCAUAUUUCCUACCUCGAACCAAAAAGCCCAACAUUUAUAAGCCAAAAAGUCGCAAUGAUCCCAAUAGCUCAAUUAUUUGAUACUAGCCGAGUAGAGAAAUUUGGUGAGUCUUUGGAGUUGAAUAUUAUUAUGUAAGUAUAAAUUUUCUCCAUUUUUAAUUUACAAAUAUGGGAUACUUGAAGCGAUAGCAUGGUUUGUGGUUGUUGGCAAGGGUGAGUGAAUACAUAUCUUUGAAUUACGAGCUUGUAAAUUUUUAAGAAUUGUCAUAAUAAUUGCAAGUUCUGAAAACUUGAAGUUGACCAUUAAUCUAUGUGAUGAGAGGCAUUUGUUGAAAGUGUUGCUUUGAUAGUUGCUAGUUUUUACUUGAGGACAAGCAAAAGUUCAAGUUUGGGGGUGUGUUGAGUGUGUAUUUUACACUCAAUGUAUACUUUCUUACGAGAAUUUUUGUAUACUUUUAUUGAUUUUAUAAUGCUUAAUGAGUGGUUUAUUGUAUUUUAGGUACAACUUGACGAUUUGGGAGUUCCGGGGGCAAAACGUGCCAAAAAAGGUCAAAAACGUUAAUACUAGUUUGAGGACAAGCAAAAGUUCAAGUUUGGCGUGUUGAGUGUGUAUUUUACACUCAAUGUAUACUUUCUUACGAGGAUUUUUGUAUACUUUUAUUGAUUUUAUAAUGCUUAAUGAGUGGUUUAUUGUAUUUUAGGUACAACUUGACGAUUUGGGAGUUCCAGGGGCAAAACGAGCCAAAAAAGGUCAAAAACGGAAGAAAACAAAAAAUGCUGAAAAUUGGCUGAAAAGUGCCCGCGCGGCCGUGCCAAAUUUAGCCUAUUUUUGGCACGGCCGUGCCAACUGCCGAAGAUGGGCAGAAGGUUUCGGCGAUUAUCGCGCGGCCGUGUGAGAUUUGCACUAAUUCUCGCGCAGCCGUGCCAACACACGCUGAGACAAUUUUGGAUUUUUAUUCACACAAGGAAACCUAAAAUCAUCUACCAAGUUGGGACAUCUAUUUAAGCCCAAACCAAGCACCAAUUAGAGGACUUUGGACACAUCCUUGGAGCGAGAGGAGCGAGAGAACGAAGAAUCGAAGACGGAGAAUUGACAAAUCUUCAUCACAAUUCUUCCUUUAUCUAUCUUUUCUUAAUGUAUGUCUUUUUAUAUUUUUAUUAUGUUUUUCGUAUAGAACAUGAGUAGCUAAGUUUUUAAUCUAGGAUUUUGGUGGAACCCUAUGUGGGGAUGGUGAACCCAUUUUCUUGAGAUUAUGCAAUUAUGAUUUUAUGAUUAUUUCUUAUACUUGUUAUGAUUGUUAGUGCAUGAACUUGAUCAAUUUAUGUGCUGUAUCUGUGAUUAUUGGGAUUGACUUGACAGAGCUAUUUUGAUAAUUAGACGGUAAGUCUAAGAACCUUCGAGUAGUUUUCACCGGAUGAGUGUGUCAAUUGCAUGUGGUGUCGUAGACAUACAUAUAUCACCUUAGGUAGCCAUUUACCAGACUUGUUAGUUAAUGCUCAAAUCAUAAUUGGUUUGCAUAGACAUAUCGUGAAUCGUUUAUGAAUAAUAGACUCAUAAUACACGCGACAACGGGUUAUGAGCAAAUUAGUGUCUCGGGUUAAUAAUCAUAAAUCCUAUAUUUCAUAAUUGAGGGGUUUUGGGUGAGCAAUUCUUGCAUACGGGGAAGUUGAAAUCCUAGAUCCGUUUUAUAUUGAUAUUUUCUCGUGAUUAUUUGCUUUCUUAAUUAGUUUAAUGGUUUAAUUGAUUUAAUUUGACAACUUUGCGUAGGUUGGAUAAAAAUCAUAAUUGUUAGAAUUUGGUACUUAGGAUUAGAUAAUUUGAGUAUUCCCUAUGGGAUCGACAUCCGACUCUCACGAGUCCACUUUUACAACUUGUUUGCGAUACGUGCACUUGCGUGUUAGGUAUUUAGCACCCAACAAGUUUUUGGCGCCGUUGCCGGGGAAUACGGCUAAAUUAUCUAUUUAUCCUAAUAUUAAAUUUGAGCAAUUUUUCUUACUUCAGCCGUUUUAUUUAUUUUAUUUUAUUAUUUUAUUUGUUUUAGGUACUUUUUAUGCGACAAUGGAAGAACAGAAUAAUCAUAGGGGAGAUGAACAAGAGCAACUUCAACUAAUUAAUCCACCACCUUCUCAACGAGCAUUGCAUGAGUACACCAUUCCAACACUCAAUGGGUUUCAAUCAAGCAUCCAGCAACCCCCCAUUGAAGCCAACAAUUUCGAAAUUAGAGCGGGACUCCUUACAAUGAUCCAAAAUAAUGGGUUGUUCAGCGGAUUAGCUCAUGAAGAUCCACAUCUCCACUUGGUCAACUUUCUCGAAACGUAUGAUUCGCAGAAGAUGAACGGAGUAUCACCCGAAGCACUGCAACUCCGCCUAUUCAAGCACUCUUUACAAGGAGCAGCCCAAGAAUGGUUACAAACUCGUGCGCCACACUCCAUCUCGUCUUGGUCCCACCUAGCACAACUCUUCAUGAACACAUAUAACUCCCCAACAAAAACUGAAAGAAUCCGGUGAGAAAUACAGAAUUUCAUACAAGAAGCUGGUGAAGCGCUAUUCGAGACAUGGGAGCGGUUCAAACAAUUAAUUCGGAGAUGCCUGAAUCACGGACUUCAAGAGUGGCGCCAACUACAAAUAUUUUACGAUGGAUUGCAAGACAACUCGAGGACCGUGCUAGGCUCUGCACCUAGAGGAAUGUUCAUGAGUUUGACCUACGACGAAGUAUACGGACUUUUGGAGAGAAUCGCUAGAAAUAAAUACAUGCGGGGAUCAGAUCGGUCAAAUAGACGAGCUGUCAAAACGGGAGGAAUUUUGGAGUUAGACGGGGUCACUGCAAUCACGGCACAAUUAGAGAAGCUAUCAAAACAAGUUGCAGCUUUGCAGACUCAGCAAGUCUAUGCGAUCCAAGGUCCCGACCGGUGCUUAGAAGAAACGGAGUCUCUAAACUACGUGAAUGACACCAUCCGACAAUAGAGGAAUCCGUACUCCAACAUUUAUAAUCCGGGUUGGAGAGACCACCCAAACUUUGGAUGGGGAGGAAAUCAGCAAAGUCAAGGCCAAGCACCGCCACAAGGUCAACCUUAACCAAGACCUCAGCCAGCUCCCGAAUUCCAAAAUUCACCUCAUGCUCCCGCCCAAGAAGGAGAUCUCGCGAACAUCUUAGCUCAAUUCAUGACAUCAACUCAAGCUUCCAUUCGAAAUUUGGAAACACAGAUGGGUCAGCUUGCAACCCAGCUUAACGCGAGGCCAUCGGGAGCAGUGCCGUCGAAUACAGAAGAUCCUCGGAAGAACAACAUAGAGCAGUGCAAUGCAGUAAGUUUGCGAAAUGGGAGGCAAUUAGAGCAAGGGCCUAAAAAGUCCGUUGCACCACCGCCUAUUGAAGAGGAGCCCAAGGAAAAAACUGAGGUCGGGCCAAGCAACACAAAGAUCACAGUAAGUGAACCUACUCCCAAGGUACCCUUCCCUCAACGUUUUCAAAAUUCUAAGCUUGAUACGCAAUUUCAGUUGUUUUUGGAUAAUCUUAAAAAGUUGCAUGUUAAUAUUCCUUUUGUUGAAGCACUUAAGAAUAUGCCGAAUUGGGUUAAGUUUAUAAAGGAACUUGUAUCGAAGAAGAUGAGGCUUCCUGAGUGUGCAGCAAUAGUAGACUUAAAUGAGCAAAGUAGUGCUAUCCUUGCAAAUAAAAUUCCACCGAAGCUUAGAGAUCCGGGGAGUUGUACCAUUCCAUGCACAAUAGGUAUAGGUAUUUUGGGCGGGCGUUGUGUGAUCAAGGGGCGAGCGUAAAUUUAAUGCCUUUAUCAAUUUAUGAGAAAUUAAGCCCACUUCCGUGACCUUGCAGCUAGCUGAUAGAUCUUUUACUCACCCUUUAGGUAUAGUGGAGGAUGUAUUGGUCAAGGUAGAUAAGUUUAUACUCCCGGCCGAUUUUCUAGUACUAGACAUAGAGGAAGAUGAAAAUAUUCCCCUUAUCUUAGGACGCCCCUUCUUAGCAACCGGUAGGUCAAUUAUUGAUGUAGGAAAGAGAGAGCUAAGAAUGAGUGUGGGGGAAGAAAUAGUGAUCUUCAAGGUGUACCGGAUGGAUGAAAAGCCUAUUACGGCUAAUGGAUGUUAUCUUCUUGAUGAGGUAAGUGAUUCUCAACUUUUUCCCGUUAACUUACAUGAUUUAAAAAAUUUUGUGGAUACUAAUAUGCAUGUAGGAGAACAAAAGAAAAAGGUUGAGAUGGUUACAACACCUACUCAAAACACCGUGAUAAAAGACGAUGUUGGCACGCCUCAUGACAUCAAGAAGAAUAAAUUCAAGGGCAUUCCUAAGCGAACCAGUCGAAAGAAGAAUCGGAUCAAACCAUUUAUUCAAGACUUUCUCCAAAAGGAAGUAAGGAGAUGGGUUCAAAAGCUAAGGAAUUGAAGAGCAUGAACAAAGUCUGGCUGAAGACUGUAAACUUAGCGCCUCUCGGGAGGCAACCCGAGAUUUUCGUUUUUUUUUUUCUUUUUCUUGUUUUAUUUUAUUUAUUUAUAUUAAUAAGCAUACAAACUAACAAUUAAAACAUGUUUUAAUUUUUAGGACAUAAAAUUGCAGCUCUGGAGCUCAUACGGCCGUCCCAAAACAAGGAAAAAGAUCACACGGCCAUGCGAGAAACAAACAGCUACUGCCCAAUUUUUGCAAUUCGCACGGCCGUGCGGAAAACAGUUAAAAAUCUCAUACGGCCGUGCGAAGCUCAACAGAAGCAUAAUAAGAGCGAGGGUGGAGAGCAAACCGGAGAUGGCCACGACGACUUAUUCAGGUGUACUAUAUCCUUAAACUUUGUGCUAAUUACAUUGAGGGCAAUGUAAAUUUUAAGUUUGGGGGUGGAAAUUUACUUGUUUUAUGUGCUUUAAUUUUUAGUUUGCAUGCCUUAGGAUUUUUGUUUAUUUUACUUAUUUUAGUUUAUUUAUUGCUUUCGGAAAGAAAAAAAGUUUGUGAUAAAUGCGUCGAUGAACCAUGAUGAUGAAAGAUAGUUGAUGUUUAAUGAUGAAAUUGCUUGCUUUAUCUUGAUUGUGAUUGAACUUUGGUGAGCUUUUGAUUCAAAGUGUCGUAGGAUGGAGUCAUUGUUAGGAAUCUCGAAUUAUGCCUUGCUUUGGUUGAAAGUUUUGUGUUUUAAAACGAGGAAUUAAUUUAUGUUAUAUCAUACGCUAUUCGGUUUUAGAACUUACCUUAGGAAUUUACAAAGUGAAAUAUUAAAAUUUUGAGCAAUUUGGGAAGUGAUUUGGGCCAUAUUUGAACCGUUUGAGCCUUUCAAGCCUACCUUUAAUUGUUUUUCAUUCGAACCUUGAUUGAGCCUUGGAGAAACGGUGUUCUUUAUUUUAGCCAAUGUGUAUACGGUAGAAUAAAUGGAGAUUCUUGAAAAAUUACCCUUUGGAGUUCGGUUCGAAAAUUUUAUAAGGUCAUUCUUCUUCCUCUAUAAAAUAAGAAAAAAAAACAAGGAAAAAAAAAAGAAAGAAAAAAAAAAGAAGAAAGAGAGAGAAGAAGAAGAGACUAGAAGGGAGAUGAAAGGACUAGUUGUUAAAUUUUUGUUCGAAAGCUCGAUCCAUUGUCUUAAGAGCAAAAGUGGGGACUUUUGAACUCUUAAAAAUCGAGUUUAUUAAAAGUCAUUAGAGGUGAAUUCAUUGUUUCAAACGCUUAUCUUUCAAAAUUUGGCGUAAUCACCUCAAUUCAAGAAACAUAGCCACAUAUACCCAUAUUUCGUACCUCGAACCAAAAAGCCCAACAUUUAUAAGCCAAAAAGUCCCAAUGAUCCCAAUAGCUCAAUUAUUUGAUACUAGCCGAGUAGAGAAAUUUGGUGAGUCUUUGGAGUUGAAUAUUAUUAUGUAAGUAUAAAUUUUCUCCAUUUUUAAUUUACAAAGAUGGGAUACUUGAAGCGAUAACAUGGUUUGUGGUUUUUGGCAAGCGUGAGUGAAUACGUAUCUUUGAAUUACGAGCUUGUAUAUUUUUAAGAAUUGUCAUAAUAAUUGCAAGUUCUGAAACAUGAAGUUGACCAUUAAUCUAUGUGAUGAGAGGCAUUUGUUGAAAGUGUUGCUUUGAUAGUUGCUAGUUUUUGCUUGAGGACAAGCAAAAGUUCAAGUUUGGGGGUGUGUUGAGUGUGUAUUUUACACUCAAUGUAUACUUUCUUACGAGGAUUUUUGUAUACUUUUAUUGAUUUUAUAAUGCUUAAUGAGUGGUUUAUUGUAUUUUAGGUACAACUUGACGAUUUGGGAGUUCCAGGGGCGAAACGAGCCAAAAAAAGUCAAAAACGGAAGAAAACAAAAAAUGCUGAAAAUUGGCUGAAAAGUGCCCGCGCGGCUGUGCCAACUGCCGAAGUUGGGCAGAAGGUUUCGGCGAUUCUCGCGCGGCCGUGUGAGAUUUGCACUGAUUCUCGCGCGGCCGUGCCAACACACGCUGAGACAAUUUUGGAUUUUUAUUCACACAAGGAAACCUAAAAUCAUCUACCAAGUUGGGAUAUCUAUUUAAGCCCAAACCAAGCACGAAUUAGAGGACUUUGGACACAACCUUGGAGCGAGAGGAGCGAGAGAACGAAGAAUCAAAGACGGAGAAUUGACAAAUCUUCAUCACAAUUCUUCCUUUAUCUAUCUUUUCUUAAUCUAUGUCUUUUUAUAUUUUUAUUAUGUUUUUCGUAGAGAACAUGAGUAGCUAGUUUUUAAUCUAGGAUUUUGGUGGAACCCUAUGUGGGGAUGGUGAACCCGUUUUCUUGAGAUUAUGCAAUUAUGAUUUUAUGAUUAUUUCUUAUACUUGUUAUGAUUAUUAGUGCAUGAACUUGAUCAAUUUAUGUGCUUUAUCUGCGAUUAUUGGGAUUGACUUGACAGAGCUAUUUUGAUAAUCAGACGGUAAGUAUAAGAACCUUCGAGUAGUUUUCACCGGAUGAGUGUGUCAAUUGCAUGUGGUGUCGUAGACAUACAGAUAUCACCUUAGGUAGCCAUUUACGAGACUUGUUAGUUAAUGCUUUAUUCAUAGUUGGUUUGCAUAGACAUAUCGUGAAUCGUUUAUGAAUAAUAGACUCAUAAUACACGCGACAACGGGUUAUGAGUAAAUUAGUGUCUCGGGUUAAUAAUCAUGAAUCAUAUGUUUCAUAAUUGAGGGAUUUUGGGUGAGCAAUUCUUGCAUAGGGGGGAGAUGAAAUCCUAGAUCCGUUUUAUCUUGAUAUUUUCUCGUGAUUAUUUGCUUUCUUAAUUAGUUUAAAUAUUUAAUUGAUUUAAUUUGACAACUUUGCGUAGGUUGGAUAAAAAUCAUAAUUGUUAGAAUUUGGUACUUAGGAUUAGAUAAUUUGAGUAUUCCCUGUGGGAUCGACAUCCGACUCUCACGAGUCCAAUUUUACUACUUGUUUGCGAUACGAGCACUUGCGUGUUAGGUAUUUAGCACCCAACAAGCUUCCAUCUAUGAACUUGCAAGACCUGAAUCAGGUUCUCAUUUCCUUACUUUUAGGGAAGGAAAGCUGCCCCUUCUUCAUUGUCGUUCAAUCCCGUUUCAGAAUAUAAUCAAGCUAAAUUACGUUCUGCUUUUAUGAUAUGAAAAGUAGGUCUUAAUCGAGGAUAUCCAAUCUGUCUUUACUAUUAAUGUUUGAUAAUUUUGGUGAAAACUAUCGUGAUAAUUAUGUUAAUAUAACAUUCGUUUCUUUGAGUUAUAUAGACUUGGUGUAACAACCUACAGAGCAAAAUUAAAUAUUCGAGUUUUCAGAAAACUAUAUGCAUGGAAAGCUCGAGUUGAGCAUUUUAAAUGAUGUUAAUUAUUAAUUUAUAGUGAGCAUGUUCGAUAAAAGCGCUUUGCAUUGCUACAGAUUAACUUGCGUACUGGUAUUCGAUUUUCUUAUGAUUUUUUAAUCGUUCAGAUGAUGAUGGAUGCAGAUCCUGUUCGUAGACCAACAACCAAAGAAGUAGUUAAUAAUCCAAUUUUUUACAGGAUUGGAAAGAACAAAUAAAUCAAAAGUAAACAAGUAUUUAAUUAGGUUUCUAGCAAAACUUUGCCGCCGAGGUUCAAAUGUUUAAAUUUUUUUAGUCUAACAUUUUUUUUUGAUUCGGUAUUUUAUUUGAAAUAUGUUUUUAGAUGAUCAAUCUACACAGCUACAACAAACUGCAGGAUGUUUUUGAAGUUGUUUCCCUUUCCUUUGAAGAUUCUAAGUAGCUUGUCAAUAAUUUCGCCACUACCCUGUGAGUUUCAUGAUAAUUACCACUGUUGUUCUGUUUUUGCUUUUCCAUUGUUACUACUGUUUUCUGUCGGUCUUUGAAUAUUAAUAUUCAAAUUAUGUGGUGAACAACAGGUUGUAGAGUUUAGGCAAGUUAUAACUUUCCAAGUUCUCGUGUUAUUUAUCCUUUCGUGCAUACGUCUCAUCUUAGUGUCUACCUUUCUAAGGGGAAACAACUCCUUCGUUUGUUUGCUCGCUAUUUUUUUUUCUUCAUUGAUAGUGGUAGACUGUUAUUUUUGGUCGAUUAUUUAUGUUUUAUAUUUAUUUUUUUUUUGGAUGAAAGCACAUGGAUUCUGCUACAGAUUUUUAAUUUCCCUUGUUGAUUUUCAGUUGGUGUUUCAAUUUCAAUGGAAACACUUAGCUUUCAGAUAUGCUCGUGUGUGAUGGAUGCAGUGUGUGUCCUCGAAACUGCCUCGACCCAAGAACUGUUUAAAGUUAAUUUUUGUGCUUCUCGUAUUUUAUUCGAUGUUAGAAACAGUAAAAGUAAAUUAUGCCAUUUUACGUGUCUAUGGCUCUGAUGGGAAAAAUGAACUUCAAGGGCAGGCCCCCUUGCGGAUACCGAAACUUCGCGGGGAUGCAUAUGGCUUUUAGUUUCAAUUUGUGCGAGUCAAUUCGUUGAAAGUAAUAAUCAUUGCGUGUUUAUUUGCUAUUUAUGCAUUGCUAAUUAACUAUGGGAGUUCGAUUGAUGUUACAAUUAAUUGUCCACAAUUUAGAAAUGACUCAAACUUAGGUGCUAUCUAAUGGUAUAUAAUGGAGCCUGCUUUGUUUCUCUUGAACUUCUCAUAUAGUGAUGACCCUUUUUUCUACUUCUUGCAUGCUUGUUUUACUUCUGUGGGAGUUAGUUUGCUUCGGUCAUAGUUGGACUUUAAAUUAUUUAUGUUUAUAUCUUUAUAUUCGUGAUUUUUACAAGUAUUUAUUUAAUUCUGACUCAAUAGUUUAUUCUAAAGGUGUGAUGAUAGGAGUCACAACAUGGGCUUCAAAUAUAGGGUUUGAUCUAAUCAGAUGUUAUUUUCAUACUUCGACUGAAUUGAGGUUCAGUUCUUAAUUGAAGCCUUGCUAAAUAACACGAUAAAAAUUGCCUUUUGCCUGGUAUUUUGGCUUUGUAUGCAGAAAACAUGCUGCAGAACCACCUCGUUGAUUUCAAAUUGCUGCAAAGUCUAUUGACCUUCUUGUUGGACAGAGCAGAAGUGUUAGUUUUUGCCUAUGCAUACGGUAACAGAAAUGGUACGUAAUUUCAUUUGUAAAUCAAUCCAUAUUUCAGUACAAAAAACUGGUUAAAAUUGUUGAGCUUUUCUUACCCUUUUAUGGUUUCUUUGCAUAAUGCAUAUGUUAGUAUCUUAUAAUACUUGUGAAAUUUACCUAAACACCGCCUACCAUGCAAUUAUUGAGAUUUUCCUAAACACCUUCUAGCAUGAUCUUAUUUCCUCCAUCAUAUAUCUCGAUCGUAUUUAUUAUGUUUUUAUUCUUUAUUUAUUAAUACUAUUGGUUCAUUUUUUUUAUCUUCUUCUUACAGUUUGUCCGUGUUAUUAUACGCCUCUGUCCUUUAUUUUCUUUGCCCUUCUUUUCACGAUGUGUAUGAUCGACCUGUUUGCUUCUUCUUUUCUCUUUUCUUUUGUUCUCGAUUUUUUUCUUCUCUUGCUUCUUUGUCCUCAAUCGUCGCCUGCAAUUGCCGAAUCGCCGUUGAAUAUUUCUCGAUUUUGCUUCCAGUUUUGGUUUUCUCUGUGGGUGCAAGUUCCCGGGUCUGAAUUGGAUUUCCUACAAUCUUGUCAUUGGGUUUUUUUUUUAAAUCAUUGAUUCUGUCAUGGUUAAUACAAGUCAUAUAUUUGUAUAGAACAUGCAUCCAUUUUUUCAUCUAUCUAACGAAUACUGGAUUGCUAUUCUUGCACCAAAAGGCGAAAUCCCUCGCCCCAGGGCACCCAUCCCUUGGUCCGACAAGGAUUGAUGGAGGAAUGUAAAUCAUGGUAACUCAACGGCCCGUUACGGUAGCGGACCUAGACCUGGUGCCCACAAGGAACCAACCCUCAUUGGAGUUGAAAUUCCCACAUUGCGGCUGCCAGGAUUCGAUCCUAGGACCUUGCACCAACUUACCACCUCCGGAACCAGUUGAGCUACACCCAUGCGGGCAAUAUUGGAUUGCUAAUCUAUUUAUAUAUGCAUAUGUUUUUCAAGAUAAAAGACAAUUAGAUUGGCAGAAGAGAAUAAAGGUAGCUCGCGGUCACGGGAUUCAGUUUUUACACGACAAGGCGAAUUCACCAAUGAUGAACCUCGUCCCGAACUCAUCAAAAACUUUUCUUCACUUUUUUUAUAUAUACGUUCUGAAUGCAAACAUUUGACAGUUAAGAUAGCAAUUUAUUGUCAGAUCUUUCCGACUUCUUUCAUUCGAAAACCUGCACAUUAUUCCUUCUGCCGAACAAUCUUUGCCAAACAAUCUUUUACUGUUUGACAUAAAAUAAUCUUUUAAUAUCGGACAUGAAUAGUCGGGAAUAGGCAUCACGCAGGGCACCGCGCCUUGCGCGGUGCUCGUUACUAGUAUAUAUAAUCCUAAAAUUUAAUAUAAGAAGGAAAUAUCUAAUGAAAGGACCCCCCAUAUAUGUUGUCAGGCCAUGUGAACAAGUUAUGGAACACGUUCUUAACAAUUACUCAAUCAAUGCUUGGAAAAUAAAUAAUGCCAAUUAUUAUCUUAGGAGAAAAUUAAAAUACUAGGUAAAAGAAAAAAAAAACUUCAAGUGUAGACAAUGACAAUAGCCCUUUGGUAAAAGACACAAUAGAAAGUGAUACGUUCCAGAAUCUAUGCAUAAAUAAUUAUUUUAUUUUAUUUGAUGAUAGCCUAGCUUUCGUAUUAUUGAUGUCGUUUUCGUUUUCUUGUAAUUCGCAUGGUUUUUUCUUCGACUAGCUAGGCCAUUUUACAUUAUGAUGAAAUGAAUGUUUGAUUAAUAAUAAAAUAAAAUUGGGCAAAUUACGGCCACCCCCAGAAGUAAGGUCAAAUUACGAAAAAAUCCUAAUGUUUGGGUAAUUACAACCACCCUUUAACUAUGAUUGUUCUUACACGUGAUGAUGUAUUCCAAUUUUAAUAAUUAUUUUAUUUCAUCCCAAAAUAUUUUAUAUCAUUAACUUAUUAAUAUAGUAACAUAUUCAAUUUAAUUAAUACAUAAACAAAAACAAUCAGAAGAAUAAAUAUUUUUUUUAGUGAGAGCAUAUAAAUUUUCUAAGAGCAUCUCCUAGAGUGUAAUGUAAACCUAUAUUAUACACAAUAUGAACAACCAAGAUCAAAAUAGUGAGCUCCAAGAGUAAAAUGCAUAAUUAACAAAUUGGCUAAAUUGUAACUUUGGCUUCUCAAAUUUGAGAAACCAAAACUACAAUUUAGCUAAUGCGAAAAAUAUUAAAAUAAUAUUAUAUUGUUCUUUAUAAUAUAUUUAUCAUUAAAAAGUAUUUUAUAUUGUCUUAUUUUUUUGCAAAUAAAUGUACUAAAGAAGAAAUUUAUUAUUUUACUUAGUAUUAAUAAUAAAUAAAAUUAAAAAAAUAUUUAUCAUUUUAAUUAACAUAAAAAAUAUUUCCUAACAAUAAACUGUUUGAGAUGGCCUAACAAUAAGUUAUUACUCAAUUGAAAAUUUCCUCAAAUUCAAAAAACUUAAGCUCAAACUAAAGACCAUAAAUGAUUAAAGUAAAUUAAAUAUAAAAUUUAACAAAUUAAUUACAGAAUAAAUCAACCCUUGCAUUCAAAUACAGUUCACAUUUCGGCCACUCCAAUCAAGAAGCAAGAUUUAACCCAGAUGCAAUCAACCUAACAUUGCUUUAAAAUUUAACAAACCCACUACUUCCUCUGGCCAAGGAUGAAAAAAUAGUACGUCGUUGCAAGCAAAAAGGUCCGGCGAGCAGGGCCAUGGCUACACGAAGUCGAAAACGACGGAGGAGUGAACUGGGUGAAACCGUAACGGAAAAAGAAGCUUGAGAGGGAUGAAGCAACAUAGGGAGAGGAAGGGGAGAAAAAACCUCUGCCGGAAAAUAUUUUCGCCGGAACGAAUGGCAUGAAAAAUCGAGAACUUAAUCCCUAUUAGAGGGAUGAGAGAAGUCUGGGAAAUGAGGAAGAAAAAAACCAGGAGAUUUGUUGGUGGGGGUGAUGCGUAGAAAAUUGUGCAUAUUAAUAGGAAAUUGGGUCCAACAUUUUAAAUAUAUUUGAAGGGUAAAGAAGUAAAUGCAUAAGAAAACUGACGGUAUAAGUUGUUUACACGUUGACCACAAAUUAUAGGGGUUAUUUUGUUACGUUUUGUAGUCUAGGGUGGUGUUUGUGACAGACCCCAUAGUUAAGGGGUGCAAACUGUACUUUUCCCGUAAGAAAAUACAUAGUUAAGAGGUGGUUGUAAUUAGCCAAACAAUAUGAACUUUUUCGUAAUUUAAUAUGUACCUCAGGAUGUGACCGUAAUUUACCCAAAAAUAAAAUAAAUUCAACCUUUUUGCAUUGCAAGAAGAAAAGCAACAAGAAGGCACAACAAGAAGGGUGUUCGAUCAAAAAGUUUAAAGGGAAGAAAUGGACUUUAAAUUUAACCAAAAAGCUCAUAUAAAUAUCUGGUUUAUUGGUAGUGAUAAAGUAGAACAGUGUAAUCCCUCUCUAGUUCAAAUCAAAGUGUUAUUACAAAACGACAACAUAAAUUUGUGGUUAAGAUAUCUUAUCCCCUAAUAAUAAUAAAGACUGAAUUUUUAUUUUAUUUUUAAAUAUAAAUAAAAAAAUGGGCAUGUUUACAUAAUCACCAAAUUAAGAACACUAAUUAAUUCAAAGCUCCAAACAUAUAUAGAUUAAUUAAUGAUUUCUAAUAGGUAUCAGAUUUUCAUAGAUUCAAUAAAUAAAAAUCAACAAUUAAAUUCAAAUUGUUUUUUAUUCUGACCUCAAUAGGGCUGAGUUUUCUGAUGUAAAACAUCUCGGCAGAUUCAGGAACGCCCCCAAUAUUUCUGCCCAUCUUUCUGCAUGCGCGUGAAUCCCUAAUGCAGGACCCGAUUUUGCCCCAGUAACUAUCACUCGCGACCCGAUCCCAGAGCCAACCUGAGUAGUCCUGGAGCGAGUAGUCGAGGUAGGCCCGGUUCAUCACGGGCUGGCCGGAACCCUUGCCGGUGAUGGCGUAGGUGAAGAUGACGAAGCCGAGUAGGGUGGCGAUGAUGAUGAACAUGGCCCACAGGUAGAGGUACAUGAGGAAGUUGUUCCGUAGCAGGCGCCGGCGAAUCCGGCGAGGGAGACGACCAUGAUGGAGACGCCGAUUAUUAUGAGUGGCCACUGGAGGAACUUCGGGCAGUCGGUGUUGUUCGCGUGGCUGCUCAGCCAUAUUCCGCCGCCGAGGAUGGGGAUCGACAGGACGAAGGUGAGGAAGUUCACGGCGCCUAUUAGGUGGUUGCUCGUUCUCAUGGCUGCGGCGGUGGCGGUGGCGGUGGUUGUAAAUUUAUUUGAAAUUUAAUUUUGUCUUACAAGAGAGAGAGAGAGUACUGCAGUAUUUAUUGGGGAGCAGAUAUAUAAUCGGAAAAAAGCUUUGGGGGAAAUCAAAAUUUGUGGGAAACAGAGAUAAGCAUGCUUUUGUACACAGUUAAUGACUAAAUUACCCUCUGCAGAAUGAGUGAUUUACUGAUUUUAUUUAAAUUUUGGUUUAAUGGCACUUUGCCCCCCAACUAUCGUGUGUUUUGCACGUAAUAUCUGGACAAAAAACAUUUACAACAUUUUACCUAAACUGUGCACGGUGCCUCCGUUUUACCAAUCCAGUUCAUUUCUCGUGCGUCACAUGUCCAUUCACUUCAAGUCUUUUAGGGCAAAAAGAAUAAAAAACCGAGGGGAAAUAGAAGUACGAAUAAAUUUGCAGUGAAUGGACGUUUAUACCCUAAAAAACCCAUAUGCAGACGAGAAAUGAACCGAAUUGGUAAAAUUGAGGCACCGUGCAACAAUUUAACGAGUUCAGGUAAAAUUUUGUAUAUUUUUUUGUUAAGGGGGUAACGUUAAAAGCACGCGAUAUUUUUGGGGGCAAAGCGCCAUUAACCCUUAGAUUUUUGUUGAAACAAACUUUUACAAGGAAAUGACUAGAUUAUCCUCUGAAAAUUGUUGUAUCCAACAAAUUCAAUGCAAAUAAUAAGUGUGUCCCUGAAAAUCGAGCAUAUUUCCUGGAAGUAAAAUAUGGAACUAAAAAGGAUAUUUUCAAAAAUUACAAUUAUUGCCUAUUAAAAACCACUCAAAUGUUUGUGACCCCACCAUACAAAAAUAGUUGCACAUGCAUAUGAGUUUCCCCCAUGCAAAGAAGGUCAAGUGGUCGGUGGUUAGAAACAGUGGGUCCUAUUAAGAAAUCAUUUUAAAUUAUUACUAUGUUGAAACUCUUGCGACAAUGAUCAAAAUUAAUAAUCUACUCUUUUUUUUUAUAAUUAAAUUAAUAAUCUACUUGAUAAAUAAUAAUACUAUUCAAUAAUUUGAUAUGAAGUUAUCAGCACUUUCAAACCAUAGUUUUGCAAAGACUUUAAGGCGUGUUUGAUGCCUUACAACCUUAAAAAAUUUAAAAUAAAAAAAAAUAUUUAGUAAAUAUUGCGUUAUUCAGUACAGUUUUGGUAUACUGGACAUCAAUACCGUACACCGUACUAAUACCGAAAUUCAAAAAUAAAAUAUCAGUGUUGAUUUAAAUUGUAAUUAAAUUGUACAAUCUUAUUCGAAUCUUAAUUGAAUUAUCAGACUGGACUUUAAAAAAAAUUAUCUAGGCCUCCAUCAAUAGUUAGAAGCCCAAUUUAGAAAACAUAUAUUAUUUCUGGCCCAAAUUUAUCUAUAAAUUACAGAAAUUCUAGGGCUUCAAAAUCCACAAUUCUGCCGCACAAAGCCUAAUCUGAGAUUCACGGCAGAACAAGAAACUGAGAGACACACAAAGCGGCGAGCUUUGGAGCUAUACGUGUUUGUUGUAUCGUUGAAAACUCGAGCAGUUGUCGAUCUUCUUAUGUAAGUUCUUGUAUUAACUGAAGCUUGAAGAUUUUCUAAAUCUGCUUUUUUUUUUUUGUUUUGUCUUGAUGAAGCUUUGUGAAUAAAUUUUGUUUUGUUGAUAUGGUGUUUGUAAUUUAGCCCCUUUUGGAUUUAUUUAUAUUAGAAAAGGCUGUGGAUGAAUUAUUUGCAGAAAUUGUUUAUUGUGCAUGCUAGGUGUUUGAUGAAUUGAUUUGUGGUAUUAUUAUUGUAAAAAGUCCAUCUUGGCAAAUCAGUUGAGCCCUUUUAAGAGCAAAUGAGCUGCCUUGAAUGCUAAUGGACUAAUAUUAAAUCUCUCUCUUUCUCUUAACUAUUUUCCGCUUCUUCAAAUCUGUUAAGUUUGCAUAUUAGUGGAGAUGAAACAUAUUAAAAAAAAUAUUAAAUAGUUGUUUGUUAAAAUUCUGAAUCUUUUGUAUGCAAGGUGUUUGAUGAAUUGAUUUUUUGGUGUCGAAUUUAUUUUUUUCUAGUCCAUCUAGGCAAGUCAGUUGAGCCCUUUUAAGGGAAAAUGAGCUGCUUUUGAAUGCUAAUGGACUUACAGCUAAAUCAUCUCUUUUUUUUGUUUCUCACCACUCACCGGAACACAGUAACCGGUAACCGCCGCCGGCUCGCAUCAACACCACCGCCGCUUCUGGCCGUCCGACGUCCUCAAUGAAUCCCCUAUUCAACUGAAAUCACGCGUUUCAGCGUUCGUCGUCCAAUUUUGACCGGAAAAGCGGCGAUCGAACGCUACUGCAGCGGCAAUUGAAAUUUGAGUCUUCAAUUUUAAUGUAAAUGGAUUUCAUCUCACAUUUACGAUCUAAAAUUGAGUGAAUGGUCCUUACACUGGGUUUUGGGCAGUUGAGAGUUGAGUUUGUUCCCUUCGGGCAUCGAUUUCUAAAUUUAUUCCCAAGCAAUCAGUUUUCUCUGUGGUGGAUUUGAAUAAUUGGAGUUGUUGAUGUGAACUGAGUAGUAUUGCCCAGCUAGGUGGUAUUGCCAUCGGAAGUGGCCCGGAAUUGUGCAUUCUUAUGGAAUUAACUGUUAGAUUAGAUUACAACAUUCUACGAUAGAUUAAGAUCGGUGGGAUAACCUUCUCAAUCUGGGCAGGUUGUUUUAUUCUACGUAAAUGUGGGCAGCUCGUUUUCUAGUUUAACAUUGGUUUUUUUUUUGGGACAUGUUUUUUUAUGUGUUAGGAGAUGUUUUCAGUAUAUUCAAACGUCUAAUUUGGCGUGCUAUUAAUUUUACAAUUACAAUAUAUGUAAAAUGUUGCAAUUUUACGAUCGGAUUAUUGAACCCCCUCUCUGGUUUUACUCAAAGUCUCGACUUUGUGUACCUUGCGUGCGAAUCAAAUGAAUUCUUCUUCAUUUUCUUGACAUUUGUGCUUGAUGGCUAGAGCUUAUAGUUGUUGCCUUGUUGGUAAAUUACGAUAUUUUUUAUCUCCCUUAAUGGUGUCUUUGAUCUGGCAUAGUUUGACGAAUGAAAAGGUCGCUCGGGUCCCACUUUUCGAGGUACUCUCUCGUCAACUCUCUUUUCUCUAAAAAAAUUCUUCUCUUUUCUCUCUUGUGAUAUGAUUAUGUCAAAGCUUAAUAUCCAUGGUGGACAAGGAAAAUAGGUGUUUGUCUUAAUACUGUGUCUACUUUUCGUCUUAUCGUUUUCUAUGGAACAGAUAAUGGCAGCAAGAUCGAAAGGAAAAACAGCCGAAGCAAAAGCCCUAGCGGAGCCCAUGUCCACAAUAGUUUCUCGGCUCCAAUCCUGUUUAAUUGAAUCCAAUUCUCAAGGAAUCCUUUCAGGGAGCAGCGUUCUUCUUGCAGCACACGAAGAACAAACGGAGCUUUUCAACCACGCGUGUUUCGGCCGUCUCGUUAUCACCACACAGAAGAACAAACAGUGGUUUCAACUAUGCCACAAGGAAGCUUUUUACCUCUGCACCGUAAUGAAAUGCAUCAAGAUUGUAGGUCAAAAUAGCUGCGUAAAAAAUGAGGAAGAGCUGUGGGAUUACAUGUCGUCCAAGAGAGUGAAUUUCCCGGUUCUGUAUAAAGCGUAUUCGCAUCUUCGUACGAAGAACUGGGUGGUUAGGGCGGGGUCUCAGUACGGUGUUGACUUUGUUGCCUAUCGGCACUACCCGACUUUAGUGCACUCUGAGUACGCUGUUAUAUCCUCUUCUACAGAAGAAGGAAACGAAAAUGGACGUUUGAAGGUUUGGUCUGAUUUUCAUUGCACUCGUCGUCUCUGUGGCAGUGUUGCAAAAACGUUGUUGGUUCUCCACAUUAGCAAAAACUGUAACGAUUGUGACGGUUGCUAGUUAUUCCCCUUGGAAUAUUAAUUAUUACAGCGUCGAGGAAAGAAUCGUUGCCAGGUGGAAUCCCGAGCAAAGCCGGGAGAAUUGUACGGUUGCAGAGAAGGAAUCGUGUAAGUCGUCAUAAGCUUAACUUAACUCCUGUUUAUUGUACCAGUUACUAUGUUGUAAGAUUUCGCCAUCUUAUAUAAAUAAGCGAUUGCUGCAGAAAUUGGUCUGUUGAUUUUGGGCAGGAAUCUGAUGCAUGCACUGUAUCUAAGUAAAAGAUUUGCCAGUACAUCCAUAUCAUGUACUAAGUAUUUUAGAUUUUUUUAUUUUACUUUUUAUUUUUUGUUUUUCAUGUGCACAUGUGAUCAGGAAAAAAUAAACAAUAGGGCAAAUUAUGGAUACCUCCCUUAUUGAGAUUCAAUGGAAAAUGAGCAAGAGAUCCAAAUAAAUGAUUAUUCUUUUCACAUUAAUUCUCUCCAAAAAUCAAACAACUGAUAACCAAAUAUAAUAGAAACCUCGAUAUAAUAGCCAACCAACAUAAGUUGAUAAUAUAUAAACGAAAAUAAGUUACAGAAAAUAGUGGAAAAAGAAAACAUAAGAAAGAAAGAGGCAAUCGAUAACAAGUUAAAAAAAACAAGGUAAAAAAGGGAAUAUAUACCAAUGAAAGAGGGCAAUUGAUAUGUACUCGAAGAGCCUUUCCAAUUAUCUGAGUAUCAGAGGAGGAAAUCUUUCGUCUCUUUCUUUUUGCCUAGCAUCAAUAAUCUCAAUUCAAUAACUCGUAACAAAAAUAAGGAGAAGACAAGGAGAAAAUAAAAGAAAACAAAUCAAUAAAAAAGUUCAAUCAAUAUGUAUUCCAAGAGUUAUCCAAUUGUUUGAGCAUAUGUGUGUGUGAAACUUAUUCUUGCCUCUUUGUUCAAAUGGAUAUCAAGACUCUCCAACUCAACAAUACCUUAUUCCCAAAAUAAACGAAAUAAGGGAUAAACAUAAUGCAAAAAUAAACCUAACCUUUUGCCAAUGUUUCUAGUCUGAAUGAAAAUCCUUGAAACUUUGUUCUUGCAAAACAUAUAACAUAAAACAUAAGAAAAUAGGCAAGUUCAACAAACAAUCAAGUGACAGAAAAUGAUAAUGGAGAUCCCUUGAGAGCUUAAGUACAAUACAAAGAAUAUGAACGAUUAACUUUAUAAGGAACUAUAACGGAGACGAAAUAAUACCGGAAUAGUCUUGACUAUAGGUUUGUUACAAGUCAGCCUUCCCCUGUAGCAACCAAACAUCUUCAAGCAAUUAUAAAAAAAAAAUACAUUGCAAAAUCUUAGUGAGUAUCAUCAAAAUUUAAACAAAGUAAAUAGUUGCAAAAGAAUAGUCAGUAUCAUCAAAAUUGAGCACUGUAUCAUAAUACAAAUGCACAAUCACUAACUCAAAUGUAGAAUCCAGAGAAAGAGCGAUGACUUGAUUUUGCAGAAAUCGUGAAUCAACUUAACACUUCUAUGAAGAAUUGAUUCACAUCAAAACUCAACGGCCUCGUUGUCCCUCUUUCGUCAAUGGAAAAAAAAUACCUUGCUUUGUCAUGUCCACCACAACUCAAAAGUCAAUUAAACUCUUACAUGGAAACUCAUCAACCGCUCAACAUUCACUGCCAUAGUUGCCGUGAAACUAAAAAUUUAGGGAAAACGUUCCUAAUCCUAUUCUUAAAUUUUUUUUGUCGAAUUUAAAUGUUCUUUAAAACCUAGUUUCAAAUUAUUAAAAGAUAUGCGAGAGAGACAAAAAUCGAUUGCCGUCAAACUGAAAAAGGGGGAAAACAUUCCUAGCCCUAACCUCUUUUUGCCGAACGGAAAUUGUCUGCAAACCCUAGUCGCAGGAAGAUUGAAACGAUUUCGCGGGGGGGGGGGGGGGAUAGUUGGGGGGGGGGGAAUUUUAAGAGAAAAUGGAGGAACUAACCUGCAUAAUUUUUUACUCAAUAAACUCUCCCCUUCUUUAUUUAUUUAUUUAUUUAUUUAUUUAUUUUAUCUCUUACGGUAAUUCAACUUGAAGGUAUAAAUGCCCCUAAAGGUUUGGUAAUUACAUGCAACUUAUGAAAUGUCCCAACAAUCUAUAUUUGGGACACUUAUAAAAUUAUGUCCCUAACAAAAUGUCGUAAUAGAUGAUUUUUGUUGUAGUGACACCCUUACGUAGUUUACAUGUGCAGCAUAGUUCUUAAACAGUUCCAUUACAAGACACGUCAUCACAUUAAUACAAAAUAUAUAGACAGUGUGUUUUUUUUCUUUUCUUUUUUUUUUUCCGAAAACACCAAAAAAACUGCGAAAUAACUCCACAUACGCGCGUUGCUCGUAAAAAUCUUUAAAAUCCAAAGGCUGCGACUUCUCCAUUCUUGUCUCUCCAUAAGGCUCGUCGUUAUCGAUCCUUUUGUUGUGCCUAAAAGUAGCACAAGCAACUGUUAGAGUAGGUGACCAAUAAGCCAACUAACUGUUGUGUUUCCUCACUCUACUCGUAAAUAAUCUAUUUCAUAUUAAUGGUAAAAUACCUUUUGGCAUUCUAUAUCUCUUAUCCCAUGCAAGCAGCAUAGAUAUAGUCCUAACGAGUUACUCUAUUACUGUGAGUUGAUCUAGUAGAAUCAUGAGAUAACUCAACAAUGUAAUGUAACUGUUAAACCUUGUUCCUAGUCGAUGGCUUACGCCAAUAAUGAGGAUACCGGCCUUUCCCUUUUGAUACUAGCACUUAGUGUAUGUGUACUGCGUCUCAUCAGUCAUCGGUGUUGUGACAUCGGCAUACUUGAGUGGGUGCUCAUAUUAGAUGAGUUCACUGAACUCCCUCGCCUAGAAAUAAGUGGUUCUCAAUCAUCGAGUAAUAGGUUUCUAUGAUAUAGUUGUGCACCAUUUGUCCUUAAGACCCAGACAUCACCGUGACUUCACUAGAGGACCGACUGUAUCGUGACCUAUCCCUGAGUCCCACCGCGGACCGCUCCAAGUGCCAACGUUCGUGUAGUCCGAAAUCUAGUGUGAAGUCUGUGCAUUGUAGUAGGGGAUUCGAGCGCUUGAGCAGUCAUGGAUGUCCUGUGUGUUCUGUUGGUUUGUAAUCCAUGGAAUCUCCAGCCGGAGUUGAUAGUGGGGUGAUUAGGGAAAUGUGUUUCUCUAAGUCACACACGAACGGAUUAUAACACCUAGAACGUUCGUAUGGUUAUUGAACUUAAUAAGAGGUCUCGGUGGACCAAUGCCUCUAGUUCAAUCGGGACAUUUGCUGCGAAGGGAUCGUACUGUACGUUAACUAUAUCACAAAGGUUCUUGCAGACACUUCAUUUGUAUCUAGGGAAUCAUGAUGCGUAGUUGCUAGACGCCAAUCUUGAUUCGUUGGGCACCGAUUUGAUCGGGGAUACGGUAAAAUGAGUUUUACCCUUAUCGGGACUCUUGGGAGGAGUUCGUAUAAGAACAAUGUGUUGUUCGAAUCACAAAGAGUUGUGAGCCCACGGCUAGCUUACACCUGAACCAUUGAGGGUCACACUUCUCGUGUAACAUGGAUCCUUGAAAAACAACAAGCAUAGAUUAAUGUGUUAAUCUUUGCGUAGUUGGAUGUCAAUAUGAUUGAAUCUAAGAUUCGUAAUUGUGGAUUACGAGUUGGAAUAAACGGAGAGAAAGUGAUAUGCGGAAAUUUAGUGAACUUUCUAAAUUGGGAAGUUUCCCGAUUUAGCAUGUCCACUAAAUUAGAAGUUUCCAAUUUUGGAAAUUGAAAAUUUGAAAGAGGCACUCGUAUCGACGAGGACUUUAUGCUCGUCACAAAUAUAAUUUUGUUAUAAUUUUGUGGACGAUCGUUUGUAAGAAACGAGGCCGACGAAGGGGCGGGCUUAAUGGAUCAGUGGGUCAAGCCCAAUGACUUAAGCCCAUGAGGGUUAUGAUCCCUAGUAUAAAUACAACUCAUAUGAUGAGUUGAGAUCAGCUUUUGACAGCCCCAAACCCUAGCCGCAUGAAGCACGGCCGUCCUCCGCCUCACGGUUGCAGCCCCGCCGCUGCACCGCCGCACCGCCGUCGCGCCGCCGCCGGUUUCUUCUCUUUUCUUCCUCGUCUUUAUUCCCGUUGUUUUUCUAACUCUUCUGUAUCUAGUGCUGCAGUUAGAGUGGGUCUAGUUGUACGAGGUGAAACCUAAUUGGAGAGGAAGAACGCAACUCCACCACCGCCAGCCCCGUACGCGCCGUCGCCGUUGCCACGCGCCGCCACCGCUGCACCUCAUGUGCCGCCGUCGAGAUCAGAUCGGACCAGCUGCUGUUCGGUCGGUUCUUCGGAGCCUUGGAGUUGUUUAAUAGCAGCUUGUACGUGUCUUAGUUUAUAGAUUUCGAUUCGUCGAAAUCUCACGCUUCAAGAGGUAAAAUCGAAAACCCCUGCGAAUUAAUUCAUAAUUGGAUUAUGUGAAUUAAUUUGUGAGCAUGACAAUUAUAUGAAUAAUGUAUGUUUUCGAUUUCAUGAUGUCGUAUGCAAGCAUGCUCGUCUUUGUUUUUCGUUUUAUUUAAUUUCGAUUAAAAUAUGAAAAAUUACCAUGUGUAUGGCGGAAGCGUUAAGGUACGUUCAAUUAAUUGAUUUAUGCAUGUGAUCGAACAUUGAGUUCGAUUAAAUUUUUGUUUUUCGCUGCGUAUACAUGCAUCGAUCCCCAACAGCAACCACAUAGAGUGUGACGAGGAUUAUCAAGAUAACUAUGUUAAUAACUGACACUUUUCUCCAGCUCUUCUUCAAGCUAGCUACUACCCCAGCUUUGCAAGAAUCGCACCCGUAGCAUAGUUGCUCCUGGUCGUUGCUCCAUUUUGUGCAAUCUGUGUCGGGCCCCACGAGGCCUCCACCUGGCGUCCACACCGUCUCGUUUAUGUACACGUAGCCGCAUGAUGUAGGCGGUUUGUAACAUCCAGACUAGCACAUGUAAAACCAAUGUUAAGCAUGCCAAGCUAAGAGUUAUAUUUGACUUGCCAAAAAAUCUAGAUUUGCUAAAAAAAGUCUUCAUGUUAUAAUAUUAGCAAAAGAACCCCAUGGUGCAUUUUGUUUUAGCACACGGCCCCCCUAAAUGGUGUGUUUAAGGGGGUAGUCUGCUAGUUAAAAAAUAGCAUCAUAAAUGAUUUUUGCUAAUAUAUACAUAACACGUAAUCAUAGGGAUGCUAAAUGCAAUAAAUUACCCCGUGUUAUCCUAUUAAGGCCUCGUGUGGUUGUCACAAUGGAAUAAGCCAAGAUAUACACAAUCUUUUUAAAUUCCGGAUUGUAUAAUUUGACCAGCGGGUCCCAUUAAGUCAAAAUAAACAGAUAAAGAGCAUGGACGAAACCAAAUAAAAGCCCGUUAAUUAAUCAUGGCACAAACGAGAACUAGUUUCGAGAAAUAGAUACCGAGUGCAUAGAAGCACGCGAUAAGCAAAAAUAGUAUUAUAUGUUAUAUGCUUUCAAAAACUGUGUCGUUCCAAUCCGCAUCUCCCAUUGUUUUCUUUUCCAUUUAAUUUUGAAGCAGCUCGACCGCGACACGCCAGCUUGAUUUUUCCUUUUCAUUUAAUGUGCUUGUUCCUAAACGACGUCGUUUAGCUGCCUCACACAUGGCCAACAAUUGUUGACCUCCGCCGCUUCCAUGCCCGUCACCGCCGUCGCUCUGUUCGAAGCCCACCGCCCCUGCCGCCAACGUCACUUCCCACCUCUUUUUCAUCCAAUCGCUGAUUUGUCCCUUUCCAAUCACAUCCGAAUUGGAUAACUCAGGAAUUGUAGAGUCAUAAAAUUUUACAAAGACGAGUUCCAACCGUGAUUGUUGGAAGGGCAGGACUUCCGCUAGAGCUCCACCGAACAAGAAGAUUCAGUCCAUCAAUUCUUCAAUAUGUUAUUGUUUUAAUUGUUUUUCUUCUAAUAAAGCUCGGUGAUGGUCGACGCUGUUUGUGUCUAACUUUGUUCACUUUUUUCCCUUUCUAUAAAAUUUUGGGUCGAUGUUGAUUUCGAGUUCCUCUUCGGGCAAGGUUAGCCCUGACAUUAUGUGAAAUAAAUUUCCAUUUUUUGUGAUCUUUACAUGAAGAUCGAUGAUUUUCUGUGAUGUUUGCUGAUGGGUAGAGUCAUGUUGGUCGUGUGCAGACUUGGGUCGAUGGGAGCUGUUGUUACUGGUAAAGGCCAUGUUCCUAAUGGUCGUGCCUAUUGUUUUUUCGCUGUUUCAUUCGUACCUUUGUGUUGUCUUCUUUUGUCGGCCUGUAAUUUAUUUUUCUAAGAUACCAUUUCAAUAUUUUUUUUUUAAAUUAUAUGAAUGGAUUCAGAUUUCAAUGAUCUCAUUUUCUUUUCUAGGUUGCAUGUUGGAUCCACAGAAAACCAAAUUGUUACGAAAUCAACUUCUUGGCUACAUGAUGACAUUGCUCAGGUUAUAAAUCAUGAUUAGCACAUUUAUACAAUAUUUAUCAUAAUUAAUUUGUUGUUCAGUUGUGCAUGUAUUUGAUUCAUAUACUCACUUGAGAUUGGCAAUAGGGAGGGAUGUUCUCGCAAUUUAUUUGGCUAUUUUGAUUUUUUUUCUUUCACUAAAAGGUUUGAUUUCUCUGCUUCACUGUUUGUUGAAUCUUCAUAAUUACUUCGAGUUGCUAAUUCCUUCUACCUCAUAACGUUUUCGAGAUUAUGCAAGUAAGGCAUUCAUUUUACUGUUCUAAUUCUUUGCAGUCUACUCUACUGGCUCCUUUCUACUCAAUGAUGCAUUGUGCACAUACAGUUGCUUACAAACCUAUUUUAAACAUGUAACAGAAUAAACAACACCCUUACGUAGUUUCCAUGUGCAACAUAGUUCUUAAAUAGUUCCAUUACAAGACACGUCAUCACAUUAAUAUAAAAUAUACCGACAUUGUGUUUUUUUUCUUUUCUUUGCAGUCUACUCUACUGGCUCCUUUCUUGCAGCAGUCCCACUUUCAGUAAUUAGUAUUCUAAUAGAAGAUACGGAAGUCAACACCAGCUCGACCUUCAGUAAUUACUUGUGGAGUUGGUUGACUGUUAACGAUGAAAACCUAUUAUGAUUCUCUUUUUCCAAUUUUAAAUCAGAUUUCUUAUGAUUCUUAAUGUGAAUUUAGGUGGCCAAAGCUUUGCUUGAUUCUCGUUUUGGCAAUCUCACAGGUUCUAGUGCAGUAUAGUAAGAAUCGAUACAAUAUUGCAAUAUUGUAAGAAUUGAUACAUAAACUCAAAAUUCAAAUAAAUCAUCUUGUUUAUAAAAUAUAUCUUUGAAAAAGUGUUUUUGGGUGUAAUAAAACAGAGAAAACGCACGUCUUUUGGCCAUGAAAAAAGCAGGAAGAUGGGGAGUUAUACGGAUAUCAUCAUGUUUCACGAUUUUCUUCUCCUUUUUUAGUAUAUGCAAAAUUAAUCGAAUACUACCACUCUGUAUUUUGGUCAGAAAAAAGGAUAUAAUCCUUUGACCUAUUUGCAGCUUCUUACUGCAUGUUGUUUGGUUAUGUCGUAAUUAUAUUUAUUACUCAUUCUUAUCUCACUAUACAUCCUUACAUUUUGAAUGUUAGUCUACAUAUUUUUCAGGAAAGAUGACACUUAUUCAUUGUUAUGCUUCUUCUCUGUUUUUUACACUGUUGUAUAGGCUGCACGCACUGCGUGGUUUUUUUUACUAGCUACCUAACAUGAUUAUAUUUUUUUCCAAAAACAGAUUUAGCCGCUUGUUCAUGGAUAUAAAUGAGCCCUUUAGUUUGUAUUACACAACUUUAUUAUAACAUAUGCAAUUUUCUCUGUCUAGAUUUUCAUCCUGCAGGCAUUGGCGGUGAUGGUCUUUUCCGCUAUGGGACAAAUUUCCAUGAAAUUGAGGUUUGGGAACCAACACAUAAUUGUUGUAUCUUGAUUUUUCAAAAUGCUUGUCUACUGUGAGCUGAUGCUUUUUUGUUUCCAGAAAAUUGGUUAUGGAAACUUCAACCAGUUUUUCAAAGUCUUGAAGAGACUUGAUGGUUGCAUGUAUGCCGUAAAACAUAGCAUGAGACAGGAUGUAGAAAGGCAAUUUAAUUUAAUUUACUUGUAAUGAUCAGCUGCUUGUACUUACGCCACUCGCUUUUUGCAGCAAACUUAUGUUUAACACUGUCACAGGUGCAAGGCUUUGAUGGAAGUUCAAGCUUUGGCAGCUUUAGGUUUGUUACAUUAUUAUAUUCUUUUUAUUUUUAUCCAAAGAUUGAGAUUUUUAAACUUUUCGAUUCCCAUUUUUCUCAGGGUACGUACCACGAGAAUAUAGUUGGCUAUUAUUUUUCGUGGUUUGAAAACAAGCAACUUUACAUCCAAUUGGAGCUAUGCGAGCACAACCUAUCUCUCGAUAGAAUACCUAAACUAUUCACAGAAAGAGAAGCUUUAGAGGCAAUGUAUCAGGUGAAUGAUUUUGAAUCUAUAACGUGACGUAAUUGUAGCUGAUUAUUAACUUUCUGCGGUUUGUUUAUUUUAUCUUGAUGAGUUAAAUAUUUAAUUAGAAUUGUUACAGGCUGUUAGAUGGGAUUGACUAUGACCUUUCCCAGAGGAGAUUUUUCAUUGAAAAAAUAGCAUUCGUGUAGAUUGCUAAAGCAGUGCAGUUUAUACACCGGAGAGGAGUAGUCACUUGGACGUAAAGCCAGAAAACAUUUAUGUAAGAAAUGGAGUUUAUAGACUUGGUGAUUUUGGUUGUGCGACUGCCGUUGAUAAAAGCUGGCUAAUUGAAGAAGGUGAUGCUCGGUACAUGCCCCAAGAAAUCCUGAACGAGAAUUAUGAAAAUCUAGACAAAGUUGAUAUAUUCUCGUCAGGAGCUUCCAUCUAUGAACUUGCAAGAGGGUCACCGUUACCUGAAUCAGGUUCUCAUUUCCUUACUUUUAGGGAAGGAAAGCUGCCCCUUCUUCCUUGUCGUUCAAUCCCGUUUCAGAAUUUAAUCAAGCUAAAUUACCUUCUGCUUUUAUGAUAUGAAAAGUAGGUCUUAAUCGAGGAUAUCCAAUCUGUCUUUACUAUUAAUAUUUGAUAAUUUUGGUGAAAACUAUCGUGAUAAUUAUGUAAAUAUAACAUUCGUUUCUUUGAGUUAUAUAGACUUGGUGUAACAACCUACAGAGCAAAAUUAAAUAUUCGAGUUUUCAGAAAACUAUAUGCAGGGAAAGCUCGAGUAGAUCAUUUUAAAUGAUGUUAAUUAUUAAUUUAUAGUGAGCAUGUUCGAUAAAAGCGCUUUGCAUUGCUACAGAUUAACUUGCGUACUGGUAUUCGAUUUUCUUUUGAUUUGUUAAUCGUUCAGAUGAUGAUGGAUGCAGAUCCUGUUCGUAGACCAACAACCAAAGAAGUAGUUAAGAAUCCAAUGUUUUACAGGAUUGGAAAGAACAAAUAAAUCAAAAGUAAACAAGUAUUUAAUUAGGUUUCUAGCAAAACUUUGCCGCCGAGGUUCAAAUGUUUGAAUUUUUUUAGUCUGACAUUUUUUUGAUUCGGUAUUUUAUUGGAAAUAUGUUUUUAGAUGAUCAAUCUAUACAGCUACAUCAAACUGCAGGAUGUGUUUGAAGUUGUUUCCCUUUCCUUUGAAGAUUCUAAGUAGCUUGUCAAUAAUUUCGCCACUACCCGGUGAGUUUCAUGAUAAUUACCAUUGUUGUUCUGUUUUUGCUUUUCCAUUGUUACUACUGUUUUCUGUCGGUCUUUGAAUAUUAAUAUUCAAAUUAUGUGGUGAACAACAGGUUGUAGAGUUUAGACAAGUUAUAACUUUCCAAGUUCUCGUGUUAUUUAUCCUUUCGUACAAACGUCUCAUCAUAGUGUCUACCUUUCUAAGGGGAAACAACUCCUUCGUUUGUUUGCUCGCUAUUUUUUUUCUUCAUUGAUAAUAGUAGACUGUUAUUUUUGGUCGAUUAUUUAUGUUUUAUAUUUAUUUUUUUUGGAUGUAUGCACAUGGAUUCUGGUACCGAUUUUUAAUUUCCCUUGUCGAUUUUCAGUUGGUGUUUCAAUUUCAAUGGAAACACUUAGCUUUCAGAUCUGCUCGUGUGUGAUGGCUGCAGUGUGUGUCCUCGAAACUGCCUCGACCCAAGAACUGUUUAAAGGUAAUUUUUGUGCUUCUCGUAUUUUAUUCGAUGUUAGGAACAGUAAAAGUAAAUUAUGCCAUUUUACGUGUCUAUGGCUCUGAUGGGAAAAAUGAACUUCAAGGGCAGGCCCCCUUGCCGAUGCCGAAACUUCGCGGGGAUGCAUAUGGCUUUUAGUUUCAAUUUGUGAGAGUCAAUUCGUUGAAAGUAAUAAUCAUUGCGUGUUUAUUUGCUAUUUAUGCAUUGCCAAUUAACUAUGGGAGUUCGAUUGAUGUUACAAUUAAUUGUCCACAAUUUAGAAAUGACUCAAAGUUAGGUGCUAUCUAAUGGUAUAUAUAAUGGAGCCUGCUUUGUUUCUCUUGAACUUUUCAUAUAGUGAUGAGCCUUUUUUCUACUUCUUGCAUGCUUGUUUUAUUUCUGUGGGAGUUAGUUUGCUUCGGUUAUAAUUGGACCUUAAAUUAUUUAUGUUUAUAUCUUUAUAUUCGUGAUUUUUACAAGUAUUUAUUUAAUUUUGACUCGAUAGUUUAUUCUAAAGGUGUGAUGAUAGAAGUCACAACAUGGGCUUCAAAUAUAGGGUUUGAUCUAAUCAGAUGUUAUUUUCAUACUUCGACUGAAUUGAGGUUCAGUUCUUAAUUGAAGCCUUGCUAAAUAACACGAUAAAAAUUGCCUUUUGCCUGGUAUUUUGGCUUUGUAUGCAGAAAACAUGCUGCAGAACCACCUCGUUGAUUUCAAAUUGCUGCAAAGUCUAUUGACCUUCUUGUUGGACAGAGCAGAAGUGUUAGUUUUUGCCUAUGCAUACGGUAACAAAAAUGGUACGUAAUUUCUUUUGUAAAUCAAUCCAUAUUACAGUACAAAAAACUGGUUAAAAUUGUUGAGCUUUUUCGACCCUUUUAUGGUUUCUUUGCAUAAUGCAUAUGUUAGUAUCUUAUAAUACUUGUGAAAUUUGCCUAAACACCGCCUACCAUGCAAUUAUUGAGAUUUUCCUAAACACCUUCUAGCAUAUGAUCUUAUUUCCUCCAUCAUAUAUCUCGAUCUUAUUUAUUAUGUUUUGAUUCUUUAUUGAUUAAUACUAUUGGUUCAUUUUUUAUCUUCUUCUUACAGUUUGUCCGUGUUAUUAUACGCCUCUGUCCUUUCUUUUCUUUGCUCUUCUUUUCACGAUGUGUAUGAUCGACCUGUUUGCUUCUUCUUUUCUCUUUUCUUUUGUUCUCGAUUUUUUUCUUCUCUUGCUUCUUUGUCCUCAAUCGUCGCCUUCAAUUGCUGAAUCGCCGUUGAAUAUUUCUCGAUUUUGCUUCCAGUUUUUGUUCUUCUCUGUGGGUGCAAGUUCCCGGGUCUGAAUUGGAUUUCCUACAAUCUUGUCAUUGGAUUUUUUUUUAAAAAUCAUUGAUUCUGUCAUGGUUAAUACAAGUCAUCUAUUUGUAUAGAACAUGCAGCCAUUUUUUCAUCUAUUUAACGAAUAUUGGAUUGCUAUUCUAUUUAUAUAUGCAUAUCACUACAAGAAAAAAUGGUUUUAGUGACGAUUUGUUAUGGUUGCUAAAAGUAAGAAAAUGGUUGCUAAAACUUAUAGCGACCAAAUUAGGCUUGGUCACUCGUGGUCACAACAGGGUGGCUACUAAAAGUAUCAGUGACGAGCAAAUCAGUUGGACGCUACAUACAUAGAUUUAACGACCAUCCAAUAAUGGUCAUUAAAGAUGGAAUCAUUAGCGACAAAUAUUUGACUCGCUAAUGUUAAAAUUAAUGGUCGCAAUAAUAUUAAUAUGGUUGUUAUAGGUAUAUAUAUAGUGACCAAAUAUUUUUGGUUGAUAAAUGAUAUUCUUUUAGCAACCAAGUAGGUGGUUGCAAUAGAUUUUAUAUGGCCACAAACAUAACAUAUUUUAGUGACCACAUUGCGACCAAUAAAUUUAUUGCUCAAAAUAAUAAUUUAACUACAAGAAUAGCUGGUUGCAAUAAAUUUUUAUUUGUCACAAUAUAUACCUCAAUUUAUGUGCAUAUAAUAAAUUUAUUGCUGCUAAAAAAAAAAGACCAAAUAACAAUUGUAAGGAAAAAUAAUUAAAAUUGAUAGCUAGUUUGUACAAAUUAGUAAGUAGCUAAGUAAUUGUUGACAAGUCAAUUAAAUCAGUGAUUAAUACAUAUACAGGAGAAAUCAAACACUGUCUUGCAUACUAGUUGAACUAAACACCGUAAUGACAACAUUCACAUCUGGAACUUGAUUGAAGUAACAUUAUGAGAUUCAACUGCCUCUCUGCCUCUCUUUGGGUGCCUGAAAUUGGAUGCCACAAAGAAUCAGAAGACAUACAUGCAAUAGUUUUCCCAAUGUACUGAUCAUAUAAGCAAAAAACACAACAAGGAAAAUCUUAUGGAAUUAAUCGAUUUACCUUAUCAGUAGAGCCACUAACUAAACUUUACCCUCAAUUGCAAAUUUGGCACUUAAAAUUUAUAACCUACGUAAGAGAUGAAAAUAGGGAUCCAAGUUUAUGAGAAACCAAGUUCAACGAAUUUAUCAUAAAGAAACAUGAAAUGAAAUAUGCAUAUGAUGCACCAGUUUUACCUUGUUUAAAUGCACCAGUUACUACCUGACCUUCUGCAGGUCUGUCAAACAUAACAACUUGUUAAUCAGAUCCAAUAAAUAUAAUGGCAAUUACAUCCUGAAAUAAUUAUAGAAAAGCAAUAUAAUAGCUAGCAUAAAUGUAAACUUAGAUUUUCCAGCUAUAUGUAAGACAUGAACAUAUACCUUUUGUAUGUCAAUUUCUGUUUGGGGUGGAAAACAAACUUGAAUUGAACACAAUGCCAUUUAAUAAUCUGAACAGCCAUAGCUAUUCUUACCAAAGAAAAUGUGAUCCCAAUUCAAGUUGUUAAUAAGAGGUCAGGACUCGACCGGCCUUUAUCUAAGAAGUCGAGGGAAAUACACUAUUUAUUUAAUAACAUUUUUUGGAUUACCUUAGUCGUAAAAGAAAAGUGCAAAAUAAAAGAAUUAUGUUGUUUCUCAUGUUAUCCUAUUAUUCACGAGUAACUAUUCCACUUACCUCUUAUGAAUCAAGUGCGGGGAUUGCAAGUAGAAGAUAAGAUACAAUAAUAUGUUCCCUGCUCAUCCGUGGUUCUAAAUCCAUUAACCUUUGCUCCAGACAUUGUAUUCGGGAAUGCAGUGCCGCCUCAAACUACCUAAAAGAAUUUCACAAUGUAUAUAUGUUAGGCUCUUUUAAAGUAAUGAGCUAUAAUAUCCGAAAAGAAACAUCAACGUUGGUAGUGAACAUCAAUGACUGCAAAUGUGGAGGACAACAAACCUCAAGCACAAAUGGCAUCCAUGGCCUCCAUUCAUGUUUUUCGGAUUUUAACUGGGUAACAUUCUAUCUAUAAAAACUCUUCCCCUUUAUUGUUAGUAACCCAUCACCAAAUAUAAAAACUUCUCCUUUUUUACUGUUAGUAACCCAUAACCAAAUAUUAGUUCAUUGACAAUAUGUGAGAAAUAUGUACCCAAUUAAUAACAAAGAUAUAUAUUUAAUGCAAUAAACAAAAAUCUCAACCAAAUAUUUCAAUUUUAUCCAAUGUUUAAGAGCCCAACAAAUAAGAAGUCAGAUUCAAUCUAAAAAAUCUCAAUUAAGAAUUCAAUUUUAAGUCGUUUAUAAUGAUAAAAUAAAUUCCAAAACGAAUAUAAAUAUGAAUAAACUAUAUAAUUUCUUGUUUCCGAUUUCAAGAUUUGGGAUUACUGAGAAACCUGAGAAAUCAUGAAGAAAUUGUGCUUAAGUGGUCGACAACAAGGCCGACGGGGGCUGUAGAGACGACGCGAGAUGAGGUGAGGGUUCAUGAUAGUUAUCUUCAUAUACUAUGCGAUGGAUCGAGGGUCGAUUACUGAGCGAUCGAUAGACGGAGCCGAUUAUCAAGGGAUGAAUCGAUUGAGCCGAUUAUGGGUCGAGGGAGGCUGUAAAACCUAAAACCGAAGAAUGGAUCUGAUAUACAAUUGUAAGAAAGAGGGGUUUUCUUUUUUUUUUUUGGAUGGAAAAGAGAGAGGGGUUUUCAAUCCCGUAUAAACUAUUAUUAUAUAAAAUACAUUAAUACAAAUUUGCACAUGUAUUUCAUUAUAAAAAAAAACUAUUAUUAUAUAAAAUACAUUAAUACAAAUUUGCACAUGUAUUUUAUUAUAAAAAAAAUCUACAUCAUACCUUGCGUAUUUAUUAAAAAUAAGAACCUAUAAAUAAAAUUAAAUAUAUUUUGAAAAGUACAAAUACUGGGUUAGUGUAUUAUUAUUUUGUUAAGAAAUAAAUUUUGGAAUUAGGAUUUUCAUAUAUUAAUUAGUUUAAAUAAAUUUUAAAAAUUUCAAAUGGUUGCUUUUAGAAAACUAUUAGCAGCCAAAAUAAUUCCGUUAAUGUUCACUCCAAAAAUUUAUAGCAACCAUUAAUCAUUUUGUUAUCAAAUUAGUCGCUAUUAAUAUUAUUUACAGUGACCAUUAAAUGAAGGUCGCUAAAGAGUAGAGAUUUGGUCACUAUAUAACUACUCAACUCUGGACAAAUUAUAGUGACCAUUUAUAGCUACCAAAUAUUAGUUGGUUGCAAAACAAAUACGUAAAUUGACUAUUGCAACCAAAUUAGUACUGGUCGUUAUAUGCAUAUAUGCAGUGACCAUUUUCUGAUCAUCGCUGAAAAAUUGGUUGCUAAAGCUAGUUUUUCUUGUAGUGUAUGUUUUUCAAGAUAAAAGACCAUUAGAUUGGCAUAAGAGAAUGAAGGUAGCUUGCGGUCUUGGGCUUCAGUUUUUACACGACAAGGCGAAUUCACCAAUGAUGAACCUCGUACCGAACUCAUCAAAAACUUUCCUUCACUUUUGUUAUAUAUACGUUCUGAAUGCAAACAUUUGACAGUUAAGAUCGCAAUUUAUUGUUAGAUCUUUCGGACUUCUUUAAUUCGAAAACCUGUACAUUAUUCCUUCUGCCGAACAAUCAUUGCCAAACAAUCUUUUACUGCUUGACAUAAAAUAAUCUUUUAAUAUCGGACAUGAAUAGUCGGGAAUAGACAUCACGCAGGGCACCGCGCCUUGCGCGGUGCUCGUUACUAGUACAUAUAUAUAUAUAUAUAUAUAUAUAUAUAUAUAUAUAUAUAUAUAUAUAUAUAUAUAUAAUCCCUAAAUUUAAUAUAAGAAGGAAAUAUCUAAUGAAAGGACUCCCCAUAUAUGUUGUCAGGCCAUGUGAACAAGUUAUGGAGCACGUUCUUAGCAAUUACUCAAUCAAUGCUUGGAAAAUAAAUAAUGCCAAUUAUUAUCUCAGGAUAAAAUUAAAAUACUAGGUAAAAGAAAAAAAAACUUCAAGUGUAGACAAUGACAAUAGCCCUUUGGCUUUUGGUAAAAGACACAAGAAGAAAGUGAUACGUACCAGAAACUAUACAUAAAUAAUUAUUUUAUUUUAUUUGAUGAUAGCCUAGCUUUCAUAUUAUUGAUGUCGUUUUCGUUUUCUUGUAAUUCGCAUGGUUUUUUCUUCGACUAGCUAGGCCAUUAUACAUUAUGAUUAAAUGAAUGUUUGAUGAACAAUAAAAUAAAAUUGGGCAAAUUACGGCCACCCCCAGAAGUAAGGUCAAAUUACGAAAAAAUCCUAAUGUUUGGGUAAUUACAACCACCCUUUAACUAUGAUUGUUCUUACACGUCCACCCUUACGGUGUCAAAUUCAAUAGAAUGUAAAAGAUUCUGUGAAAUGUUCUCUAGUUUGUACUCAUUUUGUGCAAAAAGACAGUUUUAGAUGCACCACAAUCUGAUAUUUACAAGUCAAGAGACAUAUCUUAUGAUCAUCUUGUUUUAAAAUGUGGAUCUAGAAUAAGAUAAAACGGGUACAGACGGAAGAAUAUUCCACUAGAACAUUACAAUAAAUUUGACACCGUAAGGGUGGACGUGUAAGAAAAUGGAAAAGUACAGUUUGCACCCCUGAACUAUGGAGUCUGUCACAAACACCUCCCUAUACUACAAAACGUAACAAAAAGACCCCUCCGUUUUUAAACCGUUUGUAAUGUGGUGAUGUGGCAGUUGACCCUCUCUUAUUUCAUUAUUUUGACAUUUUUACCCUUCACUUUGCUAUAUCUAUAUGAAUAAAAAGAUAUUUACAUUUUCAGUAUAAAGAUAUAUUUUUUCACCCCAAACUUAAAAUUGUAAAUAAGCAAAAUACUUAAAUUUAAAUUGAUUAUGUAUUCCAAUUUUAAUAAUUAUUUUAUUUCAUCCCAAAAUGUUUUAUAUCAUUAACUUAUUAAUAUAGUAACAUAUUCAAUUUAAUUAAUACAUAAACAAAAAAAAUCAGAAGAAUAAAUAUUUUUUUUAGUUGGAGCAUAUAAAUUUUCUAACAAUAACUUAUUACUCAAUUGAAAAUUUCCUCAAAUUCAAAAAACUUAAGCUCAAACAAAAGACCAUAAAUGAUUAAAGUAAAUUAAAUAUAAAAUAUAACAAAUUAAUUACAGAAUAAAUCAACCCUUGCAUUCAAAUACAGUUCACAUUUCGGCCACUCCAAUCAAGAAGCAAGAUUUAACCCAAAUACAAUCAACCUAACAUUGCUUUAAAAUUUAACAAACCCACUACUUCCUCUGGCCAAGGAUGAAAAAAUAGUACGUCGUUGCAAGAAAAAAGGUCCGGCGAGCAGGGCCACGGCUACACGAAGUCGAAAACGACGGAGGAGUGAAUUGGGUGAAACCGUAACGGAAAAAGAAGCUUGAGAGGGAUGAAACAACAUAGGGAGAGGAAGGGGAGAAAAAACCUCUGCCGGAAAAUAUUUUCGCCGGAACGAAUGGCAUGGAAAAUCGAGAACUUAAUCCCUAUUAGAGGGAUGAGAGAAGUAUGGGAAAUGAGGAAGAAAAUACAUAGUUAAGAGGUGGUUGUAAUUAGCCAAACAAUAUGAACUUUUUCGUAAUUUCAUAUGUACCUCAGGAUGUGACCGUAAUUUACCCAAAAAUAAAAUAAAUUCAACCUUUUUGCAUUGCAAGAAGAAAAGCAACAAGAAGGCACAACAAGAAGGAUGUUUGAUCAAAAAGUUUAAAGGGAAAAAAUGGACUUUAAAUUUAACCAAAAAGCUCAUAUAAAUAUCUGGUUUAUUGGUAGUAAUAAAGUAGAACAGUGUAAUCUCUCUCUAGUUCAAAUCAAAGUGUUAUUACAAAAUGACAACAGAAAUUUGUGGUUAAGAUAUCUUAUCCCCUAAUAAUAAUAAAGACUGAAUUUUUAUUUUAUUUUUAAAUAUAAAUAAAAAAAUGGGCAUGUUUACACAAUCACCAAAUUAAGAACACUAAUUAAUUCAAAGCUCCAAACAUAUAUAGAUUAAUUAAUGAUUUCUAAUAGGUAUCAGAUUUUCAUAGAUUCAAUAAAUAAAAAUCAACAAUUAAAUUCAAAUUGUUUUUUAUUCUGACUUGAAUAGGGCUGAGUUUUCUGAUGUAAAACAUCUCGGCAGAUUCAGGAACGCCCCAAUAUUUCUGCCCAUCCUUCUGCACGCGCGUGAAUCCCUAAUGCAGGACUCGAUUUUGCCCCAGUAACUAUCACUCGCGACCCGAUUCGAGAGCCAACUCGAGUAGUCCUAGAGGGAGUAGUCGAGGUAGGCCCGGUUCAUCACGGGUUGGCCGGAACCCUUGCCGGUGACGGCGUAGGCGAAGAUGACGAAGCCGAGUAGGGUGGCAAUGAUGAUGAACAUGGCCCACUGGUAGAGGUACAUGAGGAAGUUGUUCCGGUAGCAGGCGCCGGCGAAUCCGGCGAGGGAGACGACCAUGAUGGACACGCCGAUUAUUAUGAGCGGCCACUGGAGGAACUUUAGGCAGUCGGUGUUGUUCGCGCGGCUGCUCAGCCAUAUUCCGCCGCCGACGAUGGGGAUCGAUAGGACGAAGGUGAGGAAGAUCAGGGCGCCUAUUAGGUGGUUGCUCGUUCUCAUGGCGGCGGCGGUGGCGGUGGCGGUGGUUGAAAGUUUUUUGAAAUUUAAUUUUGUCUUACAAGAGAGAGAGAGAGAGUACUGCUGUAUUUAUUGGGGAGCAGAUAUAUAAUGG